rnacentral:lncRNA from 1 species
GGCAAUCCACCGUCACUCCAAUCGUGGAAUUCCUCAUCCUCGCCCUGUGAUUGGUCGGAAAUUACAUGCAUCGACAAUAUCGUCACUGAAAUUUCACUCAGCUACAAGACCAUCACAAAGAAAAUUCCAGCCAGAAUUUGUGACCUCAAGAACCUAAUCGUACUUGACGUCUCCUACAAUUACAUUCCAGGCGAGUUCCCGGAUAUUCUCAAUUGCUCUAAGCUCGAAUAUCUCCUCUUGUUGCAAAACUCCUUCGUGGGUCCAAUUCCAGCUGAUAUUGAUCGACUUUCACGUCUCCGGUACCUAGACCUCACCGCAAACAACUUCUCUGGAGAUAUUCCCGCAGCAAUUGGGCGGCUACGGGAGCUGUUCUACUUGUUUAUGGUUCAAAAUGAGUUCAACGGCACCUGGCCAACAGAGAUUGGUAAUUUGGCAAAUCUUGAACAAUUGGCCAUGGCCUAUAAUGACAAAUUCCGGCCUUCAGCCCUUCCAAAGGAGUUUGGCGCAUUGAAGAAGCUGAAAUUUCUGUGGAUGACGGAGGCGAAUUUGAUCGGCGAAAUACCGAAGAGCUUCAACAAUCUAUCGAGUCUGGAACGCUUGGACCUCUCACUCAACGAAUUGAAUGGUACGAUCCCGGUAGGCAUGCUUACGUUGAAGAAUUUGACCUAUUUGUAUUUAUUCUGUAAUAGAUUGUCAGGCCGCGUUCCUUCAUCGAUAGAAGCUUUCAACUUGAAAGAAAUUGAUCUUUCCGACAACCAUUUGACGGGGCCGAUACCAGCAGGUUUCGUGAAGCUACAAAAUUUGACAUGUUUGAAUCUUUUUUGGAAUCAGUUGUCAGGAGAGAUACCAGCAAAUAUAAGCCUCAUUCCUACACUUGAAACCUUCAAAGUUUUUAGCAAUAAAUUGAGUGGAGUUUUGCCCCCAGCAUUUGGCCUUCAUUCGGAGCUCAAAUUCUUUGAGAUUUUUGAGAAUAAACUAAGCGGGGAACUACCGCAACAUUUAUGCGCUAGGGGAACUUUGCUUGGAGUGAUUGCUUCCAACAAUAAUCUCAGCGGAGAAGUGCCCAAGUCCCUCGGGAAUUGCAGAAGUUUGCUCACCAUUCAGGUUUCCAACAAUCGCUUUUCAGGCGAGAUUCCUUCUGGCAUCUGGACAUCCCCGGGCAUGGUAUCGGUGAUGUUAGCUGGAAAUUCAUUCUCGGGGGCACUUCCAAGUAGAUUGGCAAGGAAUUUGUCCAGAGUGGAUAUCAGUAACAACAAGUUUUCUGGUCCAAUUCCUACUGAAAUCUCUUCUUGGAUGAAAAUAGGUGUUCUUAAUGCCAACAACAAUAUGUUGUCAGGAAAAAUUCCAGUGGAAUUGACCAGUCUUUGGAACAUCUCUGUUCUGUUGCUUGAUGGGAAUCAAUUCUCGGGUGAACUUCCAUCCCAGAUCAUCUCAUGGAAGUCACUCACUAAUUUGAAUCUCUCAAGAAACAAACUGUCAGGCCUAAUUCCCAAGGCAUUAGGUUCUUUACCUAGCCUUACUUACCUCGACCUGUCAGAAAACCAGUUCUUAGGUCAAAUUCCUUCUGAACUCGGUCAUUUGAAGCUUAAUAUCCUCAAUCUUUCGUCCAACCAACUCUCUGGGUUGGUCCCCUUUGAGUUUCAAAAUGCAGCAUACAAUUACAGUUUCUUGAACAAUCCCAAACUGUGUGUCAAUGUUCCCACUCUGAACCUCCCUAGAUGUGAUGCCAAACCCGUUGACUCCUACAAAUUGUCAACCAAAUAUCUUGUUAUGAUCCUAAUUUUCGCUCUAUCUGGUUUCCUAGCUGUUGCCUUCUUUACCCUGUUCAUGGUUCGACACUAUCACAGGAAGAAUCAUAGUCGAGACCAAACAAAUUGGAAGCUUACUCCAUUCCAAAAUCUGGAUUUCGAUGAACAGAACAUAUUGUUCGGUUUGACAGAAAAUAAUUUGAUCGGACGUGGUGGGUCAGGGAAAGUAUACCGAAUUGCUAAUGACCGUUCUGGUGAAAUCUUUGCUGUUAAAAUGAUUUGUAACAACGGGAGAUUGGAUCACAAGCUUCAGAAACCAUUCAUAGCAAAAGACGAGAUAUUGGGCACCUUACACCAUUCCAAUAUAGUGAAGUUGUUGUGCUGCAUAUCAAAUGAAACCACAAGUCUUCUUGUUUAUGAGUACAUGGAGAACCAAAGUUUGGAUAGAUGGCUUCAUGGGAAGAAGCAGAGAACAUCGUCCAUGACAAGUUCAGUUCAUAACUUCGUCUUGGAUUGGCCAACAAGGUUGCAGAUUGCCAUCGGAGCUGCAAAAGGCCUACGCCACAUGCAUGAAUACUGUUCUGCCCCGAUCAUACAUCGAGAUGUAAAGUCCAGCAACAUCUUACUAGACGCUGAGUUCAACGCGAAAAUUGCAGAUUUUGGAUUAGCCAAGAUGUUGGUCAAGCAAGGAGAGCCUGACACCAUGUCAGGAGUUGCAGGCUCUUACGGAUAUAUUGCCCCCGGUAAGACUAUCCAAGGCCUUCCUGUCCACAUGUUCUCAUUUCCAUAAUUUAUCGAUAAUUUUUAUCAAAUAAUUCUUGUAUGCUUGGAUGACAGAGUAUGCUUAUACAACAAAGGUGAACGAGAAGAUUGAUGUAUAUAGCUUUGGAGUAGUUCUGCUUGAGCUGGUGACGGGGAGAGAACCCAACAGCGAGCACAUGUGCCUUGUAGAAUGGGCAUGGGAUCAGUUUAGAGAAGGGAAAACCAUUGAGGAAGUGGUGGAUGAGGAGAUCAAGGAACAAUGUAACAGAGCACAAGUGACCACUCUCUUCAAUCUAGGCCUCAUGUGCACUACCACAUUACCAUCCACUAGGCCAACAAUGAAGGAGGUUUUGGAAAUUCUUCGACAGUGCAAUCCUCAGAAGGACCAUGGAAGAAAGAAAAAGGACCAUGAAGCUGCACUCGAACAUACAUCGAGAUGUAAAGUCCAGCAACAUCUUACUAGACGUUGAGUUCAACGCGAAAAUUGCAGAUUUUGGAUUAGCCAAGAUGUUGGUCAAGCAAGGAGAGCCGGACACUAUGUCAGGAGUUGAAGGCUCUUAUGGAUAUAUUGGCCCCGGUAAGACCAUCCAAGGCUUUUCUGUCCACAUGUUCUCAUUUCCAUAAUUUAUUGAUAAUUUUUAUCAAAUAAUUCUCGUAUGCUUGGAUGACAGAGUAUGCUUAUACAACAAAGGUGAAGGAGAAGAUCGAUGUAUAUAGCUUUAGAGUAGUUCUUCUUGAGCUGGUGACGAGGAGAGAACCCAAUAGCGAGCACAUGUGCCUUGUAGAAUGGGCAUGGGAUCAGUUUAGAGAAGGGAAAACCAUUGAGGAAGUGGUGGAUGAGGAGAUCAAGGAACAAUGUGACAAAGCACAAGUGACCACUCUCUUCAAUCUAGGCCUCAUGUGUAUUACCACAUUACCAUCCACUAGGCCAACAAUGAAGGAGGUUUUGGAAAUUCUUCGACAGUGUAGUCCUCAUGAGGACCAUGGAAGAAAGAAAAAGGACCAUGAAGCUGCACCCGAACAUACAUUGAGAUGUAAAGUCCAGCAACAUCUUACUAGACGCUGAGUUCAGCGCGAAAAUUGUAGAUUUUGGAUUAGCCAAGAUGUUGGUCAAGCAAGGAGAGUCGGACACCAUGUCAGGAGUUGAAGGCUCUUACGGAUAUAUUGCCCCCGGUAAGACCAUCCAAGGCCUUCCUGUCCACAUGUUCUCAUUUCCAUAAUUUAUCGAUAAUUUUUAUCAAAUAAUUCUCGUAUGCUUGGAUGACAGAGUAUGCUUAUACAACAAAGGUGAACGAGAAUAUCGAUGUAUAUAGCUUUGGAGUAGUUCUGCUAGAGCUGGUGAUGGGGAGAGAACCCAACAACGAGCACAUGUGCCUUGUAGAAUGGGCAUGAGAUCAGUUUAGAGAAGAGAAAACCAUUGAGGAAGUGGUGGAUGAGGAGAUCAAGGAACAAUGUGACAAAGCACAAGUGACCACUCUCUUCAAUCUAGGCCUCAUGUGCACUACCACAUUACCAUCCACUAGGCCAACAAUGAAGGAGGUUUUGGAAAUUCUUCGAUAGUGCAGUCCUUAGGAGGACCAUGGAAGAAAGAAAAAGGACCAUGAAGCUGCACCCGAUCAUACAUCGAGAUGUAAAGUCCAGCAACAACUUACUAGACGCUGAGUUCAGCGCGAAAAUGGUAGAUUUUGGAUUAGCCAAGAUGUUGGUCAAGAAAGGAGAGCCUGACACCAUGUCAGGAGUUGAAGGCUCUUACGGAUAUAUUGCCCCCGGUAAGACCAUCCAAGGCCUUCCUGUCCACAUGUUCUCAUUUCCAUAAUUUAUCGAUAAUUUUUAUCAAAUAAUUCUCGUAUGCUUGGAUUACAGAGUAUGCUUAUACAACAAAGGUGAACAAUAAGAUCGAUGUAUAUAGCUUUGGAGUAGUUCUGCUUGAGCUGGUGACGAGGAGAGAACCUAAUAGCGAGCACAUGUGCCUUGUAGAAUGGGCAUGAGAUUAAUUUAGAGAAGGGAAAACCAUUGAGGAAGUGGUGGAUGAGGAGAUUAAGGAACAAUGUGACAGAGCAUAAGUGACCACUCUCUUUAAUCUAGGCCUCAUGUGCACUACCACAUUACCAUCCACUAGGCCAACAAUGAAGGAGGUUUUGGAAAUUCUUCGACAGUGCAGUCCUCAUGAGGACCAUGGAAGAAAGAAAAAGGACCAUGAAGCUGCACCUGAACAUACAUCGAGAUGUAAAGUCCAGCAACAUCUUACUAGACGCUGAGUUCAACGCGAAAAUUGUAGAUUUUGGAUUACCCAAGAUGUUGGUCAAGCAAGGAGAGCCCGAUACCAUGUCAGGAGUUGCAGGCUCUUACAGAUAUAUUGCCCCCGGUAAGACCAUCCAAGGCCUUCCUGUCCACAUGUUGUCAUUUCCAUAAUUUAUCGAUAAUUUUUAUCAAAUGAUUCUCGUAUGCUUGGAUGACAGAGUAUGCUUAUACACCAAAGGUGAAGGAGAAGACCGAUGUAUAUAGCUUUGGAGUAGUUCUUCUUGAGCUGGUGACGGGGAGAGAACCUAACAGCGAGCACAUGUGCCUUGUAGAAUGGGCAUGGGAUCAGUUUAGAGAAGGGAAAACCAUUGAGGAAGUGGUGGAUGAGGAGAUCAAAGAACAAUGUGACAGAGCACAAGUGACCACUUUCUUCAAUCUAGGCCUCAUGUGCACUACCACAUUACCAUCCACUAGGCCAACAAUGAAGGAGGUUUUGGAAAUUCUUCGACUGUGCAGUCCUCAGGAGGACCAUGGAAGAAAGAAAAAAGACCAUGAAGCUGCACCCCUGCUUCUAAAUGGCACUUAACCUGCCACUUUCAAGCAUAACGACAAGGGAUUUCUAUUUUUCUGUCAUUACUAUAGUGGGAUUUCAAAGAAAUGGGCUUCAUUUUUUAAACUUCUUAUUACCAGCAGGAGUCCCACUACCGUUAGCACCUUUGUUAGUAGUUCUUGAGCUAAUCCCUCAUUGUUUUCAUGCAUUAAACUUAGGAAUGCAUUUAUUUGCUAAUAUGAUGGCCGGUCAUACUUCAGUAAAGAUUUUAAGUGGGCUUGUGUCACGCCCAAAAUCUAGGUAACCCAAAACUCGACUCGUGACCUCAGGUCAAAAGUUUGACCCUAAGAGUUACUCCUAUCCACGUUGGCAAUCAACCAAAAUAUCCUGAUUUUUUUUUUCUAUUUUUCAAUAAAGUGUUUAAUCCCAAAUAAAUUUAUUAAGUUAAGAUUUACUGUAACAUAUUAUUUUAUUUUUCCAAAACCAACUAUCACACUAUCUCCUGUUCACAAGUAUAAUAAAUCCACCAAUAAUCUUUCUACCCAAAAACUCAAAUAUUUAUAAUAAUCUCCAAGUCAAAAAGAAUAUUUCCAAAAAUGUUUUACAAACUAACAAAAUAUAAUUUAAUUUACAAAAGUCCAUAUAACUCAAAUUAACACAUGUCAAAAAGGUAAUAUACAUCUAAAAACAACCAUUAUUAUGGUUCUUUUGCUUUCUGGAACACUUCCUAAUCUUCCUGUGGCCCCUCAAAAACUAUAUUGACAUCUAAAAAUUUUAGAAAAUAAAAGAGUGAGCAUUUUCACGUUGCUUAGUAGGGUGUUUUACACCCAAAUGAGUUACACAUUCUAGGUCAAUAAAACACAACUAUAUACCAAAAUAUAAUGUUACAUUUACAUUAUACACACUAAAAGAAACCUCAACUAUACAAAUUUAAACUAAUCAAAAUUAUCAUUUUUCUUAUUCAAUAAUAUGCCUAACAUAUCAAUAAUUCUAAAUUUACAAAAUAAAUAAGCCAUUUUAGUCUUGAAUAAUAUAUUCAAACAUACACUUGAUAAAUAAUACAAAUCCUUCUUCCAAAUGCAACCAUGAUGCAAAUGUUUACACGCAAUCACGCAAUACACUAUCAUUCUCGAGCUUUCACCGAAAGAUACGCGUCCAUACCCAAAUACACUCUCCAUUUAGAAUUAUCUCGGGGUAAACUUUUGGGUCUUUCACCUUAAGGAUCUCACUCUCUUCUUAAUUCACCAUCUCUAGGGUCAUUCCAUUUCUUAUUUUUCUUUUCAUUUCAUUUUUGCCAUCUUCGGGGUCUUUUCAUUCUCAUUUCCCUUUCACACAACGAUUUAAUUUCUUUAAUUUUUCUUUUUCUUCACACAACCAUGAUGCAUAUGAAAUGCAAUCAAAUCAUAUUUUAACAUCCACAAAUUUCCAAAACAUAAUUCUAUUUACUCCCAUUAUGUUUCAUAAUUUCCAACAAUUCACACAACGAUUUUUCUCCACUUUAAUCACCACAAACGUCAAAGAAAAUUCAUAAUUAAUUUAUAUAGUAUCAAAACAUAGUUUUAGACCUUAGCCACAUAAAUUCUAUUUAUUCUCGACAUGCUUAAUAAUUUCCAACAACCAAUAUAACCAUUUUUUUUCUUCAAUUAAAUAACCACAUAUAACCAAGAAAAUUCCCACUAAUACAAAUAUCAACAAAAAAGUAAUUUAUGUCAUAAUUUAUUUAUCUUCAAUAAUCUCAAUAAUUUUAACACUCAAUACAACAAUUUUCCACAACUAAGCCACCACAACAUUCAGAAUUUUUUUUUCAAUAAUUCAAAUAUUAACAAAAUCCCAAUUUAUACCAUCAAUUUAUUUAUUUCUAACAAUAUUAAUAAUUUUAAAACAAUAAAUUUAACCAUAUCUCAAUAUUAAAAAAUUUCAACAAAUAAAUUCCAUUAUUUUCAACACUAAUAUAUCAUCAAUAAAUUUAUAAAAUUUCUAAUAUGAUAAAAAUCACAAAAAUAUAUUAACCAAUGUUCCAAAUAAACAAAGUUCCAUAACCACAAAAAUCCGGUAAAUUCUAUCAUAAGGACAACAAUUAAAUACCAACAAUUCUAAUAUUUUUAUCUUGCAUUAAACUUUUAUCCACUUUCCAUUUAACAUUUUCAAAGCAAAACCAAAUCAUUUCAUAUAUUUAGAGUUUUCAAAAAAUAAUCUAAAUGAAAACUAUAUGACGAUCUACUAUAACUCAACAACUCACCGAUUUUCAUAGAGUUUUUUGAAAGUAAAUAAAAGCAAAAUGAAAUGCCCUAAAAAUUUUGAGAGAGAAAUUUAGGAAAAACACAUCCCUACCUGUACAAUAAAAUCCAACCGUGGGAUCGAAAAUCCGACUCUGUAGAAGUGUUCACCACGUUAAAGAUUAUCAUUGUUUGAAAUUUCAUCAUGAUCAAAGGUCGUUUCACCAUCGGAUCAACAAAAACACACGAUAAAAAACCUUCUCAGCAUCUCCCCUGCAUCCCCCUUUCCCCUCAUUUCUUUCUUUUAAACCUCUCACCACCCAGCAACUCUCCAGCAACUUCAUAAUAUAUAUAUAUAUAUAUACACAUAUAUAUUAUUAAACAAUUUUGAAAUACCACACACAUCCUUUUAUUUUAAUAAAAUAAAUUAUUACUCUUUAUUUCACAUUUCAUAAUUAUAAAAUUAUACUUAACCUGUGAUUUUCCAUUUUACAAAAAAUUCCACCUUAUUCGUAAUUAAAUUUACUACAAGCUUGCUCUUCAAAAAUAUAAAUUAACUUUAAUUAUCCAAAACAUUUUUACUUUGAAAUUCACUUAAAAUAUGAUAUAAUUAACUAUUAACAAAAUUCAAUUUCAUAAAAUAUUAGAAACAUAAAAUAAUUUUUUGGCAACCAAAAAGUUGAAAUAUUUCGUCAUUCAAUUUAUAAAAAAAAAAAAAUCAACUUCUCAGCCCUUUGAUAUAUUUUUUUCAUUUAUUUUAUUAGUCAAUUUUCUCAAUUGCAUCAAACUUUCAAAUGUUAAUUUCACUAAAUUCACAUUUAAUUAAUUUAUCACUAUAUACAUAUAUAUAUAUAUUGAUUAACAUAUCAUAAUUUAAUAUUAAUUUAAUUUCAAUUUAAUUUUGUUUUGAUGUUUUGUAAUUCUAUAAAGUUUAAUUAUAAUUAUAAAAAUUAAAUUCAAUUUCUUUUUAAUUAUCCAUCAUAAUAAUUCGAUAUAAUAUAAAUUUUUACCAAGUUUUUCUUCCUACAUUUCUUUGAUAAUUACCAAAUAAUAAUUAAAUUAAUCCCGUAAUGCACUUAAUAAUUAAAUUUUCAAAACCUAAUCUCAAUUAUUUGUGAUUAAAUUUUUUUCUCCAAAUCAAAAUUUAAUUUAUGAAAUUCCCUAUUCUUACAUCUUACGUGAUAAAAUUUUCAAAUUAUUAAUUUUUAAUAUACUUUUCUAAAAUCUCUCUUAAUUAGAUACUAACACAUGGGUCCUCACCAUUUUUCUUUUUUACCAUUUGACCCACAAUUAUAUGAAACUUUAUAGUCCAAGAAUUUGACGUGCCCUUAAAAAUCCAGGUAUUAGAGUUUGCUCGGACUAUGCUAUGUAUGAAUGAUCUUUUAUGUUUCAUAGGAUCCUCGUCCCUUUUUUUUUUUUUUUAUAGUUCUUGCAUUAACCUGUCCGGAAGUAGGUGUAGCUAUGUCACAAGCUCAACAAAGAUGACGAUAUCUUGGUUUGAAAUUUGCAGCUUGUACAUAAGUCUCAUAAGGAAGCUUGUAAAUUAAGCCAAUGGCUGGGUUCCCUAGCAAAAUGCACGAUGGAAGCUUUAAUUUUAAUUUUUUUUUUUUCGAUUAUUGAGAGUUGGUAACUUAGUACAAGCAGCUGGGAUUGAGAGCUGUUUAUUUUUAAUAUGUGAAACAGAAAUCCAGUUGCAGUAAUGAAUUGAAGUUUUUUUUUUUUUUUUAAUUUUGUUUUUUGUUUGGUUAAUUUGGAGGUUUGUGGGUUGGUUGGUUAUCUAUCAGAAGCCGAACCGUUGAUCUUAAAUUAUGUUUUUAUUUUUCUGAAAUUCUGGGAAUAUCUACAAUUGAUGUGGUUUUUUUUUUCUCUUUUCUUUUUUAAUGCUUGGUGCUGCUGGGUUUGCGUUUUUUUACGGAUGUUUGGGUGGGCAAUAUUGAAAUUCGUGGGAUUAUUUUGAGAAAUUUAGUUUUUUGGUUGAGGAAUUUUUGCUUCUGAAACAACAAGCAUUCGUGUACGGUUUGACCGCUUGAAUUCCCAAUCUUGGGUCUGUGCUUCUCCAGAAAAACCUGUUCAAAUUAUUAAUGGGUUUUAUUUUAUUUUAUGAUUUAAUUUUUUGAAAAUCUUAAAUUAGGUGGAAAGAUCCAUCCCGUACAAUGAGCAUAGGCCAAGGAGGCCCCCACCAGACUUGUCUUUCCUGCUUGUCCAUGGGAGAAUAGUUUACAUCGGCAUGCCAGUAAGUAGUUAAACACAGUAUCUCUAUAUGGAUAUAAUUCUUUUAGGUGGAUAUCAAAACAAUAAGGAAUGGAUUAAGAUAUUCUUGAUGACAAAUAUGAUGCAUAUUUUUCUCCCUUUGGACAGAAUUUAUGCAAUUAUCUGUAAAUUCAACUUAUUUCCUGUUGUUGGGAUGACGAAUCUUGAAUUAGUUGUAAAAUUUAGUGAGAAGAUGUCUCAUCUUGGCCUUGAAGUUUAGUUGCUUACCUGUGGAGAGAAGGAAAUGGAGAAAGCCAUCAAUUUGCAUUAUUUUUCUAGAUCUCUAGUGGACUUGACAAGAACAUCUUGCUUUGGAUUGUGAAGAAGUUAACUAGCUUUCUAUCCCAGUAGCUUAUAUCAAUCAUCUCACAGGAGUGAAGAAACUGAAGCAUAAUGUUUCCUGUAUGGAUUUUCUUCCUUUUCUUCAAGCAUGUGGAUAAUAUAGGGUAAUUUCUGCUUCCCACUUGAUUCAUCACUUGAUUAAAGGAAAAGGACUUUGAAUUCCCAUAGGAACGUCCCUCAUUUACAUGUCUCUAAUUCAUUGCAAAAACUUGGGAGCUUGGGUCAUGAAAUUAUAUAACUAGAGAAAGUAAAGACAAUAGGAUUGGAAAAAUUUAGUAGCAUAGGCUUUUUAAAUAUGAAAAUUGAUACCAUUUUAUAUAAAUAGUGAACAAAAGAUAUACCCCUGGUUGACUCUACCUGAACUAGAGUCUUUUGACGUGAUGAGAUGUGCCCCAUGAACAAGUACCAUGUUAUCUAUUGUAUGGUAUAAAAGUUCCAUAUGGUGGUUUUUACAAGAAUGUUGUAUUGAUUUCUAAUUUUGAGUAACUCUCUAAGUCAAAAUGUCUAAGAAAACAAAAGGGAAAGAAUAUUUUACCAUAGUGGGCUAUUUGAACCAGUGAGAGGAAGCGAAAAUUGAAAAUAAUAUUGACACAAAUUAUGACGAGGGUGGUAGUCUUUACUUUGCCUUUGCAGGUAGUCUUUAUAAACAAAUUCCUCAUUAUUACUUCUUUUUUCUCUAGUUAAUAGUACGCUUAAUUUGCUUCCUUUGCCUUUGUGCUAACACUUCAUCAUUCCAUCUUAUGAUAACAACUUCCUUUAAUUUUAAAGCUAUUUACUACUGCUUUAGCCUCUACCUUCCAGUGAAGCUUCUCAAACAAAAAGUGGCAAGAACAUGUCAUGAAAGCUUUUAUUCCCAAAGAGAAGACCUAAAUGGAAAUAAGAGAAUUAUGCCCUUCUGCUGAGGGUUGGACAUCUUUAUUUAUGAGAAAAACCCAGAGUUUUAGUAUAAAAUCAUAUUCCUUCUGGACUCCUUUAAGUGGGUCUAUUUGUGAGUUUCAUCUUUCUGGAACUUAUAUUUCCUAGAGUCCUAGUCUUCCCUUCUAAUAGUGGUAUGAUAUGACUACUUGGGCCAUUGUGGUUCUAGGUUGUACCCUACUGAUGAAUAUCCCUUUUAGGUGUUGUAGAACAAUUUAAAAAUUCUCCAACAAAGAUUACCUAACCUUAGACUAUCUCAAUGUCAAGAAACUUUUCUUCCAAUAAUUUUUCAACAAAGCAUAAUAUCCACAAGCAAGAAUGUAUACAUCAACACUCUCCCAAUAAUUUAUCAAUGCAAAAUACAUGCAAAUGCUUCAACACUUCUCAAAAAUAAAUCAAAAGAACAAUCAUCUCCUCAACUCAUAACAAUUGACUCCAUGAUAUCAUUAAACAAAGUGAACAGAAGAAUUAUUAAAGACAUUCAAUAGAUCAUCACACUUAAAUCACUUCAUAUUUCUUCCAUUCAACAAGUAUGCCCAAGUAAUCAAUGAUAUCAAAAACAGAAAAUAAAUCAAAGUGUAGAGUGAGAGAAAAAGACAAUGAACACUGAAUUUUUAACGUGGAAAACCUCCGAAUAGAUCAAAAACCAUGGGCCUAUCACCGAUUGAAAAACUCCACUAUGAAGACUAAAAACUGAGUACAAGGUUUUAUCUAGCUCAAGCCAACCAAUCCUUCCCGGACUACUUGACUAGUACCUUCAUUUUCAGCUUCUCACCUUCUUCUUUCGGAGCACACUUGGAGUUCACACGAAGCUCAAUCCCGGCCUCUUCUUGAAUCCACAUAAGAAGAAAAUGGGUAUGUACCUAAACCCAAAUAGAUAAGAGAUUGAAAUGUGAAUGAAGGAAUGAAUCAACCGAUUUAUUGCUUAAGAAAAUCCAUUAAAAACUAGUUUGGAAAACAUUAAAAGAAGUGGAUUUUCUUUGAAAUCAAAAACCCCAAAUUAGGAAAACAAAAUGAGAAAAUGAAGAACACAAGGAGUGUGGCUACUCUCUCCACGUUUUCUGCAGUCACCACCUAGAAAAAUGAGAGAAGAUUGCUUUUUAAAGUGUAAAAAGAAACCCUUAAUCUAAUGACUGAGAUUUGAUAUAUAAAAAAUUAGUUGGAUCGAUCCACCCUUGCACCUAGAUCGAUCCAGAAACAGGGGAAUGAAAGCCUUGCACCAAAAACCAUUUCUUUCAACUUUCUAACACAUUUAAAUAUUAAAAAUCGGGUUGAUUCACAUCUAAUGACCACACACUUGGUUACAUACCUUGGCCUCUUAGCAAAGUUUUAGUUGUCAAAGUCAAGUAGUUUGAAUAGGAAUUGGAAAGCCGAGUUAGGGGACACUUAGGAAUUUUGUCCGGAAUUGUCAACCUAGUUUAACACUCACAAUGUGCAUCAUGUGAUUCAUAAUCUUCAUUAGCUAGCUCCUUCAUGGUUAAUGAAUCCUUCGUCUCAAGCUCCUUUCAACACACAAUCGGGCUGCUCGAUCCUUUAUUAAGCAGAAUUCAAUUUGAAUCAACAUUUCUUCGUCGACUGCAUCUGCCAUUUUGUCAUUUUCUACACACUGGAAAGCUGGAGUUCUGAUAUGCUUUUCACUUUCUGAUGGACUGGUUUCCAAUGAUGAAGAUGGAGAGCCAAAACCCUGCAGUCUUUUCUAAUCUAAAGACAUGCUCUAUGCAUGUCAAUUUCAAUGAGUCACCAAAUGCUCGAUGAUCCGUCGGAUUGCUUUCCUCUUAUUCUUAUAUUACCAGACUAAAUCCUAUACAAACCUUAACCACAAGUUUUCCCACUCCUGAAUGUAAGCUCCAGAUCAUCCAGAAGAUGAUUUAACUCUUGCACAGUUCAGGAUAGAUCAGUGACCGCUUCAACAAGGCCUCCCGCUUAGAAGUCUCCCCAUCCAAGUUCCCGAAACUAUGCAAAUUGCUGAUAUCUUCCUGUAAGCCUAGUUAUAUGAACCUUACUCAAUAGGCCAAGCAAGACUUUGGAGAGCGAAAAUCCAUUGUGGAAGCCUUGGAUGAGGAGAUCAUGGAAGAAAUGAGCAUUGUGUUCAAACUAGGCCUCAUGUGUACUAGCAAAGCACCUUCUGACAGGCCUUCCAUGAGGAGGUAUUGCUAAUUCUUGAUGGAUGUGGUCCUCAGCAUGGUCAUGCUACAUUACAAACGAUCCCACCACUUUUCAUGAAGUUAAAUGUAGUUAUUUAGAAGGUGUGCGUUGUAGAAAUGUAGAUACCAAGCAACCAAUUCUACCUCUCUUGAUAUUGUCUAGCUAACUAUUGAGCUCAUCUCUGGUAAAUGGGAAUGAACAGGAAUCAACGUCUCAUUUCUUUUCUCCUACGAGAAUUGAAACAAAAAUGAAUAUAAUGAAAAUGAAAUCUCAUUUAUAAAUGGGAUUUAAAUUCAUUCGAAGGUAUUUUGAUUCCCUUAUUUUUAUAAAUAUUUUUCAAAUGUUAAAAAGUUAAAGACUUUUUUAGAUAAGCUGAUUUUAAAAAUAAUUGGUUUUGUAAAAAACACAAAUUAUAAAUUUAAUUUAUAUAAUGUUAACUAAAUUUAAUUCACAUCUUAUUAAAAGUACAAAUAAAUUAGAAAUCAAUAGUUUUUAAUAAAAUAUAAAAAUAAAAUAAUAAAUUAUAUAUUUUGAUAAAUAUUAUAAAUAUAUAGAUAUUAACAUUAAUUGAUUUAUUUUGUUAAAAAUAAAGAAUAAUUAUUCAAAAUUAAUAAUUGCUAAUAUUAUUCUAUCUUAAAUAAAAAAAAAAAGAGUUAAUUUUUUAAGUUAUAAAUAAGUCAUUUUUUCAUAAUAUACAUAUGUUUAUUAGUCAAUUACAAAGAUGACAUUUUGAAAUAUUUUAUUUAAUCUAUAAUUAAUUAAUCAGUUUUUUUAAUUUCAAAUUAUUCUUAACAAUUACAAGAUUUAUUAAAGAAUUUAAAGCAUUAAUUAUAUCUAUUAUUUUUUAUAGUCGUUACAUUUUUUUGAGUUUUAAAUUAUUUUCUAAAAUUUUUAAACUUAUUAAUAAGUUCAAUACAAAGUUUGGUUUGGUUUGAAAUUCAUUUUCUCUAAUACAAAAAAUCGAAAGAAUAGUUAUCUAUUUUUACUUUGUUUUUAAAAAUUAUUUCUAAAGAGCAAUAACUAAAUAGUGGUAUAAAUUUUUGAAAGAAUUUUUUUUUUUUAAUUACACGUCCAAAUAGGUUUUUAUUAUUUAGCUAAAAAAAAAAAACUCUCAAGGGUUUUUUAAAUGAAAAUAAAAAACUAUUUCAAACUAUGUACAAUGUGAGUUUUUUAAAAUAAAAAUAAAAUGAAAAAUAUUUUAAAUCAUGUGUACAAAUAUUAUUAACAAUUUAUUUAUUUGUUUAUUUUUAUUCUCAUUUUUACUCAAAAUUGAAAUGGAAAUAAAUCAUCGUUCCAAUCUUAUAUUCCUAUAUGCAUCCAAACGUGAGAAUUAGAAUUACCAAAUUCAUUUUUAUUCAAGUAAGAAUAAGAAUAAAACAAAAUAUUUUUCCUCAUUCUUCAUUCCCACAUACUGAUCGCUUGAUUUUUCGUCGUUUAUUGGAUCAAAACAAAAUUUAUAACAUAAUUCACUAUUCUAGAGUAGCUUGUACCCAAUCAAAAAGUGGUUUUAGUACAAACUACUGUAGUAUAGUGGUUUUUAGGUGUCAUCCACUAGGAUGGAUUAUUCUUGGUAAUUAAGGCUUGAAUGAGAUGAUAAGAAAUGAUUGUGAUCGAGUGAAAUUGAUUUAAAAAUUCAUAGUGAAAAAUCAAUGUAACAAUGGUCUCAAAUUGAGAAGAAAAAUGAAAUACAAAAUAGAAGAAAAUUAAUAGAAAAUGAAAUUAUUGGAAUUAAGAUUUUCUAGAAAACAAUUUCCAUGGUGAAUAGAUGUUGAGAUCUAAUUUUCAUCAAGUUAGAUUAAAAACCUAAAUUUUCAUUCAAAUCGAUUUUUUAUUUAGCUUUAGAUCUAGAUUUAAUUUCUCUUCAAAUUAGGUCAUUUGAUCUAAGAGAUCAUUUCAAAUCAUAUAUUCAAUUCAUCUUAAAUUAUCUUCCAAUUAUUCACAUAAUGCAACUAUUCAAUCUCAUCAAAUCUAACUUUAAGAAUUUAAUGAAUCUAUGUAGUUUGCAUUGUAGAAGUCAUCCAAGACAAUUUGAAGAGAAAAAUUCUCAAAAUUCAAUUAAUUAAUCAAUUGGAUCAAAUUACCUUUGCAAUUCAAGCUCAUUUCUCUAAUUCACCAUAGAUUUUGCCUCUAAAUCCUCCUUCCUCCGAGAAAAAUGAGAUUUAGUCACUCAUGCUUGGAUAUUUGGUCUCACAAGGCAUGUUUGGCUAGCGAGAAAAUGAGAGAAAAUGAAGGAAAGUAGAUAAUUGUCUAGAGAGAGGAAAUCUGAAAAAUUCUACAAUUAGAAAUGUCUAAAAAGUUCUUUAAAUGAGAAAAUCAAGUUUCUAUUUAUAAGUCAAGGUCAAUUGGACACUUGGCAUUAUCUAAGAGGUCUUCCGGAGGUUUUUUCACUAAGAAAUCUGGAGUUUAGUAAUAAAAUGGUCAUUUCGCGCAAGAUCUAGCAAUUUCUCAUGAUUGUGCGAAAUAAAAAAAAUGCAAUAGCACCAAUUUUCGCAUGGUCAUGCGAAAUCAGCUUUGAGAUUUCCCUUUGAUUUGAAACAAAAAAAUGUCUUUUGGUUCAUUUCGCAUGACUAUAUAAAAUUUUUGCAUGAUCAUGCCAAAUGCAAAUACAUAAUUUUUCGCUCCUUUUUAUCAUUUCUUCCAUUUCUUUCUUUUGAAUCCACCUCAAUCACCUCCAAAUCCCGGUCUAAACCAAUUGCAUUACUUCUUUCAUUAUGCAUUUGGAUCUUCAUCAACUUUCUUUGUUCUCUUCAAUUUGAUUCAUCUCUUUUGUCACCAAUUUAUCAAAAUCAUACCUUGAAAUAACUCCAAAACUUCAUAAAACUUAUUAGUAACUCUUGCAAGGACAACAUGUUAAUCGAGUGUUUUAGGCAUAAUUACUACUUAAAAGAUAUGAAACUCAUGAGAAUUAUUAUUUGAAAUAUGCUCUUUUUGAGUAGUAAUCACAUACCAAACACACCUUAGCUUUCAUGGAUCCCCCAUCUAACAAUUACAUAUUUUACUUUAUCUAUUACCAUUUUUCCUAUUGAAAAUUCUCUCUUGUUUACCUAAUCAUUUUUUUCAUAAUUUCAUUUAUUACCUAUGUGUAGGCACCCCUCCACAUGUCAUCACACGUGUCACUUCGAACCAAGCACUGACCGGAUAAAGGGAAAGCAUUGCCUAGGUUCUUCCGUCCAGACCACAAUCAACCCAUCUAGGCAUAGACAGGAAGGCCCUUUCCCUACAUAGUUAGACAGCAGGCACGAUUGGAAUCCCUGAAUGGACGAAACCACUCGAUCAACAUUCAAGGCCCAUUGACCUACGCAAUCAUUCAUAUCUGGCAGGGGAAUGACUGAUGAGACCUCCCUCUACUCUCAAGUCGAUGUUAAUUAAUUACCGCACACAACCCCACACCUCCAACAGGUUAAAGGGACAAGAACUGCCUGAUCAAACAUCAUGCCAUAUCUUCUGAUGGCAUGUGCCAGUCGCCUGAAGCUGUAAUAAUUGCCCUGCCACUUGAAAAUAGUCAUCAUUACAAAGAAUGUUCAGUCAACACUACAAUGGCUUUCUCCUAAGCACUAUAAAAACCCUCCUAAAAGCACAAACAAAGUACGCAGGCACAAGAGCAAGCCUAUUCACUCUCUCUUUUGAGGAGCCUAACCUAUCUUUGUCUGACUUAAGUUUUAGAGGGGCAUGCCUGGACAACUUGUCCAAACAUCCUUUGUGCAAGAAAAAAACUCACCUAGUUUCCCCCAUUGCUAGGUAGAAGCUUUGAGAGGCACAACAUAAGGAGGAUUUGACUCCAGUUGGCCUUACAUCAACACUAUGCAUUUUCAAUGUUCAUAUAUUUUAGGGAUGUACCAUUUGAUAUAUUCAUGUGGGUUAAAGCAUGCAUUUUCUUUUAACCAUGUCAUAUUUUGAAUUAUUUAUUAUAUAACCAUCAUUAUAUUCAUUUAGGAGAAGUUAUUUUGUGAUGGGAUAUAUUUUCUGCUUUUUAUUUUAAAAAUUAGAAACCCCUAUGUACUCUCUUUAUCUUUCUUUGACACUUGAAUUUUUUAAGUUUUUAGGAGCUUCAAAAAUGUUAUAUGCACACCUUCCAUAUAAUCUCUCAAGAGUAAAGUGGAUAUUUAAAAAGACACAAAAGCAACUUCAUAGAUGAGUAUGUAUACAACAACUUAUGACUUAAUUAAGAGAGGGUGUUGCUAUGAGAAAAGACAUAUUCAAGCUUAUCACUUGAAAAGGCUUUAAAGAGGAUAUUCGAUAGAGGAUAAAGGAUUUGUAGACGUUUGGUUGGCUAAAAUGUGUCAACACAUUAUAUGUAUACCUUUUGGAGUUAAACUAGUCGUUAAACAUGAGUUCCCUGAUAGAUCAAACUUGAGGUUAACCAAGUGACUAGUCAUUAGAGUAUCAAAUACCUUAUAAUUUACAAGUAACUGUUGGAGGAAAAACUACUAAUAAGGUGAACCACAUGUCAACCAAGUAGCUUUUUUAUUUUUAUUAUUUUUCAUGUUUUCAAGUUUUCAACCAAAAAAAAUAAGUAAUAGGUCAACCACAUGUCCAUUGGUUCUAUUUUGUCACUACCUAAGCUUUAUUAAAGGAACUUUUCAGUAUCCUAAAGUCCCUUAAAUUAUGAAGCCAACUUUUGAGGACUUCAACCAAGUUUUAAGCAUAAUUUUCAAGUAAAAAAUAUCUUAAUUUAAUCUUUUAAUCUUUUAAGAACCUUAGAGUAUUAUACAUCAAAAAUGAGGUUCAUGGUGGUAUCAAAACUAGGAUUACCUAAUUUUUAAGCCAAUAGUUCAUAAUAUUUAAGAUGCCUUCUCAAACAAGGUUUUAGUUCCACCCCUUUAAAACUAAAGUUGAGAUAGUCUUUUCAAGAAAAAUAAUGUUUCAUACUUCAAUAAAGGAAUGUCUUGUACCGAUAUUCUUUUUUCCUCUAUUCUUCCUUACCUUCAUUCUUAUAAAGCAAACUGAUCUUUCCAAAUGAAACCCUAACUUUAAUUUUUAAGAAACUUAAAAUUUAUCUUAAAGUACAAAAAGGUGAUAACAACAAUGAGAGCGUUGCACUUGUAUGGAAUAAAUGGACAAUCAUAAGGAAAAUUUUAAAAUAAAAAAUAAAAAAUGGUCUUCUCUUUCUUAUUUCUUCCUAAAAUUUUUCUACUAAUUUUUUUAUACAAAGAAGCAUACCUUUAACCACAAAUUAUUCAAAUUUUCAAGCAAACCCUAAUCCUCAAAUCAUCAAAAUCAUUAAAAUAAAUAAAUAAAUAAAAUGUUAUAUAAAAACCCUAAGCUCACUUUUUGCUCUUAUAAUCAUCCAAUCAUCUUAUCUUUUUUGUCAUAAGAUAGCAAAAUGUAGGCUUUGUUUGGUUAUCAGAGAAUUUGAGAGAAAAUAUAAGGAAAAGAAAAAGAAAUGAAAUGAAAGAAAAUAAAAAAAUUAAAUCAAUAAAUUAUUUUUAUAUAUUUUUUCAAACUCAUUUAACUUAUUCUAAUUUUUCAAUUAUAAAAUUAAAUAAUUUGAAAAUAUAUAAAUUUCUAACUAAUUUUAAUUAUAUUUUAUUUUCUUUUAUAAUUUUCAUAUAUAGUAUAAUCAAAUACCAAUGUUUUCCAAACCGAACCGAUGCUUGAACCGGAAAAGUUACCAAUUCACAAUUCAUGGUUCACUGAUCGGACUGGUGGUCAAACUGCGGUCGAACUAAUAAUGUCAUAAAUAAUAAUUUUUUUCUUUCUUCUCACUAACUAAUCCCACAUCGGAAAUGGAUCUCAAAUAUGUAGGGAUUGUGGUAUAAAAGGCAUGAUAGAAUCAUUAACUUGCAGGACUAAAAUCUUAUUGGGCUUGAUGACAAAUGGGUUGGAUGGGCUCCUCAUGGAGUGAUCCCAUUCUCUUAGGGCAUCAAAACUUUUUGUUUUUUUUUGCUUCAAAAAAAAAAAAAGAAAAAGAAUUGUUCAAUUCGCUAAGAAUCGCCCAAUUCAGGUGAUUCGUUGGUUCAACUGUUGGUUUGUCCAAUUCACCAAUGGUUCGAUGCCCAAACGGUUUUCUGGGUGAACCGGAUUAGUUUUGUUACUAGUCAGACCAACCGGUCCAAUCCGAUAUUUAAAUCAUUACCAAAUACAAUAAAAUAUUUUUUCUUAAUAUUUUUUUUUCUUUUUUUAGUACUUCUCAAGAACCAAACAUAACCAUAAGACUAAUCAUAUUUUUUAUUAUAAGCUCAUUCGGAUACAAUGCCCCAUGUGAGAAUCCCAAAACGUUUUUCAAUGUUUUAUCAAUAUUAAGAUUUUGAAAAUCUAUGGAAAUUAUUAUUUUCUUUUUUCUUUUUUCUUUAUUUGGAUGAUAGAGCAUGAUUAUACAAGAAAGGUCAAUGCAAAGAUCAAUAUCUACAAUCUUGGAGUUGCACUUCUAGAGCUGGGCCCUAAAAGAGAACCCAAUAGGGGAAAGGGGCAACAUAUAAACCUUGUUCAAUGGGCAUGGCAGCACAUUGGAGAAGGAAAGUCAUUUGUGAAAGCAUUGGAUGAGGAGAUCAUGGCACAAUGCUACUUCAAAAAAAUGAGUACUAUAUUCCCAACAAUCAAACUUUAUCAUGAAAAUUUUGAUAAUAGUGAGGAUUCUCUUAUCUACGAGUAUAGAGACAAAUAGGUAAAAGGUAAAUAAAUUAUUAAUAGAGCUUAAAAUAAUAAAUUGAACAAAUAAACAUAUGGUAAGAUUGGAACUCAUUAUCCUCCUACUAAAUAAAGUUCUAAUACCAUAUUGGAUAACUAAAUUUUUUAAGAACUUAAACUUAAGAUUUGGAUCCUUAUGAUUGUGUAUCACACUUUCUAAUAAUAUAUCAAAUACUUUCCUAGAUUCCGUAAAUACCAAAAAUGAUAUUUGUUUUGGGAACAAGACUAGAGUUUUGAGUGGAUAUAAUAUAUUUUAAAAAAUGCACAAAAUAGAUUCUCAAGUAAAAUAAUUCCCAAGCUAGCACAUUUUAGCUACAUGGGCAUCCAUAUGGCUAGAGUUUUUUUUUAUGUUGUUUUAACUACGAUUUUGAAUUUUUUAAACAUAAAAUGAUAGUUAGAGAUUAUAGUUUUAAAUUUAUUUUUAAAAUCAUAGUCAUCAAUUAUGGUUUUGAGCUUAAAUUUAAAAUCUUAGUUGGUAACUAUUGUUUUAACCAUUUUCCAAUCAAAUCAAAAUUAUAGUUCACAACUAUGAUCAUGUGAUAUAGAUACACAUGUCAAUGAAACACUCCAAUUUGAAAAUUAUUUUGAGAAGGGAGCUACUUUGUAGAUUUUUAUUUUUUCAAAUAAAUUAUUUUUCCUCAAACCUUAGAAAGCUAACUUGUUUAGAACUAAAUUCAAUUAUACACUUUCCUAAUUUUUCUUUUUAUAAGAUCAAAUCCAUGUUCACUUUUCCUCUAGAAUCCUCAUGAUUACUUGUAGAAUUCUUGAGAUGAAAUGGAAGUGUGGUAUGAGAUGCAUGCUUGUUUAAACUUCAGUUUCAAUCUUGAUCAAUGCUGUCCAUUUCCUUAGCUGUGCAGGAUGUGGAACCACUGCUGGAUCCUGUUGUGAGACUUGACCAUCAAUAUCCUUCUCUCCAUUUGUGGGGUCCUGCCCACUUAAUCACUACUUUAGAAAUUUGACCAACACCCAAAUUCUCAACAGCCCAAAAAUAUUUUUAUUAAAGAGAAAGAUAAUUAUAAUAUUUCUGAAAUUUUUAGUUAAAUAGAAAAUUUGUUUCCCAAGCUGAUUAUGGUUACUUCUCAAUAACACAAAUAAAUGAUAUGAAGCAUAAAAUAGAAAGUUACAAAGGUUUUUAUUCUUUGAGUUGUUUGCACUUUGUACUGCUAUUUUUAUCAUUUACCAAUGUAAUUAAUUAAUGGUGAUUAAAUGUUUAAAAAAAUUGUACUUAAUGCAUAUUUUUAUGAUGACGAAGACUUGCAAAAGCAACCUUAGGAAUUGGUCUGGACCAUUUUUUUGAUAAGCUUCAUGGAAUUUUAAGAUGGAGAAUGCUACUUCCACUUUCUUUAACCAAGCGUGCCAAACGCGUUCUCUCUAAUUUUUCUAUAUUCUUAACUAAAAAAUUAGAAUAUAGAAAUAACAAAUUACCAUCCAAUAGGCCCACAAUGAAAGAGGUUUUGAAAAUUCUUCAACAGUGCAGUCCUCAAGAGGGCCAUGGACGAAAGAAAAAGGACCAUGAAGUUGCACCUCCACUUCGAAAUGACACUUACCCCGCCACUUACAAGUUAUGAGGAUAGAGCCCUUAAAAACAUGAUAUGAUGUAAUAGAUUUAGAAUUCAUUAUUUAUUUAAUGAUGUUCUGAUUUCACUUUUAUUUAUCCUUAUUACAUGUAUUAUACUUUAUGAGCAUUCUUGUCUGCAUAUUUUGCAUUGCACGUAACUUAGGUGCAUUAGAAGUUGCACAGAAGAUCUAGGUCAUGGGUUCCUUGCAAGUAGAUGACUUGUUCACAACCAGUUCAUGGGUUUAGGAAGCCCAUUAGAGGUUGUAGUUAACUACUUCCUAAUUGGAAGAAUGGCUAGUCUUAGCUAUUGGGAUGAGUUUCUCAUGGUGAAUGCAUUAGUGUGUAUGAUUACACAUUGGACAUGACUUAUGGUGAGUCAUGACUUAAGGCUAUCAAGCAGUCAUAACCUCACCAAGCUACUUCAUUGUGUUGUUUCCCAACCUUGAGAGAAUAUCGAGUUUAUACUAAAGUUAGCAAUGACUUUAACAUACGUGUGAGAUCGUAAAUUGAUCAUAUAUUCCCUAUGAAUUGAGUCACUAUUGAUGGAAGAUGGUAGCAAUAGGUAUUUUCAAUAAAAACCAUGAUAUCUCUUGGGAUUAAGACAAUAUGCCUCUUUUGGUGAUUCUAAAGAGGUGUGUUCAUGGAAACUAUGGUCAUAGUAGUUCCUUAAGUAAAACUCGAUAUAGGCUCUUUGAGAGCUAAGACAUGUCAAUUGAAUACACAAUAGGAGGAUUUAUAACUCAAGGAUGGUAGAGGUAGUCUUGAAAAACUAAUAACUUUCACUUUGUUAGACUAUGAAUAUCAAUUCAUGGGGAAACUAAACACAAUAAAUAGCAAGUCACGAACCCGAACAUUUGGUAUCUCAUUGUUAUUUUCAAUAAAAUAACAACGAGAUGGUAAGUUAAUCAUAUAUUCCUAAGGAAGUGUGUUCAUACAAACUAUGACCAUAAUAGUUCCUUAAGUGGAACUUGACAUAAACUCUUUGAGAGCUAAGACAUGUCAAUUAAAUACAUAAUAGGACGAUCUGUUAUUAAAAUAAGGAAGGAAGAAGAUUAAAAGAAAAUUUAAACUUUUUUAUCUUAGAAUAUCAAAAAAGAAUAAACUUUAAAAUGCUUUUUAAUACAAAAGAAAACAAAAUAGUGAAUAUAUUUAUUUUAAAUAGUAUUUUAAUCAUUAAAUUAUUUACUUUUAAAAUAUAAAAAAUAGUUUUUAUUAAUUUAAAUUAACAUAUUUUUUUAGAAAAUAUUUUUCAAAAUACUUUUUGAAUCAUUAAUAUAAUUUUUGUUUAUUUAUAAUUUAAUAAUAAAAAAUCUAAAAAUGGUUAAAUAAGGGAGAAUUUGCUUGAGGUGGUAUGUGAAGAGUAAUGUUUUAAAAACCGGAUCGGACCGACCGGUGUCCGGUUCCACCAACCAAACAGUUCUAAGUUAACCCCUGAUUUUGCAAACAUGGAAGGGUGUUCCAUUGGAUUUAAAUGUUUUGGGCUAAAGCCCACACCCAUCUCCACAAUUUUAUGAGCUGAGUCUUGAGCCCAUGUGAUGAUGGCUUUUAUAGGCAUUCUUUGUAGCCUAUUUCCUCUCACAAAUAGUUGUGGGAUUGCUAACUUAUCAAAGAAACAAAUAUAACAAGCCUCUCCACCACCAAGAGGGCUUGAACCUUGCACCUCAGGUUCUACCAUCAGAAUAUGACACCACUUGGCUACAUGCAGUUUGUUAUCUAACAUGCCAAACAAAACAAUAUACGUUAGAUUUUAACAUUUUUUAUAAUAUUAAAUAAAAAUAAUAUAAUAUUUUAAAAAAUUAUAAAAUUAGUUUAAAUUUUUAUUUUUAAUAUAUUCACAUUUAAAUAUUAUACACAUUUCAUUUAAAAUAUUAAUAUGAUUUAAUUUGAUAAUAUCAAAGAUAUAAAAUAAUAUUAUUGAUUUUUAAUUUAUUCAUAUAUAUUUUAAAAAAAAUUAAUUAUUUUUAAUUUUAAUAAUAUAUAAAUGACAUAUUUAUGACGUCACCGGUUCGACCACCGAUCCAACCAAUGAACCGGUAACUUUUUUGGUUCGAUGACCGGUCCGAUUUUGAAAACAUUGGUGAAGAGUGAGGGAUAAAGAAAAAAAUGAUGGCCCACAAACACCACAUGACCUUUGAUGUGAUAAAUGAAAAUGGGUAUGUUAGUCCCAUACUAUUGCCAUCCAACAGGUCCGCGAGUUUUUUUCUAGUCAAUGGACAUUUUCCACUUUCAUUUCGGAUUCCACGCAGACUUGCGAAGGCAACCUUACAAUUAUUGGUGGACGCAUUUUCCUGAUAAGCUUCGUGGAAUCUUUAAGACGAAGGAGGAUGCUACUGUCCACAUUCUUUAACCGAGCGAGCUAAACACGCUCUCUAAGUUUUCUAUAUUCUUAAUUUCUAAUGUUAUAUAUAUAUAUAAUAUUUUUUAAAUGUAAUAAUUAAAAAAUGAUUUUAAUUUAUCAUAAUUUUAAGAGUCAAAUAAUAAAAAAUUAUUUUUAAAAGAUAAAAAAUCAUUUAAAAAAAAAGAAGAAAAUUUCAACAUUUUAUAUCCAUUUAAAAAUUAUCUUUUAAAACAACUUUGGAUUGAUAUUUUAUAAAUUAUUAUAAAUUUUAAAAUAUUUUUUCAAUUGUUAUUCAUUAAAUUAUUUUUAGAAACUACCAUAUAUAUUUUUUUUUUGUCUCAUUCUAGUUUAAAAACGGAAGGAAGGGUAAGAUGCGGGCUUAAAUUUUAUGGUCCCAUUAAAAUAUAAAAAUAAAUAUCAAUAAUAAGAUGGUUUCAUGCAUAUUUUCUUUAUUCUUUUAUUCAUACUAUAAUUUUAUUUAUUUAUACUGGCUUUGUUAGUACGUUGGAUGACCAGAAUUUCAUGAUACCUUUUAUAUAUUACUAAUGGCAGUGAGGUGAUGGAAUAGACCUAUAUCAUGGGUCUAUUCAACUUUAUUAAAGUUUGGAUUCUUUCAAAGUUAGAUAAAAAUUCGUAUUAUUCCUACCACUUUGACCCAUGAUAAAAAAUUUAUAAUACAUAAAGAAAAACCUUUUUUUAUUAUUAUUAUCUUUUUUAACAUUCGGUUGUUAGACCUUCAAAACAAUGAACUAAAAAGAUGCAACCAAGUCCAAGUUAAAAUAAAGAAUAAAGAACUCAAACAUCUUAUAACACAUACUUGAUAUAAAAAGGUAAAAUAUAUAUAUAUAUAUAUUUAAAAAAAAAAUAGUUCAUGCUUUUGUGUGAAACAAAGUACUAUUAUUUUUAUAUUAUUUUAUUGUCCAUAAAGUAAUAUAAAUAAUUUUAAUGGUUUGAAUGCCCUCCAGUUUUUAACAUAAGAAUCCCUUACACAUAUAUGAACCAAAAAAGGACCAAUCAUACCAUACCAUAUGACAUAAACAUUUUAGGUUUUAUUACUUUGUACAUGAAUCUAAUUUCAUUAUUUUAUAUAUUAAUAUCAUUUAUUUGUAUUUGAUUUUAUCUAUUUAUACUUUGAUCCCAAAUAUUAGUAUUUACAUUCACUUAAAUUUUAUCGUACAUUUUCAAUGAUAAAAAUAAAUGUUGAUUUAAUACCUAAACUUUUUCUAACAUUAAAGUAAAUAUGAUUUCAUGAAUUUCACAUUUUCUAUUAUCUUGACCUAAAUGCAAUGGGGUUGAUCACUUUUUUCUCAUUCCAUAAUUCGAUCCAGUGAAGAUGAUUUGGUCACCAACCAUUUACUAAGUUGUGACACCCAUUUUCUACACCAACUCAAACACUCCACUUUUGUUAAUAACUUUUAGCCAAUAUAAAGAAAUGAACAUACCAUUUGAUAUAUUCACAUGGAUUAAAGCAUGCAUUUUCUUUUAAUGAUGUCAUAUUUUGAAUUAUUUUAAAUAUUAACAUCAUUACAUUCAUUUAAAAGAAGUUAUUUUAUGAUGGGAUAUACUUUUUACUUUUUAUUUUUAAAAUUGAAACCGUUAUAUACUCUCUUUAUCUUUCUUUUACACUUGAAUUCUUUAAGGUUUUAGGAGCUUCAAAAAUAUUAUAUGCACACCUUCCACAUAAUCUCUAGAGCAUAAAGUGGUUGUACAAUAGGUACAAAAAGCAACUAGCAUGUAGACAAUUUAUGACUUAAGAGAAGGUAUUGUUACGACAAAAGACAUAUUCAAGCUUAUUAUUUGAAAAGGCUUUAAAGAGGAUAUUCAAUGGAGAAUAAAUGAUUUUUCAAGGUUUUUAACUAAUUUUAAUUAUAUUUGAUUUUUUUUUCAUGUUUUUCAUAUACAUGUAUAAUCAAAUGAGAGAAAAUAAUUUUUUUUAAUAUUUUUUUAUUUCCUUAGUAUUUUUCAAGAACUAAACAUAAUUAUAAGAUUAGUCAUAUUUAUUAUUAUAAGCUCCUUGGGUAAAUUUCCCUUCAAUGAUUAUCCUAAAACGUUUUUACAUGUUUUAUCAUUAUUAUGAUUUUGAAAAUCUAUAGAAAUUCAUGGUUUUUAUAACUUAUUUAGAUGACAGAAUAUGAUUAUACAAGAAAGGCCAAUGAGAAGAUCGAUGUCUACCAUUUGAAGUUGCACUUCUAGAGUUAGCUACUAUAAGAGACCUAGGGGGAAGGGGCAGGAUAUGAACCUUGCUCAAUGGGCAUGGCAGCACCUUGGAGGAGGAAAGUCGACUGUGAAAGCAUUGGAUUGAGGAGAUCAUGGCACUACGCUCCUUAGAAGAAACGAGCACUGUGUUCAAACUCUUUGGCUGCCACCAGAUAAACUCAUUUUCAUUGCCUACUUUGCCUUCUUAUCUAAUACUAUCAUAUGCCUUUAAUGCCUUCUUUAUACAAUUUUGCGUGCAUGAACCAGAAAGCCUAUUGGUGGGCAAGGAGUGUUGCUCUCUCUUAGAAACCAAGAUUGGUUCUAUAAUGAAAAUACCGUCUUCCGAGGGCAUAUGAAACAAGAAGAUAAUUCUAAUAAUCAAAGCUUAAUCAUGAAAGUCUUCAUCAUAGUGAGAAUUCCCUUAUCUAAAAGCGCAAAGACAGAUAGACCUUUAGCAAAAUAAAUUAUGAAUAAGUUAAUUUGAGCUUAAAAUAAUAAAUAGAGCAAAUAAACAUGUAAUAAAGUUGGAACUCAUGACCCUCCUACUAAAUGAAGUUCUAAUAUUAUAUUGGAUAAUUAAUUUUUUUAAAAACUUCAACUUAAGAUUUGCAUCACCAUGAAUGUUGUGUCAUGCUUUCUAAUAAUAUAUCACAUAUUUUUCUAGAUUUUAUGUUAGACCUGUGAUUACUUCUCUAAAUCAAAUUUUGAGCACAUUGUAUAUAUGUACUUGUUAGGAUGAAUCAAUUAUCAAUGAAUGAAGAAAUACAACUCCUCGUAGAGUCUCUUUGCUUAUUUCCUCUACAACUUGAUUAGUUGAACUUAAAAGAACUCCUGAGUGCUUUCACAAAAUGUUUUGAACUUCAAACCUACACAAAGAUGGAAACCAUAUUGUUGAGGUCUCACGUCCCUGGUGACCCACGUAGUUGCCAAAUGGAUGGACGCACGAUCUCAACCAAUAUAGAUUCCUAGUUCAGUGGUUCCUGCAAAAGGCGUCCGGACAGGGUGUCCGGACACACCCUUUGAUGGUUUUGUCAGCCAUGGUAAGAGAGAUAAAUCAGUUGGUCUUUUUCUAGGUAUAACAAGCUUACCUUCCUCUUUGUGUGAAGGUUCAUAUAUAUAGUACCAGAAGCUCUGUUUCCCUCUUUAAUGGUAGGGAGAUAUUUUGGCUUGUCAUGAUGCCACUAGGUGGUGGCAGGGCCAUCAUCACCCUACGGGCGGCUGACAGAGAUUGUGGGAGGUGCCGCGGCUGUCAAAGAUCGUGGGAAGUGACUUGCCAUCACUUCAUUCCUGUCCUUUCACUCUGCAUGUGGCGGAAUGUGGGCCAUGGCAGACUGUUGUGAUAACAUGCAAGACUUGCUUACUUCAGUCAAUGAUCCGGACAAACAUAUCCGGAUAGUAUAUGUCGGUCGUCCGGAUGCGAUGUGGCGUUCGUCCGGAUGUUAUAUUUGUGAGUGUUGUGUGUCUCUCCUUGAGGGAGUCUGGAUAGGAGAGGCGCGCCACGUGUACUCUUAGGGAAAUCCGGAUGGGAUUAAUCCGGAUAGAAAUGUAUGCCACGUGUCACCAGGAAGUGUGUGCCACAUGUCAUCAGGGGGAGGGGUCCCUACAAUGAUAGAUUCCUGGUUCAGUGGUUCCUGCAAAAGGCGUCCGAACACACCCUCCAAUGGUUUUGUCAGCCAUGGUAAGAGAGAUAAAUCAGUUGGUCUUUUUCUAGGUAUAGCAAGCUUACCUUCCUCUUUGUGUGAAGGUUCAUAUAUAUAGUACCAGAAGCUCUGUUUCCCUCUUUAAUGGUAGGGAGAUAUUUUGGCUUGUCAUGAUACCACUAGGUGGUGGCAGGGUCAUCAUCACCCUACAAGCGGCUGACAGAGAUCGUAGGAGGCGUCGCGGCUGUCAGAGAUCGUGGGAAGUGACUUGCCGUCACUUCAUUCUUGUCCUUUCACUUUGUAGGUGGCGGAACGUGGGCCAUGGUAAGCUGUUGUGGUGACGUGCAAGACUUGCUUACUUCAGUCAAUGAUCCGGACAAACAUAUCCGGAGAGUAUAUGUCGGUCGUCCGGAUGCGAUGUGGUGGUCGUCCGGAUGUUAUGUUUGUGAGUAUUGUGUGCCUCUCCUUGAGGAAGUCCGGAUAGGAGAGGCGCGCCACGUGUACUCUUGGGGAAAUCCGGAUUGGAUUAAUCCAGACAGAAAUGUGUGUCACGUGUCACCAAGAAGUGUGUGCCACGUGUCAUCAGGGGGAGAGGUCCCUACACAUAUCAUUGAAAUAAUUAAAUAGAUCAACUGAAAUCAAAGUGCUAUUGUCUUAUUUAAAAAAAAAAUUACAAAAAAAAAAAAAAAUCAUGGGCUUUAUGCAAAAACGAUAGUUGCGCAAAACUCCUUCUUUGGAAUACUAGAUUGGUGUCAUGUAUCAUUUCACUUGGCACCUUCUUCCAUAACUAUCAAAAAUGAUAUUUGUUUAUGAGGAAAACAAGAGUUUUGGGCAAAUAUAAUAUAUUUGAAAAAUAAAUUCAUAAAAUAGAUCUUCAGCCAAAAUAAUUUUCAAGUUAGUGCAUUUUAACUACUUGGACAUCUAAAUAGUCUUAGAAUGUUUUAUUUUUUUUGAAGUAUAAAUUUAAAACCGUAGUUGGUAAUUAUAAUUUUAACCAUUUAAAAAAAGUAAAGUUUCUAAGUUAGUACAUUUCAACAUGAACAUCCACGUGGCUUGAGAAUAAUUUUUUUUUAAAAUGUUUUUUGCAUCACAAAAUUGUAAUUAGUAACUAUUGUUUUGAAUUUUUUUAAACAUAAAACCAUAAUUGGAGACUCUAAUUUUAAAUUUAUCUUUAAAAUUCAUAGUUGAUGAUCGUAGUUAUCGACUAUAGUUUAAAUUUAAAUUUAAAACCAUAAUUGAUAACUAUUAUUUUAACCAUUUAAAAAACAUCAAAAUUAUAGUUAAGUAUGGUUUGUGACAUGGAUACACAUGUAGAUAAGACACUCUAGUUUGAAAAUUAUUUUGAAAGGGACCUACUUUGUAGAAUUUUAUUUUUGCAAAUAAAUCAUUUUUCCUCAAAACUCAAAACUAACAUGUUUAGAAAUAAAUUCAAUUAUACACUUUCCUAUUUUUCUUUUCCCUAAUAUAAGACCAAGUCCAUGUUAUCACUUUUCCACUAGAAUAUUCCUCACUGAUAUCACUUUUCCACUAGAAUAUUUCUCACUGUCCAUUCCCUUAGCUGUGCAUUAUUCCAAGGCCAGUUUUCUAGCUACCAUAAUUUAGUCCAGGAUGUGGAACAACUGCUGGAUCAUGCUGGAUCCUUUUGUGAGACUUGACCAUCAAUAUCCUUCUCUCCAUUUGUGGGGUCCUGCCCACUUAAUCACUACUUUGGAAAUUUCGCUAACACCCAAAUUCUCAACAACCCAAAGCCACAGACUUCUGCAUCCUUCCAUCCAUCUUUCUUUAAGUAAAAUAGACACCCAUUUGGUCUUUGUUCGUCAUUUGUUUCACUUUCUCCCAAGAAUACUAAUCUUGUCUGACUGAUUAGUUUCAUCAGAGAUUUUUCAAGAAAAAGAAUAUCACAUUUUAUAUUUGAAAAAAAAAAAAGUAUUGAAUAUAUUAGCAAGAUAUCAUCCUCGAAAAGUUACGGUAGUUGACCGGCAUAGAAAAAAGAAUAAGUGAAUGGGGAUGACAACGGAGCGGGUUUUUUUGGGUACUCGUCCUUAAUGAAACGGAGUUUAAAUUUAAUAAACGAGUUUGAGAUGAGUAUGAAUUUUUUUUUUAAACCCGGGACAGGUUCGGGUAUUGCCCCAUCCCGUCCCGUCCCGAUUACAUAUAAAAUUAAUUUUAAAAUUAAUUUAAUUUAAAAUUUUAUUUUAUUAUUUUUAAUAUAUAGAUAAUAAUAAAAAAAUUUAAUAAAAUAAAUUAUAAAAUAUAUAAUAAUUUUAUUAUUUAUAAAAUAUAUUUAUUUUAAUGUAAUUAAAAAAUUUAAAAGUAAUUUUUAAAUAAAUAAAAAACUAAAUAGGGUGGGACGGGCCCAUAUCCGCCUCGUUUAAUUUUUUAAAUGGGACAAAAAUAAGAAUUAUUUUUAAUAAAUAGGACAGGAUUGGGAUGGAGUGACCCGUCCUGAAACCCUUCCGUUGGCAUUCCGACGAUUUUGGAAUUUUUGUUUAUGUUACUUUGCAUUGUUCUUAGAUUUCCCCUUUCCAAUAAAAGCCUGACAUUAUAUGUAUAGAAUUCCGUAUAAUCCAAUCAUUGCUUCGGUGGUUCGUGUAUACCACGGGAAUUAGGAUAAGUCUCCUCUUUUGACGAGUCAAUGCCCUUUCGCAUUCAUUUAUAAUUGUUUGGAUUACAUGAAAGACUAUAAAAGCAACCUGGCCCCAUUUUGUUGACGGAAGCUGCCACUUCCAAACACACUUACUGAUUUUUGGUUAUUUGUUUAUUCUGUUUUCUGUUUUUGAUUUUUAAAGAAAAUAAAAAUCAAGUUUAAAAACAUGUUUAGAUUUUUUUUUUUUUUUUAAUUUUGAGUACAAAAAUGGUAAGAAAUAAAAAUAUUAAUUUGGUGUUUUUAAAAUUUUCCUAUGACAAUGUUUUCCUUCAACUUAAAAAUAGAAAAAUUAUCUUUAGAAUUAAUUAUAAAAUUAUAUAUAUAUAUAUAUUUGAUAUAUUAUUUUAAAAUAAAAACAUAAUCAAAUACAGAACAAUAAAGCAAAACAAUUAUGUGUGACCGGGUCAGUGUCCAUGUCCAAUCUCCGCUACUCUAAAUCGUACCAUGCCCACAUCAAGCUUUCAUUGAGUCAUUCCAUGUUCAAACCAUAACCCACGGCAAGACUGACCCAGAAAAUUUUGCCCCAUCCCGUCCCACACGAUUACAUAUAAAAUUAAUUUUAAAAUUGAAUUUAAUUUAAAAUUUAAAAUUAAUUUAAUUUAAAAUUUUAUUUUAUUAUUUUUAAUAUAUAAAUGAUAAUAAUAAAAUUUUAAUAAAAUAAAUUAUAAAAAAUAUAAUAAUUUUAUUAUUUAUAAAAUAUAUAUUUUUAAUAUAAUUAAAAAAUUUAAAAAUAAUUUAAAAAAAAAAACUAAAUAGGACGGGAUAGGACGGGUACGAGAAUUUUAAACGGGAUUGAAAUGAAAAUUAUUUUUAAUAAAUGAGACGGGAUUGGAAUGGAAACGAUCCGUUGGAACCGCCCGUUGGCAUUCCGAUAAUUUUGGAAUGUUUGUUUAUGUUACUUUGCAUUGUUCUUAGAUUUCCCCUUUCCAAUAAAAGCCUGACAUUAUAUGUAUAGAAUUCCGUACAAUCCAAUCAUUGCUUCGCUGGUUCGUGUAUACCACGGGAAUAAGGAUAAGUCUCCUCUUUUGACGAGUCAAUGCCCUUUCGCAUUCAUUUAUAAUUGUUUGGAUUAUAUGAAAGACUAUAAAAGCAACCUGAGUCAAUACCCUUUCGCAUUCAUUUAUAAUUGUUUGGAUUAUAUGAAAGACCAUAAAAGCAACCUGGCCCCAUUUUGUUGACGCCUUGACGGAAGCUGCCACUUCCAAACACACUUACUGAUUUUUGGUUAUUUGUUUAUUCUGUUUUCUGUUUUUGAUUUUUAAAGAAAAUAAAAAUCAAGUUUAAAAACAUGUUUAGAUAUUUUUUUUAAAAAUUUUGAGUUCAAAAAUGAUAAGAAAUAAAAAUAUUAAUUUGGUGUUUUUAAAAUUUUCCUAUGACAAUGUUUUCCUUCAACUUAAAAAUAGAAAAAUUAUCUUUAGAAUUAAUUAUAAAAUUGUAUAUAUAUAUAUAUAUAUAUAUAUAUAUAUUAUUUUAAAAUAAAAACAUAAUCAAAUACAGAACAAUAAAAUAAAACAAUUAUGUGUGACCGGUCAGUGUCCAUGUCCAAUCUCCACUACUUUAAAUCAUUGAGUCAUUCCAUGUUCAUACCAUAAUCCACGGCAAGACGACCAAGAAAAUUUUGCAAGCGUCGACUUCUUCUUCUGAUUUUUACUGGCUGUCAGGAUACAAACCUUUAUCGAGGAAAAAGACUGCAUGCCUCUUUAGGCUUCUUCAAUUUUUUUUUUAUAAAUAUUUUUAUAAAAAAAUGAAUUAAUUUUCAAAUUCAACUUAUAUGAUAUAAUAAUAUAGUAUAAUAUAAUAUAUAAUAUUAAUAAAUAAUAAUAAAUAAAAUAGUUAUAUAUUAUUAUUAUAUAUUAUAUAUAUUAUAUUUUAUAUAGAGGAUGUUCGAUAAAUCAAUUUUAUGAUUUAAAGUGAUUUAAUAACUUAAUUUAAAUUAUUAAAUAAAUUAAAUAUUUUAUAAAAUAUCAUAAUAUUUAAAAUGAUUUUAAAUAUUAAAUCAAAAUAAUUAAUUUAUUUUUAAUCUGAAAUCAUUUUUAUUAGAUUUUAUUUUUUAGUAUAAGUUUACUCGAUUAAUGAAUUAAAUUUUUGAAAUUAUUUAAAAUAAUUAUAAAAUAUUUACUUUAUAAAAAAUGAGUCAUACAUAUUAUAAAGAUUGUUAUUACAUAUUUGGAGUGAUCUGAGAUUCAUAAUAAAUUUAGCAUUUUAAUUUAAUAUUUAAAUAUUAUUUUUAAUUUUAAAUUAUGAUAUUAAAUUAUUUUAUUAAAUGUAUUUAAUAACUUACAUUGAAUUAUUAAAUCAUUAUAUUAAUUUAUCACACACCUCCUAAAAAUCCUUUUUUCUAGUAUACCAAAAAUAAGACCAAUAAAAUCAUAUCAUUAGGUCUCAAUUUUUUUUUACGUUCCAUUUAUUUAUAUUUUAAUAAUAUAUGUUUGGAUCGUCGUGAAAUGACGUAGAUUUUACCUUACACUUUUGAUAGUCAGUGCUGCAUGUUGAUUAGGUUUACACUUGCCCUUCUUUCUAUGGUAUUUUCCUGCGCUGCCACUGUCGACAUGGCAGUCAACUAGUCAAGGAGCAUCGACUUAAAAGUGAUGUGAAAUCAGUUGGAAUUAUUAAUUAUACUUGUGGAAAUGAAGUGCUUUAGACCCAGGUGGGCCUGGAAAUCAGCUAAAGGUCCUCCUUUCGUCGUGAUAAUAAAUAUAUGAAAUAGGAAUGAAAAAAAAAAAUACUCCUUUGACUUAUCAUAACAAAUAUAUAAAAAUCGGGAAUAAUUAUAUUUUAGACCUAAUUAGACUAAAAAAUUAAGCUUUAAUCCAUAUAAAUUCAUAAUAUAAGCUAAAAACUUAUAGAAAGUGUGAAAAUUGAGAAGAAUGAUAUGAAAUUUUUAUCUUUCCAAAAAUAAUAUUUAUUGGUUAUGGAAAAAAAGAGAGUAGAAAAACAUUAAUUUAAAUUUUAUUCCUUUUGCAAAUUUCAAUAAAAUUUAAUAUAAUUUAGUGGUUUGGAAAAAAAUACACCCAUGUCCAAAAAAUUAAAAAUAAAUUAUUAUUAUUUAAAAAUCAAACAUCUUGGAAAAUAUAUAUAUUUAAAAUUAUGUAUAUAAAAAAUAAUUAAAAAUAUGUCAAUUUUUUUUUAAAUGAUAUAUUUUUAUAAUAUAUUUUAAAAAAAAUUAGUUUUCUAAAAAUAAUAAAUUUUCAUAAUAAUUAUUAAAAAAAAUUAAGAUAAAAAAGUUUUUCAAACCUUAUGAUAGAAAAUAGUUCUGAAUGGUAUAUUAGUCUCUUCAUAUUUUAUAUCAUCUCCAUCAAUUAUGCAACUUUUAUGGGUCAAAUCUUAAUUUUUAGGUCCAAUUGGGUUCAAAAGACAAUUGUCCCUAAAAAUUAUCUCAAAUAAUAAAUUGUUUUUACCCAUGUGGUGUUUGUAGGAUCCAUUAUUUUUGUCUCUAUUCCACCACUCUUUACAUGCUAAUUCCAACAAAUUCUUCCUUAUUUAGUCGUUUCUGGAUUUUUCAUUAUUUUUUAAAACUCUUUUAUAAAUAAUCUAAAGUCAACAAUAUUUUUUAUUUUUAAAUUAUAAAUAAAAAAAUACAUUAAUGAUUCAAAAACUAUUUUGAAUAAUAUUUUUUUAAUAUAUAUAUAUAUAUAUAUAUAUAUAUGUUCAUUUAAAUGAAUAAAACUGUCUUUUACAUUUAAAAGUAAAUAAUUUAAUGAUUAAAACACUAUUUAAAAUAAACAUAUUCAUUAUUUUAUUUUCUUUUAUACUAAAAAUCAUUUUAAAGUUUAUUUCUUUAUUUUUUUUACUAUUCUAACAUAAAAAGUUUAAAUCUUCUUUUAAUUUUUUUUCUUAUUUUAAUAACAUUUUAAACAUGACUUCUACUAAUAAGUUAUAUGAAAUGUUACAAAUUCAUCUACUAAGGAUUUUUUUUAAUGAUUUGAAUUAAUUGAAAAAUUAUCAAAAUAAGAAAAAAAAAAUAAAGAAAGAAAGAAGAUGGAUAAAGAGUUUAUUUUAAAUAUCCAACUAAAAUAAGGUAUGCAAGGUAUUUGUGUAAGUGAACGAUGUAUUUACAUUAAGUGUACAAGAUAAAUGUAUUAAUUGUACAAAGGUGUACAAGGCUAUAUUCCUUGAAAGAAUUCAAUCGAUUUUCAAAAAAUCGCUUACUCAUUUCCUUUUUCCAAGGAUGUAGGACAUUCCACAAACACAUUGUUUGAUGACAUACUUAUCUCAUCUAUUUUUUUGACAUUGUAUAUGUUCAUUCGAUUACCUAGCCCACUAAUGAUGAAUAGGAACAUAAAUUGGGUUUAAUUUUUCCCAUUUUCCCUUAGCCAUGACAAUGGAAACAUGGUUAGCCCACUCAUAUGCACACAUUGCAUUCUAGGUCUAUGAAAUUUGUGUAGGUGUACAAAGUAUUUACACAAAGUGUACAAAGUAAAUGUAUUAACUAUAUAAGGGUGUACAAGACUACUUUCCUUUAAGGAAUUCAAUUGAUUUUCAAAAACUUGCUCGCUCAUUUCCCUUUUGACAAGGAUGGAGGACAUUCCAUAGACACAUUUCUUGAUGAGACACUCAUCCUAUGCAUUUUUUUGACAUCACACAUGUUCAUUUGAUUACCUACCCCACUAAUUAUGAAUAAAAACAUAAAUUGGGUUUAAUUUUCCCAUUUUCCUUGAGCCAUGACAAUGGAAACAUGGUUAACCACCCAUAUGCACACACUGCAUUCUAGGUCUAUAGAAUUUGUGCAAGUGUACAAGGUAUUUACACUAAGUGUAUAAUGUAAAUGUACUAAUUGUACAAGAGUGUACACAGCUACCUUCCUUGAAGAAAUUCAACUGAUUUUCAAAAACUCGCUCACUCAUUUUCCUUUGUCAAGGAUCAAAGACAUUCCACAAACACAUUACUUAAUGACACGCUUAUUCUAUGCAUUUUUUUUUUACUUCGUACAUGUUCAUUUGAUUACCUACUCCACUAAUAAUGAAUGGAAACAUAAAUUGGGUUCAAAUUUUCCUUUUUCCCCUAAGCCAUGACAGUGGGAAUAUGGUUAACUCACUCAUAUUCACAUAUUGCAUUCUGGGUCUAUGGAAUUUGUGCAGGUGUAUAAGGUAUUUACACAAAGUGUACAAGGUAAAUGUACUAACUGUAUAAAGAAGUACAAGACUACCUUUCUUGAAGAAUUUCAAAUAAUUUUCAAAAACUAACUUGACUCUUAUUUCUAAAUUUCAUCAUCUAAAAUUUGUAACUUCAUAUUUUGUUUUUUGUAACCCGUAUAAUUUAAAUGUUCCGAAAACUCUUCAUCUAUUCUCAAUGUUUUCCUAUUGAACUGCACUUAUACUCUUUUUCCAACAUAUUUUUUCAAAUUUUCCUUAUAUCUUUAGAAUUAAGUCUAUAUUUAUGAAUUUUAAUAUUAUUGAAAAAAGAAAAAAAAAUCAUAGUCUUAGACUUAGAGUGUAGAAUGCAAUACUCAAAAUUUGAUAUAUAUUGUGAUUUUAAAAUUAACUUAUGCUUUCUACAUCUUUUUAUUAAUUCAUCAUGUUGGACACUAUGAAUACAUUGUGCAGUUGCACCCUUAUUGUGAAUUUGAUCACAUGCUAAAAGAAAAAAUAAAUAAAAAUUUGAAGGAAAAAAUAAAAUUACAUUGCAACCACCUAGCUACAUGCCCACAUUAUCAAAGACAUUCUGGAAAAUUCUUUUCCACAAUGCAAGGAAUUAGAAGACCCAAGUUUCUGGAUGAAAACCAAAGUCCCACAACUUUGGUUGUAGUUCUUCUUCACUUGUAGAUCCAUAGACAAACUUGUUAAUUCUAUCACACAUAUCCACUUUGUUCCAAUACUAAAAGUAGAAUACCUAACCUGCCCAAAAAGGAGAGCCUAAAAAUAGUUCACAUUCUCAUCCAAACAAGCCAAUUUUCUUGAGAAAAAACUAGUGAAAAGGGUAAAAACAAAACCAAAUACAAAAUUAAUCAAGAUGAUCUAUAAGUACCUGAAUAAGAAGCACAUGGAAAACUAAAUUCUCAACAACUAAAAAACUUCCACUAGUAAAGGUCUCGAUGUCGACGAAAUGGAAAAUGGUGAUGGUGAGGAACAUGGGGAUGCCGACUACUACAAUGACAAUAGGAGGACUUCGAGCUCCUUUAGGGAUAUUUGUGUGGCUACAACAAUGUUGACGACAACAACGACUACCGAGAUCCAAAGUAGAUGAUGGUGUGCUAGGGUUUAAGAUCAUUUUAGGGCUUCGACGUCUUCAAAAAAAAAAAAAACUAAUAAGAGAAAUAUUUUAAUUACCAAACUUGGAAUCCAUUUUGCAAAAGGAGAAUUGUGUUUUAGAUCCAGAUGGGUCUAAAAAUUGGCCUUAAAUCCUCUUAACCCGCAUAAUUGGGCCCAAAACCCAGCAAAGCCUUACAAAUUGAGAUGAAGGAUAUUGACAUUCCAUAAACCCGAAAAUGCCCUUCGUUAAGCUAGAAAAAAAAAAUUCAUGCUGGAAAUACAAUUUGAAAAAUGGAUUCCAAGUUUGGCAAUUAAAAUAUUUCUCCUAUUAGUUUUCAUUUUUUGAAGAAUUGAAAACGCCAAAGCCUUAAAUGAUCCAAAACCUUAGCCACCAUCAUUUACUCUAGAUCUCAGUGGCUGUCGUUGUCAACGACGUUGCUGUAGCCACUCAAAUAUCCCUAAAGUAUUCAUGAUGAAUUAAUAAAAAGACUUAGAAAGAGCAUAAGUUAAUUUUAAAAUCAUAAUAUAUAUAUAUAUAUAUAUAUAUAUAUAUUAUCAAAUUCUGAGUACUACAUUCUACACUCUAAGUUUAAGACUAUGAUUUUUUUUCAACAAUAUUAAAAUUCAUAAAUAUAAACUUAAUUCUAAAUAUAUGAGGAAAAUUUGAAAAAAUAUGUUGGAAAAAGAGUAUAUGUGUAGUUCAAAAGGAAAAAUAUUGAAAAGAGAUGAAGAGUUUUCGGAAUAUUUAAAUUAUAUGGGUUACAAAAAACAAAAUAUGAAGUUAUAAAUUUUGGAUAAUGAAAUUUAGAAAUAAGAGUUGAGUGAGUUUCGAAAAUUAUUUGAAAUCCUUCAAGGAAAGUAGUCUUGUACACCCUUGUAUAGUUAGCAUAUUUACCUUGUACGAUUAAUGUUAAUACCUUGUACACUUGCACAAAUUCCAUAGACCUAGAAUCCAAUAUGCGAAUAUGGGUGAGUUAAUCAUAUUCUCAUUGUCAUGGCUCAGGGAAAAGGGGAAAAAUUGACAUGUACGAAGUCAAAAAAAAAAAAAUUGCAUGGAAUAAGUGUGUCAUCAAGCAAUGUGUUUGUGGAAUGUCUUUGAUCCUUAACAAAGGGAAAUGAACGAGCGAGUUUUUGAAAAUCAAUUGAAUUCUUUCAAAGAAAGUAGUCUUGUACAAUUAGUAUAUUUACAUUGUACACUUUAUGUAAAUACCUUAUAAACUUACACAAAUUCCAUAGACCUAAAAUGCAAUGUGUGCAUAUAAGUGGGUUAACUAUGCUUCCAUUGUCAUGGCUCAGGGAAAAGGGAAAAGAUUGAACCCAAUUUAUGUUCUUAUUCAUCAUUAGUGGGGUAGGUAAUCGAAUGAAUAUAUACGAUGUCAAAAAAAUGCGUGAGAUAAGUGUGUCAUCAAACAAUGUGUUUAUGGAAUGUUCCUCAUCAUUGGCAAAAGGAAAUGAGCAAACGAGUUUUUGAAAAUCAGUUGAAUUCUUUCAAGAAAAGUAGUUUUGUACACCUUUAUAUAGUUAGUACAUUUACCUUGUACGCUUAAUGCAAAUGCCUUGUACACAUGCACAAAUACCUUGUACACAUGCACAAAUACCUUGUACACAUGCACAAAUACUUUGAACACUUUAUUUUAGUUGGAUAUUUAAAAUAAAAACUCUUCAUCUAUCAUCUUUUUCUCUUUUUCAUUUUCUUAUUUUGAUAAAUUUUCAAUUAAUUAAAAUCACUAAAAAAAUAAAAAAUAAAAAUCCUUAGUAGAUAAAUUUGCAACAUUUCAUAUAACUUAUUACUAGAAGUCAUAUUCAAAACGUUAUUAGAAUAAGGAAUGAAAGACAUUCAAAGAAAAUUUAAACUUUUUAUUUUAGACUAGUAAAAAAAAGAAAGAAAUAAACUUUAAAAUGUUUUUUAGUAUAAAAAAAAAAGAGGAAAAUGGUGAAUAUGUUUAUUUUAAAUAGUGUUUUAAUCAUUAAAUUAUUUACUUUUAAAAUGUAAAUGAAACUUUUUAUUUAUUUAAAUUAACACUUUUUUUUUUUUAACAAAAAGCAUUUUUUAAAAUAGUUUUUGAAUCAUUAAUUUAAUUUUUUUAUUUAUAAUUUUAAAAUAAAAAAUAAUAUUGAUUUUAGAUUAUUUAUAAAAGAGUUUAAAAAAAUAAUGAUAAAUAAAAAAAAUGGCUAAAUAAGGGAGAAUUUAUUGGAGUUGGUAUGUAAAGAAUGGUGAAAGAAAGACAAAAAUGAUGGUCUUACAAACACGAGAUGAGUUAAAACAAUUUAUUAUUUGAGAUAAUUUUUAUAUAUUUGAGAUAAUUUUUAUAUAUUUGAUGUGGUAAGUUAGGCUAUAUUUUUUGGGAAACUUGUGUUUUGAUGGGGCCAUUUGGCAAAUAUAUGCUUUUCAGAACCCAACUUUAUGAAAUCUAAAAACCAGUUUUUAAUGUGAAAAAUUAUAUCUUUUUUAUGCACUCUAAGCCGACUGCAUUUUUUGUACCGAGAUUGCCUUUUUUUUUCCUCCCUUACCCACCAUCCAUUUCUCCCUUCAUCCCCAGUGAAACCGGCUAGCCGACGUCAUCCCCGGCCGCCACUCACACCUCUCACCGGCCGGCAGGCAAAGGUUGUGUUUUUCAACCUGGCUCAAAAAUCGUGGAUUUAGGGUUCGUGAAAUUUAAAUCCAAUGGCACAAAAGCAAAGAGACCCCUAGAACAGAUCUAGAAAACACAUGGAUCAAAAAAAAAAAAGCAAUUUUUUUGGUUUUCCUUGGGGGUUUUGCAUGAAUUUUCUCGGAAAUCAAACGAGGAUGAAUUUUCCAAAAAAUCAAAUAUGGAUGGAUUUUCUUGGGGAUCAAACAAGGAUUUUUUUUUUUUUUGCUUCUAUCGCCGUCGUCAAUGAUUGCAAGACUUGUUGGUUGCCGCCGUCAAUGGCAACCAGUCGUGCCUUCUUCCCUCCGACCCUGGUUCUCCCCCAUUGCCAUCGCCUUUUUCUCUCUUGGUGAUGUCGAAAGAGAAUAAAAGAGAAAGAAAGAGGAAAGGGAAAAGGAGAAAGGGGGAGAUUGCCGACCAGAAAAAGGUGUGAGUGGCAGCCGGUGAUGACGCCGGUCGGCUAGUUUCACUGAGGAGAGAGGGAGAGGCGGAUGGUGGGUACAAGAUGAAAAAAAAAAAAGGCAAUCUCGGUACAAAAAAUGCAGCCGGCUUAGAAUGCAUAAAAAAGAUAUAAUUUUUUACAUUAAAAAUUGGUUUUCAGAUUUCAUAAAGUUGGGUUCCAAAAAGUAUAUAUUUACCAAAUGGCCCCAUCAAAACACAAGUUUCCCAUUUUUUUUUCAUUAUUAUUUCAUAUACUUAUCAUCGUGAUAAAAGGAUAAGGCCGAUCAUUGUCGCACUGAAUGGCACUCCACCCCAUGCCCAUGACACACGACCAAUUGAUAUUGACCCUUCACAUUGACUUUCAGAUCCAUUUUUGUUUAUCAGGAAUAGUUUUUCUUCACUUAUUCUUCAUAAUCCUGUAUUUAUAUACUAUAUCAAUAUUUCUAAAUCCUUACCAUUAAUAACUUUUUCAAAAUUCUUUAUUAGUAUCCAUGUUAUAAAUAAUAAAAUAUGAAUUGAACAUUUUCGCUCUCCUCAUAAGCAUAUCACACUUGUCUAUUUGGUUCUUAGAAAAUAUUAGGAAUAAACAAAGAUAGCAUUGGAAAAAAAUAAUUUUUUUUUAUAUUUUGUUUAACAUGAAAAUAUUAAAAUCAAAUCAAUAUAAUUAAAAAUAGUUUAAAUUUUAAACAUUUUAAACUAGUUUAUCUUUAUAUAAUACAAAAAUACAUACAAUGAAUUUGAAUAAACAUAGAAAUGUAAUUUAUUAAUAAUAUUAAUUAUUUUUCAUUUUCCUUCAUGUAAAAAAAAUGGAUAUUAUAUAUAUAUUUAAAAAAAAAGUAUAUGUGAUUCUUGGAAAAUUUAAGGGAGAAUUCAAGAAAAAAAUAACUGAAUUUUCUUUUUUUCUUUCUUUUCCUUACAUUUUCCCUUAAAUUUUUAGAGAAUUGAAGAUAGAUUAAAAGGUUUUUUUCCUACAUUUUUCUUACAUAAAAGGUUAGAAAAAAGUUGAGAAAAUACAUUCCUCAAUAAUUUUUUUUUCUUCAAUUUCUCAAUAUAUAUAAACCAAACUUAUUCCAAGAGAUAAUGAUUAUAUUUAUUAUCAAAUAAAAUUUUUAUAUCUAAUUUACUUUUAGCUAGUAUUGUCCAACAUAAUUAAAUAAUACCAUGGUGGCUUAGGUUAAUUCUAAAAUGAUGGGAAAUAAAUCAAAAUGGUAAUGGACUAAUGAUAGAAAAAUUAUCAUAUAAAAUACCUAGGCAACCAUAGGUGAAAAAAAAAAUUUGAAAAUAAGACUCAUAUUAUGAAAAUAUUAAAAAAUAUUAUAAUUUAAUCACAAAGAUAAUGAGUAUGACUAAGAUCGACGUUUAGGAAAAGAGAUUUUAUAAAUAAAUAAAAAUUAUUUUGAAGUAUCUUACAUGGAUCGCUGAUUUUUAUUCAAAUUUUAAACAAAUUCAUACUAAAAAACCAUAAUGCUUGCUAAAUCUAAUCUUGUAACCUAGUGUUUUGUUCUUAGAAUAUAUAUAUAUAACUGUCCCGGCAUCUUCCACCCUCCUCAUAGAGAUGCUGGUAACGAACUCAACGCCACAAAAAUGCCGAAAGUAAACUUUUAAUUUGCCAAAAUUCCAUUCCCCGCUCUGUUUCUCCUCCUCGUCCUCUCCUUACCCUUUCAAGUAAUUUCCGAAAAUCUGGACGAUGAACUAUCAAUCCUACUAGACGUUAAACAACAACUAGGCAAUCCCCCGUCACUCCAAUCUUGGAAUUCCUCAUCCUCACUCUGUGAUUGGCCGGAAAUUACAUGCAUCGACAAUAUCGUCACUGAAAUUUCACUCAGCUACAAGACCAUCACAAAGAAAAUUUCGGCUAGAAUUUGUGACCUCAAGAACCUUAUCGUACUUGACGUCUCCAACAAUUACAUUCCAGGCAAGUUCCCGGAUAUUCUCAAUUGUUCUAAGCUGGAGCAUCUCCUCUUGAAGAAAAACUUCUUCGUGGGUUCAAUUCCAGCUGACAUUGAUCGACUUUCACGUCUCCGGUACCUAGACCUCACCGCAAACAACUUCUCUGAAGAUAUUCCCGCAGCAAUUGGGCAGCUACGGGAGCUGUUCUACUUGUUUCUGGUUCAAAAUGAGUUCAACGGCACCUGGCCAACGGAGAUUGGUAAUUUGGCGAAUCUUGAACAAUUGGCCAUGGCCUAUAAUGACAAAUUUCGGCCUUCAGCCCUUCCAAAAGAGUUUGGCGCAUUGAAGAAGUUGAAAUAUCUGUGGAUGACGGAGGCGAAUUUGAUUGGCGAAAUACCGGAGAGCUUCAACAAUCUAUCGAGUUUGGAACUCUUGGACCUCUUAGUCAACAAAUUGGAAGGUACGAUCCCGGGAGGCAUGCUUACGUUGAAGAAUUUGAACUAUUUGCAUUUAUUCAUUAAUAGAUUGUCCGGCCACAUUCCUUCAUCCAUAGAAGCUCUCAACCUGAAAGAAAUUGAUAUUUCCGACAACCAUUUGACGGGGUCCAUACCAACGGGUUUCGAGAAGCUACAAAAUUUGACGGGUUUGAAUCUUUUCUGGAAUCAGUUGUCAGGAGAGAUACCAGCAAAUAUAAGCCUCAUUCCUACACUGGAAACCUUCAAAGUUUUUAGCAAUCAAUUGAGUGGAGUUUUACCUCCAACAUUUGGCCUUCAUUCGGAGCUCAAACUCUUUGAGGUUUCCGAGAAUAAACUAAGCAGGGAAUUACCUCAACAUUUAUGCGCUAAGGGGGCUUUGCUUGGAGUGGUCGCUUCCAACAACAAUCUCAGCGGGGAAGUGCCCAUGUCCCUCGGGAAUUGCACAAGUUUGCUCACCAUUCAGCUUUCCAACAAUUGUUUUUCAGGCGGGAUUCCUUCCGGCAUUUGGACAUCCCCGGACAUGGUAUCAGUGAUGUUAGAUGGAAACUCAUUCUCAAGGACACUUCCAAGUAAAUUGGCAAGGAAUUGUCUAGAGUGGAGAUCACUAACAGCAAGUUUUAUGGUCCAAUUCCUGCUGAAAUCUCUUCCUGGAUGAACAUCUCUGUGCUCAAUGCCAGCAACAAUAUGUUGUCUGGAAAAAUUCCAGUGGAAUUGACCAGUCUUUGGAACACCACUGUUCUGUUGCUUGAUGGGAAUCAAUUCUCGGGUGAACUUCCAUCCCAGAUCAUCUCAUGGAAGUCGCUCAAUAAGUUAAAUCUCUCAAGAAACAAACUUUCUAGCCUAAUUCCCAAGGCAUUAGAUUCUUUAACUAGCCUUAGUUACCUCGACCUGUCAGAAAACCAGUUCUCAGGUCAAAUUCCUCCUGAACUUGGCCAUUUGAACCUUAUUAUCCUCCAUCUUUCGUCCAACCAACUCUAUGGGAUGGUCGCCAUUGAGUUUCAACAUGAAGCAUAUGAAGACAGUUUCUUGAACAAUCCCAAGUUGUGUGUCAAUGUUCCCUCUCUGAACCUCCCUAGAUGUGAUGCCAAACCUGUCAACUCCGACAAAUUGUCAACCAAAUAUCUCGUUAUGAUCCUAAUUUUUGCUCUAUCUGGUUUCCUAGCUGUUGUUUUCGUCACCCUGUCCGUGGUUCAUGUCUAUCAUAGGAAGAAUCACAGUCAGGAGCAUACAGCUUGGAAAUUUACUCCAUACCAUAAACUAGAUCUCGAUGAAUACAACAUAUUGUCCAGUUUGACAUAAAAUAAUCUGAUCGGAUGUGGUGGGUCAGGGAAAGUAUACCGAAUUGCUAAUAAUCGUUCUGGUGAACUCUUAGCGGUUAAAAUGAUUUGUAAUAACAGGAGAUUGGAUCAAAAGCUUCAGAAACAAUUCGAAACAGAAGUCAAGAUAUUGAGCACCAUACGCCAUGCCAAUAUAGUGAAGUUGUUGUGUUGCAUAUCAAAUGAAACCUCAAGUCUUCUUGUUUACAAGUACAUGGAGAAGCAGAGUUUGGAUAGAUGGCUUCAUGGGAAGAAGCAAAGAACAUCGUCCAUGACAAGUUCAGUUCAUAACUUCGUCUUGGAUUGGCCAACAAGGUUGCAGAUUGCCAUUGGACCUGCAAAAGGCCUAUGCCACAUGCAUGAAUACUGUUCUGUCCCAAUCAUACAUCGAGAUGUGAAGUCCAGCAACAUCUUGCUAGAUGCCGAGUUCAAAGCGAAAAUUGUGGAUUUUGGAUUGGCUAAGACGUUGGUCAAGCAAGGAGAACCCAACACCAUGUCAGGAAUUGUAGGCUCUUACAGGUAUAUUGCCCCUGGUAAGACCAUCAAGGCCCUCCUUUCCACAUGUUUUCAUUUCCAUAAUUUAUCGAUAAUUUGUAUCAUACCAUUCUCGUAUACUUGGAUCAUAGAGUAUGCUUAUACAACAAAGGUGAACAAGAAGAUCGAUGUAUAUAGCUUUGGAGUAGUCUUGCUUGAGCUUGUGACGGGAAGAGAACCCAACAAUGGGGACGAGCACAUGUGCCUUGCAGAAUGGGCAUUGGAUCAGUUUAGAGAAAGGAAAACCAUUGAGGAAGUGGUAGACGAGGAGAUCAAGGAACAAUGUGAUAGAGCACAAGUGGCCACUCUCUUCAAACUAGGCAUUAGGUGCACUAACAAAUUACCAUCCAAUAGGUCCACAAUGAAAGAGGUUUUGAAAAUUCUUCAACAGUGCAGUCCUCAAGAGGGCCAUGGAAGAAAUAAAAAGGACCAUGAAGUUGCACCUCCACUUCAAAAUGGCACUUAUCCCACCACUUACAAGUUGUGAGGAUAAAGCCCUUAAAAACAUGAUAUUAUGUAAUAAAUUUGGAACUCAUUAUUUAUUUAACGAUGUUCUGAUUUCACUUUUAUCUAUUCUUAUUCCAUGUAUUAUACUUUAUGAGCAUUCUUGUCUGCAUCUUUUGCAUUGCACGUAACUUAGGUGCAUUAAAAGUUGCACAGAAGAUCUAGGUCAUGGGUUCCUCGCAAAUAUAUGACUUGUUCACAACCAGUUCAUGGGUCUAGGAAGCCCAUUAGAGGUUGUAAAAAACCACUUCCUAAUUGGAAGAAUGGCUAGUCUUAGCUAUUGGGAUGAGUUUUCCAUGAUAAGUGCAUUAGUGUGUAUGGUUACAUAUUGGACAAGACCUAUGGUGAAUCAUGACUUAAGGUUAUCAAGCAGUCAUGACCUCAUCAAACUGCUUCAUUGUGUUGUCUCUCAACCUUGAGAGAAUAUUGAGCUUGUACUAAAGUUAGCAAUGACUUUGACAUACAGGUGAGAUCGUAAGUUGAUCAUAUAUUCCCUAUGGAUUGAGUCACUGUUGAUGGAAGAUGGUAGCGAUAGGUAUUUUCAAUAAAAACACCAUGAUGUUUCUUGGGAUUAAGACAAUGUGCCCCUUUUGGUGAUCUUAAAGAGGUGUGUUCAUGGAAACUAUGGUCAUAGUAGUUCCUUAAGUAAAAAUCGACAUAGGCUCUUUGAGAGGUAAGACAUGUCAAUUGAAUACACAAUAGGAGGAUUUAUAACUCAAGGAUGGUAGAGGUAGUCUUGAAAGACUAAUAACUUUCACUUUGUUAGACUAUGAAUAUCAGUUCAUGGGAAGACUAAACACAAUAAAUAGCAAGUCACAAACCUGAACAUUUGGUAUCUCAUUGUUAUUUUCAAUAAAAUAACAAUGAGAUGGUAAGUUGAUCAUAUAUACCCUAUGGAUUGGGUCACUGUUGAUGGAAGAUGGUAGCAAUAGGUAUUUUCAAUAAAAGCACCAUAAUAUCUCUUGGGAUUAAGACAUUGUGCCCCCUUGGGUGAUCCUAAAGAAGUGUGUUCAUGGAAACUAUAGUCAUAGUAAUUCCUUAAGUAAAACUCAACAUAAGCUUUUUGAGAGCUAAGACAUGUCAAUUGAAUACACACUAGGAGGAUUUCUAACUCAAGGAUGAUAGAGGUAGCCUUGAAAGACUAAUAACUUUCACUUUGUUAGACUACGAACAUCAGUUCAUGGGGAGACUAAACACAAUAAAUAGCAAGUCACAAGCUCGAGCAUUUGGUAUCUCAUUGUUAUUUACAUAGGAUACCGGAGUUCAAUUGAUUCUUUGUAGUGGGAUGUUGAAUCAACUUUAGAAUUGGAUUUUGAGAGAGUCGGUAUUCCUAUGGGUCCCAAUGGUCCUUACUCUAAGCUUAUAUACUUUGUUGGCAAGGAUUAUAAGAGUCGGAUUAGCUCUAGGUUUACUUUUGUACAUAAGGGCAUUUUGAUAAUUACGCAAGGUUACACAAAGGUAAAUGAACAAGGUUUUUAGAUUGGGUUAAUUGAUUAAUUAGUAGGCCCUGUUUGGUUAAUUAAUCAAUUAGGACUUUCUAUAUUAAGUGACCUAAGCCCUUAGUGGGCUCAAGUCACUUAAACCUAAUAGAAAACCCUAUAAAUACCCCCUUAAGGGUUAGAGUUUAUAUAGUUUUUCUAAAAAGCCAUCUUCUAUCUCUAAAGAGAAAGAGAAAGAGUCAUAGCAUCCACCCUCCCUUCUAUCUCCACUAGAAGUGUGUCGAUCAAGGUUCAAGUCAUUGGGAGGAAAACUUUGAAUUUACGAGACUUCUGCGAUUUCGUUCUUCAUUUUCACAAUGUGGAUUUGAUUCGAGAACAUCCGAAUUUGAGGUAUGGUUUUCAUUAGCACUUUUUGAAUCCCUUUAAAGUUUAAAAAUGUUAUUUUUCCGUUGUGCAUAGGAUUAAUUUAGAAAAUGCUUAGAAUAGUUAUGCAAGUUCCUAACCUGAUCUGAGCUUAGGAAAUGGAGAGAACCUAGUUUUUUCCCUUAAUGUUUGUGCUCCAAAGUGUUGAGAUAGUUUAGAGGGUGACAUGAUGAUUGACAUAAUACCUUAUGUGGAGAACCUAGUGAAUCCCUUCUCCAAGACAUUGAUAGGGAGAGUCUUUGUUAGUCACAUGGAUAGCAUAGGUUUUAAAUGAGUAUUUGGCAUGCUUUAAAGGCAUGAUGCUUUGAGGGCUAAUGGGAGAAUGUUAGGAUAAAGCCCUUAAAAGCAUGACAUGAUGUAAAAAAUUUGGAAUUCAUUAUUUAUUUAAUGAUGUUCUAGUUUCACUUUUAUCAAUCCUUAUUCCAUGUAUUAUACUUUAUGAGCAUUCUUAUUUGCAUUUUUUGCAUUGUACAUGACUUAAGUGCAUUAGGAGUUACAUAGAAGAUCUAAGUCAUGGGUUUCUUGCAAAUAAAUGACUUGUUCACAACUGAUUCAUGGGUCUAGGCAACCCACUAGAGGUUGUAGUGCAUCAUACCACCUUCUAAUUGGAGGGAUGACUAGUCUUAAUUAUCAGGAUGAGUUUCCCAUGGUGAGUGCAUUACUGUGUAUGGUUACACAUUAGACAAGACCUAUGGUGAGUCAUGACUUAAGGCUAUCAAGUAGUCAUGACCUUACCAACCAACUUCAUUGUGUUAUCUCUCAACCUUAAAAGAAUAUUCAGUUUAUACUAAAGUUAAUAAACUGAAGUUAGCAAUGGCUUUGACAUACGAGUGAGAUCAUAAGCUAAUCAUAUAUUCCCUAUGGAUUGGGUCAUUAUUGAUGGAAGGCGUGAAAGGCAGACGCCCGGGCACGCAAAGCCCGUCUCAACGAACGGGAGGAGAAAAGGCAAGAAGGAACUUUGCGGAAGGCUCUUGGUGAUAAACGCCCCGCAUCCCCUCCACCUGCUGGCGCACUAGAUAAAAAGAAGAAGAAGCAGGUUUUCAACAAGGGAAAAGAAAUAAAACUCUCAUCUCCCCCAAAGGAAGUUGUAAUACCACCUCCAACUUUCGUAAGAGGAAUAACAAUAAGAACGCCAGAUCUCUCCGUUUUGCCCUCUGUUUCAAGCGGCUCCAGACAUAUCGCGUAUCUAAAUGGAUCGGGGCCUUCAGUGCCAGUGCCAGCGGCUAGACGGCUGGCUCUUCUGGCUGAGGAAGCGACUUCAGUGAAUCAGCCCGACUCUCCUUAUCCGGACGCGAAUGUAGCCGGGGCCUCUUGUACUUAAACGUUGCUUCUUAUGGCGCCUUUAACGGAAGAAACAGGGGUUGAAAGUCAGGGUUUGCCUCAUUGCGAACCAAGCUUCCUUGCCCUUGUACCGGUGAAGGGGCCAGCUAUAAGGAGGUCUCAUCCGGCCCGUGAUUUAAAGUCUGGCAUUAGCGGGCGGCUUCAGGACAUUCUUCUGGAAACCAUCGAAGUCAGCUGCUCAUCCGCCCAGGAGGAUCAUCCGGAGGAGAGUGAGACGGAGAUGGCAGAAGAGAACCCAACCGCCCCGGUGCUGGUCCCGGAUGAGGGUUCACCCGAAGAGAUCCAGCCGGCCGUGAAUAAUGGGGCCCUAGAUCCGAGGGAGGAGUCACACCCUACCGCCUCGUCAAGGGGAAGUCUAGUUGAUGAUGCGGCUUGCAUCUCCGCUAGCCCUUUCAAUUAUGCGGAGUUGGGAGAGAUGCUGAAACGGAUUCCACCCGGCUCAGAUGUUGAUGUGCCUUCAGCAAAAAUGUUUGAAGUGGCGGAAAUGGUAUAGUUUUACUUCUUGAUUUUUCUUGCCAUACUGAUGUGUUUGUCACAUGGGUUGUAAUUUUGUACUUCUUGUUUGUGGGUUUUUCUGCAGCUGGUGAGCGGUAUUCGUGGCAUGGCUUAACAACAUGAUCUUUUUUCAGACCUGCUGCGUACUGCCGAUUAUAUGAAGGUCUUCGUCUCCCAUCGCAUAAACAGUAAAGAAGAACUGCGCUUGAGAUUGGAGCAGGCCGAAGCUAGUUUAUCCGCUGCCCGGAGGGCCUCUGAAGAGAGUGUCGAAGCUUUGAAGAAAUCCCAAGAGGACAACGAGGUUCUCCGGGUAGAGCUAGCUGAGCCAAAGAGUCGGGAGGAAUCUACAGACGCCCGUCUGCAUGAGGCGGAGGGUGAGAUGGCCCAGUUGAGGGGAGAAGUGAGGCAACUCCGGACAGAGGUGUCCAUUGAGAAAAAGCAGAGAGAGGACUUGCAGUUGCGUUUAUCAGCGCAAAAAGAAGAGUUCGAGGCUGAGUUUGCUGCGAAAAGGGAGGAACUCGAGACGAACUACCAGAAGUAGGUAGAUGAGAUGUAUAUCUUUGGCUACCGCUGUUGCAUGAAGAAGCAUGGCAUCAAACGGGACGUCCCUUCGAUUCCCCCGGGUGAGGAAGAAAAGUUGCGUCGCAAGCCCUCCCAAUGAGAGUUUUUCUUUUUUUAUCUUUUAUUGCUUUUUUCUUUUUGUAUUUUGUAGUCCGGAGAACCUUUUUUGUAUACAAUUUUCACAAGUAUUAAUAAAACAUACUCAUUCACAUUGUACUUGUAUCUUUCUUUCAUUAGUAAUACUGCUUUAAAUUGGACACAUUCCAUGGUCGGAGCAAUGGGGUUCCAUCUAGCUUUUGUAGAUGAUAGACUCCAUUUUCACUUGUCUUGGAUACUAUAUAGGGGCCUUCCCAAUUGGCUUGAAACUUUCCUGCUCCUGUCUCAACAGUGUUUUCGAAAACCUUCCUAAAGACCAGCAUUCCACUUUUGAAACUUCUGGGCCUUGCUUUGCGAUUGUAGUGAGCGGCUGCCCUUUGUUGAUAGUCUGCCAUCCGGAUGGAUGCGGUUUCUCUUACUUCGUCUGCCCAGUCCAAGUUUCUUCCUAACUUCGCACUUGCAUUAUCCUGACUUCCUGCCUCGGUCCGGAUAGUGGGUAGCCCUAUUUCAGUAAGAAUGACUGCGUCCAUACCGUAUGCGAGGGCGAAGGGAGUGUUUCCUGUCGGACGUCCGGGUGUGGUUCGAUAAGCCCACAGGACGCCGGGUAGCUCCUCUACCCAUUUCCCUUUGGCUUGCUCGAGCCUCUUCUUUAAGGCAGUUAUUAGGGUCUUGUUUGUGGCCUCUGCUUGUCCAUUGCUUUGAGGAUAACGCGGUGUGGAGUAUGCAUUUCGGAUGUUUAGUUCCGAAUAGAAAUCCCGAAAAGUUUUGCUAUCGAAUUGUGGACCGUUGUAGGCUAUAAUGGUUUGGGGGAUUCCAAAGCGGCAGAUGAUGUUCUUCCAUACGAACUUGGUGACAUCUUUGUCUUUGAUGCUAGCGUAUGCUUCUACUUCCACCCAUUUACUGAAGUAAUCCAUGGCGACGAGUAGGAAUUUUUUCUGGGCAGCUGCGGCUGGUAGGGGUCCUACUAUGUCCAUGCCCCACUGCGCGAAAGGCCAGGGACCUGAAAUUGGUUUCCACGUCUCCGACGGCACAUGUGGUAUGGGGACAUGCCUUUGACAUUUGUCACAUUUUUUUACGUAGGCUGCCGCAUCCUUUUUCAUCGUGGGCCAGUAAUACCCUUGCGAAUAGGCCCUGUGCGCCAGAGAUCGACCUCCAGAAUGAUUUCCACAUACUCCCUCGUGCAAUUCAGCUAAUACAUACAGGGCCUCUUAGUGGUUUAGGCACCGGAGAUAGGGACCUGUGAAGGACUGUUUAUACAAAUGCCCCCCAAUCAGGGUGAAACGGGCGGCUUGUAGCUUGUGUGUCUGCUUGGGCUCUUCGAGCAGAGUGCCUGUCUGGAGGUACCUUAUAAUGUCUUCCGUCCACUCUUGGCCGUCUGCUUGGUUUGCCUCAAUGGUAUUGCAAAUGGAAGCUUCUGUGACGGAAGGGUUGACUUGCACAUGUAUAGGCAACAAUAUGGCUUCUUUGAUGGGGAGGGAGGCAGCUAUGCCUGCCAGGGCGUCGACACGUCCAUUUUCAGCUCGUUUAAUUUUUUCGAUCGUCCAUUCGGUGAACCGUUGUAAGGUGUCCCUUACUUUAGUCAGAUACAGUGCCAUGCGCGCAUUCUUAGCUUCGUAUUCCUUUUGGACGUGCCUUACCACGAGUUGAGAAUCACUAUAGACCCGGAGCCUUGAGACGGAUAGAGCCAGGACGAGGUCCAAUCCGAAUAGAAUGGCCUUAUACUCCGCUUCAUUGUUAGAGACGGGAAACCCCAGCCGGAUGGCUUGCUCCAGAUGUUCUCCUGUUGGGGACUAUAGCAGGAGCCCUACUCCGGAUCCUGAUGAUCAGGAGGUUCCAUCGACCCGCAAAGUCCACCACUCUUUUUCACUUGGUUCCUUGUGCUGGGUAGGCUUUUGGGAGUAUUCCAGCACAAAGUCAGCCAUCACUUGACCUUUCAUGGACAACCUGGGUUGGAACUCAAUUCCAUAUUCGCUCAACUCUAUGGCCCAUUGAAGCAUUCUUCUGGUUAGGUCCGGCUUAUGCAAAAUGUUGCAAAGAGGUUGGUCUGUUAGCACGACCACCGGGUGGGCUUGGAAGUAAGGGCGGAGCUUCUAGGCGGCACUUCAAAGAGCUAAGGUCAUUAGCUCCAUCUUUGAAUACCUGGUUUCUACGUCCGUCAACGCUCUGCUGACGUAGUAGAUAGGUUUCUGCUCCUUAGGUGAGGAGCAGCAGAAUAGAACAACGCUAAUUGCUCACUCCGAUACAGCCAAAUACAUAUACAAUUUUUCUUCAGGGAGGGGGUUGCUUAGGAUGGGCGGUUGCAUGAGGCAGUGUUUAAUUUUUUUCAAAAGCGCUCUAACAGCUGUCUGUCCAUCCGCUUGCUCCAUUUUUUCAUAUUGCCAAGAAGAAAGGUCGCAGUUCAUCAAUGAAGCGGGCUAUAAAGCGUCCUAGCGCGACGAGCUUGCCUAUGAGGCGCUAUAAUUCCUUCUUGCUCCUGGGGGGUGGUGUUUCCAUGACUGCCUUGACUUGAUCCGGGCUGACCUCUAUCCCCCUUUGGCUGACCAUAAAUCCUAGGAAUUUGCCAGCACUUACGCCAAAGGCGUAUUUAGAAGGAUUCAACCUCAUGUCAUACUUCUUUAAGAGGUGGAAGACUUCUUGCAAGUGGAGGACAUGUUCCUCUCGGGUUUUGCUUUUAACCACGAUAUCGUCAAUAUAUACCUCUACUGUGCGGCUGACCAGAGGUUUGAAGAUCUUUGUCAUCAGUCUCUAAUAAGUGGCGCCAGCGUUUUUGAGUCCGAACGGCAUGACUUUGUAGCAAUAAAGGUCGUGUGGUGUUAUGAAGGCUGUCUUUUCUUCGUCAGCCAGGGACAUGGGGAUUUGGUGGUAUCCGGAGAAGGCGUCCAAGAAGGAAAGCAUCCCUUGCCCAGUAGUGGAGUCCACAAUUUGAUCUAUCCGUGGCAAAGGGAAACUGUCUUUUGGGCAUGCAUUAUUGAGGUUGGUGUAGUCGACGCACACCCGCCAUUUGCCUUCUUUUUUGGGUACCACCACUACAUUUGCCAACCAGUCCAGGUAAUCCACUUCUCUGAUGAAUCCGACUUCUAACAAAUUGUCAAUCUCAUUCCAGAUAAUUUUUUGUCUGUCCGGGUGAAAACGUCUAACCCUCUGUCAGACGAGUCUUGCUAUGGGCAAGACAUUAAGCUUAUGGGAGACGAUGGAGGGGUGAAUCCCCUUCAUAUCAUAAUGCGCCCAUGCGAAAAUGUCAUGGCUUUGUUGGAGGGCGUUUUGGAUGUUCCGGGUCUCUUCUAGAGUUAGGAGAGAACUGAUAUAUGUAAGGUGAGUAAGUACCUUCUUUCGAAAUUUGGAUCGCCUGCAAGGGAUCCGCUUCCGGGGGAUCUUUGUCUGUCAGACUCAAUAAUUGCUAUUGGUCACGUGCAUGGCUGGACUCAGGGAGGGAUGCAUCCUCCUGGCUGGUCUCUGCUUCUCGUGCUAUCUAGUAGCAUUGGUGAGCAGCUAACUGGCUGCCGUAUAAGUCAAUUUGCCCAUCCUUGGUAAGGAAGCUUACCAUUUGAUGAUAUGUAGAGGGGAUGGCUUUCAUGUAGUGCAGCCAUGUGCGCCCCAAGAUGACAUUGAAGGAUGAUAAGUCUUGUACCACCAAAAAUUGUACGUUGAGAAUGACUAGGUCAGCUUGGACCGGCAGUACAAUGUCUCCCAAUGAAGUAGUUGACGCCCCGUUGAAUCCGGACAAGAUUCGCCCAGGUUUUUCGAGGCCUGUGAGACUGUGCCCCAUGUGGCUAACGACCGAUGCUUGUACAAGAUCGGCCAAGCUGCACGGGUCAAUUAGGAUGCGUCGCACGUCGAAAUCUCCUAUCUCUAGGGACAGGAUGAGGGCGUCGCGGUGCGGCUGUAAUAUCCGGGUGGGGUCUACUGGUAGGAAAAUGAUUGUCCCAUCUAUGGGGCGAGGGCCCCCCCAGUUAUCCUAGGCCGGAUGGAGUUGACACACUCGCGCACCGAUGCUGGUCGCAACAACUUUUGUCUCUUUCGUUUGGAAUCGUACUCCUCGUCGGAUGGGCCUCCGUUAAUAUAGUUUAUAACGGCUUUAGAGGUGGUUGGGGCCCUAGGGGCUCCAGAGUUGUGAUUUCGAGAAGCGUCUUCACCUCUGGCAUCUGAGCGGAGGUAUUGCUUUAAAUGUCCCGCCUUUAUGAGCCUUUCGACCAAAUGAUGGAGACACCUGCACGCCUCCGUUGUGUGACCAUGCUCCUUAUGGAAGACACCUGAACUCUCCUCUGGGAUUCAGCAAUUUAUGAAUGUAUCUUUAGGCCCAUGUAGAUAAAUCCAUGCUUGGUGGUAGUAUGCUUAUUGAUGAUAGUCUAGAGAUGUGGAAAUCAAAUGAUUCUGAUGAACUAAAUUUGAUGCGUGAUGAGAUAGAUGACGUGUUAUCUAAGGAUCACAAAGUUCAUCAAUAGAAACUCGUUUGAUGAUGCGUCAAUCUGAUGGAGAGAAUCCGUUGAUAAAAAAUGAUGAAAUGCCAAUUUGAAGAUAAUGACUGCGAUUCAUCUCCGAAGAUGAAUCUAAUGAGAACGUUCAGGAUUCAGAAAUGGAGAGCUAUAAUGGCAGUGGUGAUUUGCAACAACAUCGAUCUCUGGUGGCAGUGACAGCAAACUCUAAUGGUGGUAAACUACGCCGACAGAGACAAUCUCCAUGAAUUGCGCAACAAACUUCAAUGGCGAUCUCCAGUGGUGGUGAUGAAUUCUCCUACAACAAUGAACUCUCAUUCUCCUGUAGAGAUGAACUCUCAGAUGUCGGUGAAUUAUUUUUAUAUAUUUUUUUAAUAAAUUUUAAAUGAAAUAAAAUAAAUAAAUAAAUUUUAAAUCAAUAAAUUAAUUUUAUAUAUUUUUUUAAACUCAUUUAACUUAUUUUAAAUUUUCAAUUAUAAAAUUAAAUAAUUUGAAAAUAUAUAAAUUUAUAACUAAUUUUAAUUAUAUUUUAUUUUCUUUUAUAAUUUUCAUAUAUAGUAUAACCAAUACCAAUGUUUUCAAAAUCAGACCGCUGCUUGAACCGGAAAAGUUACCGGUUCACGAUUCACGAUUCACGAUUCAUUAAUUGAACUGGUGGUCAAACCGUAGUCAAAUCAAUGACAUCAUAAAUAAUAAUUUUUUUCUUUUUUCUCACUAACUAAUCCCACAUCGGAAAUGGAUAAAAAAUAUGUAGGAAUUGUGGUAUAAAAGGCAAGCUAGAAUCAUUAACUUGCAAGACUAAAAGCUUAUUGGGCUUGAUGACAAACAAGUUGGAUGGGCUCCUCAUGGAGUGAUCCGGUUCUCUUAUGGUAUCAAAACCUUUUUUUUUUUGUUUUAAAAUAAAUAAAUAAAUAAAUUGUUCGGUUCGCUAAGAAUCGCCUGGUUGGGGCGGUUCACUAGCUCAACCACUGGUUUGAUGCCCAAACGGUUUUUUGGGUGGACCAAACUGGUUUUGUUACCGAUCGGACCAACUGGUCCGGUCCAAUUUUUAAAUCAUUAUCAAAUACAAUAAAAUAAUUUUUUUUAACAUUUUUUUUAUUUUUUUAGUACUUCUCAAAAAUCAAACAUAAUCAUAAGACUAAUCAUAUUUUUUAUCAUAAUAUCAUUCGAAGACAAUGCCCCAAGUGAGAAUCCCAAAACUUUUCAAUGUUUUACUAAUAUUAAGAUUUUGAAAAUCUAUACAAUUUAUUUUUCUUUUUCUUUUUUUAAUAUUUGGAUGAUAGUGCAUGAGUAUACAAGAAAGGUCAACGCAAAGAUCAAUGUCUACAAUCUUGAAAUUGCACUUCCAGAGUUGGGCCCUAAAAGAGAACCCAAUAAGGGGAAGGGGCAGCGUAUAAACCUUGUUCAAUGGGCAUGAAAACACCUUGGAGAAGGAAAGUCAUUCCUCUACCGGUUGACUAAUAAUUUGAUGGUAAUGACAGUAGUUCGGAUCAUUAACAUGACUCAUUUCUUCUAAACAUUUGCACUUAGGUAGCUCAAUAACUUUUUUAUGGAAUAGGUCUUCCAACAUGUUAGGCACAUCAGAGUCAGGAAAAUGAUAUUUCUUAUCCUUUAAUUCCUUCAAGGUGAAUCGACGCCUCUCAUUUUCCUAAAUUGGUCUAGUCUCUCUUACUUCCUUCUUUUUAUCUCGUGCUGAGAUUUUGAUGGGCGUUAUAUUUACUGUCAUUGACUUGUGGAUGGGUUUUAUUGAGGCCCGAUCACUUGUUUUCUCAUCAUGUCUCUCUCUUUACCGAUCAACAAUUAAUAAGGUCUUUUUUAGCACCAUGGUUAGCUAUGUUGAGCUUCAUGUCAUGUGCUCAAGUAGUUAACUGUUCAAAAAUGUGAGGUCAUAUCCCUUAGAGGAUGUACAAAACACCCCAAUGCAUUCCUUGUAUGCACAUUUCCAUGGCUGAUACAUCAAAUAAUCUAUCUUUGUAGUCGAAACUUAAAGAACGCCAAUGAUUGACGUAGUUUACGACCGGCUCAUAUUUCCAUUGCUUAGUAUUAGUAAGCUCCAUCAUGCUUACAGUCCGUCGGGUGCUAUAGAAAUGGUUGAGGAAUUUGCAUUCCAUUUGGCUCUAACUAUCGAUACACUUAGGUGUAAGGUCUAUGUACUAAUGAAAGCAUUCCCUCAAAAGGAACGAACAAAUUGUUUAACUAACAAGUCACUAUGUGCACUUGCAUUGUUAGAAGUUUUAACGAAAUGACAUGUUGUUUUGGAUUUCUCUUCCCAUAAAAUGAUUGAAACUUUGGAGGUUGAUAACCUACAAGCAUACAUAGGUUAUCAAUCCUCUUAGUGUAAGGUUUAGAGUACAUAAGUGUACUCUGUGAGGGUCCAUCGUACCGCACUCUAAUGGUGUUAGUUAUUAUGUCUUGAAGUUGCUAGACAGAUAACAACUCCAUCGAGGCAAAUUCCAUCAUUUUUCUUUCGACUUGCACUGUUCUAGAUGCAUGUGGUGCAUCAUCGAGAAGAGAUGCAACAUUCAAAAGGUGGUUAAGUCUUUAACUUGACUCACUUGUAUUUUGUACUUGUGCCUCAACCUUGUUUAUGAGAGAGGCUAUCUGCAUAUCAUUCUCCUCGACUAUCGUAGUGAAUUUGGUAAUGGUGUCAGUCAUCUCUACCAAUUGUUCCUCUAUAGAUGUAGUACCAACUGUCAUUACCGGCAUAGUCAUUGAGAUGAGAAAAAUAAAAUAGUCGAAAUGAUUGGAGUAGUUUUCCUCAUUCGACAUUCCAAUUGGUGAUUCGGAGUGUGAGCUGGUGCUAGAGUUAAUAUUGGUAAUAAAGCAAGGAGACUCAUCCCGAAAGUCCUUUAGUGCUAAAGAGAGUUUUCCCCUACUAUGAGGAUUGUGGCUCUUUGCCCCUAAGGAGGCCAAAGUGAUGAAUGGUUGGUGUUCAUCAUGUGUCCUUACCGAUUUUAGUAGACAAGUAGACCUAUUUAUUUCGUUGAAAGUGAAGAUGUUGAUUUUGAUUUGCUACGAGUCAUGGGACCCAUAGCAGUGUUGUGUGUUGAUUAUGCAAUGAUGAUCUUGUCAUUGUCCUUGUUGACAUGCACAACUUGAGUUCUUUUGGAUAUCAUCAACGUAGUAGAGAUCAAUCUUCUAACAAAAGAUAUGAGAGGCAGAGAGAUCCCAUCAAACAUGCUAGAAAUUUGUAUGCACAAAUUUCAUAAAGGUCCUGCAAAAUUAGCAAAACAAUACGAAAAUAAUGUGAACAAAAUAUUUAUCAAAAUUAAAAAUAUUGUGGUAUAAUAUAAAAAAUAAUACUCUUUACAAAACAAUAUUUUUUUCUCUAAUUUUUUUUGCCUUGAUCACAAUUUGAAAGACGACAAUGUCGUUUUCUUAUUUUGAAGAUUAAUUGAGGGCCACAAGUGACUUAUUCCUAAAUGAACACGUUGAAUGAUGAAGAACGCAUGUAGCAAUUCUAUCAUUUGCCGAACCUAUAGGGAGAUUCGAUGAUUUUUUUUUUUUUUUUUUUUUGUAAAGCCUUUUUUCCCAUACAAAGUUACCUCUAGAUUUUCUUCUUUAGGAUUUUCUUUUCUAGAUUUUUCUAAUUUUUGAGUUUCUCCCAUUUCUUGAAAGAAUUCACCUCUAUUUAUAGGUGAAGGUAGGAAAUUCGAAUUUUGAAUUCCCAAAUUUUAGUUGCUUAAUUCAAGGAAUUUAGUUAACUUUUCUUCUUGAGAAGGUUUCUCAUGAUGAUGAUGAUGAUAAUAAUAAUAAUAAUAAUAAUAAUAAUAUUUUUUUAAUUAUCAUUAUUAUUAUAUUUUCGAUUUUUUUAGGAAACUUAUUCGUAAUAGGAUAUUUAUUUAUUUAUUUAUUUUGAAUAUCAAAUUAGUGGUAAUUAAUCCACUAAAAUUUUUAUGUCUACAUCCUUAUCCACAAGUGUAGAGACAAAUAUGUCGUAAGUAAAUAAACUAUGAAUGACUUCAUUUGAGCUUAAAAUAAUAAAUUAAGCAAAUAAGCAUGUAGUAAAAUUAGAACUUACGACCCUCCUACUAAAUAAAGCUCUAAUAAUAUGUUGGAUAAUUGAUUUUUUUAAAAGCUUAAACUUAAGAUUUGCAUCCCGAUGGAUGUGCAUCAUGUUUUCUAAUAAUAUAUCACAUACUUUUCUAGAUUUUAUGUUAGACUUGUGAUUACUUCUCUAAAUUAAUUUUUCAGCAUAUUGUAUAUAUGCAUUUGUUAGGAUGAAUCAAUUAUCAAUCAAUGCAGAAAUACAAGUACUCCUCAUAGAGCCUCUCUACUUAUUUCCACUACAACAGCUUAGUUGGUUGAACUUAAAAGAAUUCCUAAGUGCUUUCACAAAUGUUUUGAACUUCAAACCUGCACAAAGAUGGAAACCAUAUCAUUGAAAUAAUUAAAACAAAUCAACUGAAAUCAAACUGCUAUUGCCUUGUUUAAAAAUUUAAAGAAAAAAACAAAAAAAAAAUCAUGGGCUUUUACGCAAAACUUAACAGUAGGGUUCCCAAAGUUCAUUAUUCAGAAUACUAACAAGUGUCAUGUAUCAGUUCAACUCGGCACCUUCUUCCAUAAAUAAAUUAUAUUUGCUUUGGAAGAAAACUUGAGUUUUGAACAAAUAUAAUAUAUUUGAAAAAAAAAUCCAUAAAAUGGAUCUUCAAUCAAAAUAAUUCUCAAAAUAGUGUAUUUGUACUUGGGCAUCCAAAUAGUUUGAGAAUAUUUUUUAUGUGAUAAAAUCCUAAUUGAUAACUAUGAUUUUAAUUUAUUUUUUUUAAAUAUAAAACCGCUGUUGGUAAUUAUAGUUUUAACCAUUUUAAAAGAAAAUUCAAAAUCAUAAUUAACAACUAUAGUUUUAUAAGGUGGAUAUGUUAGCUCUUUUCUUAUAAUGUGUGAUCAUAUAUAAUUAUAUUUGUGUAAAUAUUAUUUAAGAGUAUCAAUUGAUAGAUAGGUGAAUCAAUUGAUUGGGCAUUCAAGAGUCUUAUGUAUGGAAGACUCAAAUUAUAAAUGGGGAGUUAGAAAAUUUAAUUUAUAUGAAUGUGGUGUUUAUAACCCCAUCAUUAUGAAAUUUAUUUUGUACAUUAUAUUUAUGAGUAAUAGAGGAAAAUGAAAAACUAUAACCUAUGCAUUUAUAUAAAUGCAUUCAAGUUCAUAACUCACCAUUACCCAUUAAUUUGUACAUAAUAGGUGUAAAUAAUGAGUAUAACUCUCGUAUAAUCUUUUAUAAGAAGACUAAGAGAUGUACAACUUUUUAUAAGUUAAGGUCUCAAGUCACAUUCUCAUUCUUAUGUCAUUUUGUUGUUUUAUUUUUUAACAACAUACACCACAUAAGUGACUCAUCCACUAUAUGAGAGUAGUGAGUUGAAGACUUUGACAAUACAAUUCACAAAAUGAUUCAAUUUCACUUCAAAAAUGAUAUUGAUAUUAUGGAUCAAGGUAAGAAUAUGAUCAUUAUUUUAAUAUUUAUAUUUAUUUUGUUUUAUGCAUUCAAAAUUAUUUUUUUUUAAAUAAUGAUUUCCACAUAAAGUUUAUAAAAGUUUAGUUAACAGGAAACCCAUGUGGAUGAGAUGCACUAAAAUUAUUCUGAGAUGGAAUCUAACCUGUGGAAUUUUUUUUAAAUAAAUUAUUUUUGUUCAAAACUUAGAAAAAAAAACUUGUUGAAAACUAAAUUCAACUAUACACUUUCGUAUUUUUCUUUUUAUAAGAUCAAAUCCACGUUAUCACUUUUCCACUAGAAUCCUCAUGAUUAAUUGUAGAAUUCUUGAGAUGAAAUGAAAUGGUUGUUGAAACUUCAGUUUUCAAUCUUGAUCAAUGUUGUCCCUUCCCUUAGCUGUGCAUUAUUCCAAUGCCAGUUUUUCUCCACAAACUUAGUCCAGAGACAAGAUUAGAUUCCGUGUGGAACCAUUCAUGUGUGGAUCCCGUUGUGAGACUUGACCAUCAAUAUCCUUCUCUCCAUUUGUGGGGUACUGCCCACGUGACCACUGCUUUGGAAAUUUGAGUAACACACCUAAAUUCUCAAAGACCCAAAACUACAGAUUUCUGCUUCAUCUUUCUCCUCAUUCAUGUGCACCUUUUCAAAGUAUUCAGUGGAGAUUGGCCCCAUCAGUCACGUUUUCCAUAAUGCAUGGUUACGUCACCAUCCAUUUGCUAAGUUGUCAUGCCUUUUUUCUACACCAACUCAGAAACCCCACCCGGCUGGUAUGGUUUUCAUUUUUUAUUUAUUUAUUUUUUUUAACCAAUAUAAAUAAGGCAUGAACCCAUCCAUUUUCAUAUCUGUACCUAAUGUUAAUAUUAAGUGAUUCUACUUAAAAAUACUUUUAGUUUAUAUUAUUAUUAUCUGUAAUACUUUUAUUAUUUAGAGAUAAUUACUUAAUAUUUAAAUAUAUAAAUAAGAAAAAAAAUUCAAAAAAACAUCCAUCAAUAUAUAAUAUAACAAAUUAUUGUCUUUAAAACCUAAUUUUUAGCAUAAAAAAAAGGUAUUUUAUCUCACUCAAAGUUACUCCCAAAUCAACUCUUAAGGAUUGUUUGAAAUUGCAAAUUUAACUUUUAUAUUGAUAAAUAAAAGAGGUAAAAGUAAUUGUUAUGUUUGAAAAUUAUAUGUCAAAAAUAUUGUUAUUAAAGAGAAAGAUAAUUUUGAAAUUUUUAGUUAAAUAAAAAUUUUCUAAAAUAUAUAUAUAUAUAUAUAUAUAUAUAUAUAUAUAUAUAUAUAUAUAUAUAUAUAUAUUUAAUGCAUAUGAAUUUCUAUUCACAUCCAAUUAUGAUCUAAUAUUCUUAUAUAAAACCUCAUUCAAUUUAACAUGAGUAUAAUUACUUAUUUUAUUAUUUAUUAAUAUAUAUUAUAAUUAAUUAAUUAAUUUAUUUAUUUUAAAAAAAAAAACUAUGAAUGAUUGAUAUUUCCAUAAAAUCAAAACGUGAUGUAGACUAAUUGGUGCCUAGCGUUGACCCAAAGUCAAGUCUUUUCUCUAGUGUGGCAUUUUACACAUUUAUUUAUGAUUACCAAGACUUGGAAAAGCAACAUUAGGAAUUGGUGUUCCCCAAUUUUUUGUCAUCAGGUUUAAAAGAUAAAAUAGAGGGUAAGACAUGGAUUUAAAUUUUAUAAUCAGAUUAAAAAACCGAAAACAAUAUCUAUAAUCAAACAAUUUCACAUGUGUUUUGAAGUUUUAUUGUUUUAUUUAUUUAUAGAUUGAUUCAACAACCUAAAUUUUAUUAUAUAUAUUUAAUGAUUUAGAUUUUUUAUUUUAUAUGUAUAUUCUCUCUCUUAACAUUUUCUCAAAUUCCAUCAAUUCAUGAGUUUCCAAGAAGUAUCCCCUACUCCACUCCAUGAAACAUAUCUUGAAAAUGAAGUUGUCCCUUAGAAUAAAAUAUCUAUCCUCAAGACUUAAGACCUCAAACCUAAAGCUAAGGAUAGACCUCCAACCACCAUCUGGAGGACAUUAAUUAGUCUUGUUUUCUUAAUUUUUAUUUUCCAACCCCACUUUAACAACCGAAAAGAUUUACUUGUCUUUAUUUAUGAUUUAAAAAUAAAUAAAUUCAACUUUAUAUUAACUUGACUUUCAAAUAUACUAUUUAACCGUUGGUUUUCAUCUUUCCCACCCAUCUUCCUCCCAACUCAUAGAGAAGCGGUAAGGAACUCAAUGUCACCAAAAUGCGGAAACCACCAUUUUUAUUUACCAAAAUUCCAUUCCCCGCUCUAUUUCUCCUCCUCGUCUUCUCCUUAACCUUUCAAGUAAUUUCCCAAAAUCUAGAUGCUGAACGAUCAAUCCUACUAGACGUUAAACAACAACUGGGCAAUCCACCGUCACUCCAAUCGUGGAAUUCCUCAUCCUCGCCCUGUGAUUGGCCGGAAAUUACAUGCAUCGACAAUAUCGUCACUGAAAUUUCACUCAGCUACAAGACCAUCACAAAGAAAAUUCCGGCCAGAAUUUGUGACCUCAAGAACCUAAUCGUACUUGACGUCUCCUACAAUUACAUUCCAGGCGAGUUCCCGGAUAUUCUCAAUUGCUCUAAGCUCGAAUAUCUCCUCUUGUUGCAAAACUCCUUCGUGGGUCCAAUUCCAGCUGAUAUUGAUCGACUUUCACGUCUCCGAUACCUAGACCUCACCGCAAACAACUUCUCUGGAGAUAUUCCCGUAGCAAUUGGGCGGCUACGGGAGCUGUUCUACUUGUUUCUGGUUCAAAAUGAGUUCAACGGCACCUGGCCAACGGAGAUUGGUAAUUUGUCAAAUCUUGAACAAUUGGCCAUGGCCUAUAAUGACAAAUUCCGGCCUUCAGCCCUUCCAAAGGAGUUUGGCGCAUUGAAGAAGCUGAAGUAUCUGUGGAUGACGAAGGCAAAUUUGAUGGGCGAAAUACCGGAGAGCUUCAACAAUCUAUCGAGUCUGGAACUCUUGGACCUCUCAAACAACAAAUUGGAAGGUACGAUCCCGGGAGGCAUGCUUACAUUGAAGAAUUUGAACUAUUUUCUUUUAUUCAUUAAUAGAUUGUCCGGCCACAUUCCUUCAUCCAUAGAAGCUCUCAACUUGAAAGAAAUUGAUCUUUCCGACAACCAUUUGACGGGGUCCAUACCAGCGGGUUUCGGGAAGCUACAAAAUUUGACGGGUUUGAAUCUUUUCUGGAAUCAGUUGUCAGGAGAGAUACCAGCAAAUAUAAGCCUCAUUCCUACACUUGAAACUUUCAAAGUUUUUAGCAAUCAAUUGAGUGGAGUUUUACCUCCAGCAUUUGGCCUUCAUUCGGAGCUCAAACUCUUUGAGGUUUCCGAGAAUAAACUAAGCGGGGAAUUACCUCAACAUUUAUGCGCUAGGGGGACUUUGCUUGGAGUGGUCGCUUCCAACAACAAUCUCAGCGGGGAAGUGCCCACGUCCCUCGGGAAUUGCACAAGUUUGCUCACCAUUCAACUUUCCAACAAUCGUUUUUCAGGCGGGAUUCCUUCCGGCAUCUGGACAUCCCCGGACAUGGUAUCGGUGAUGUUAGAUGGAAAUUCAUUCUCAGGGACACUUCCAAGUAAAUUGGCAAGGAAUUUGUCUAGAGUGGAGAUCGCUAACAACAAGUUUUAUGGUCCAAUUCCUGCUGAAAUCUCUUCCUGGAUGAACAUCUCUGUGCUCAAUGCCAGCAACAAUAUGUUGUCUGGAAAAAUUCCAGUGGAAUUGACCAGUCUUUGGAACAUCACUGUUCUGUUGCUUGAUGGGAAUCAAUUCUCGGGUGAACUUCCAUCCCAGAUCAUCUCAUGGAAGUCGCUCAAUAAGUUAAAUCUCUCAAGAAACAAACUUUCUGGCCUAAUUCCCAAGGCAUUAGGUUCUUUAACUAGCCUUAGUUACCUCGACCUGUCAGAAAACCAGUUCUCAGGUCAAAUUCCUCCUGAACUUGGCCAUUUGAACCUUAUUAUCCUCCAUCUUUCGUCCAACCAACUGUCUGGGAUGGUCCCCAUUGAGUUUCAACAUGAAGCAUAUGAAGACAGUUUCUUGAACAAUCCCAAGUUGUGUGUCAAUGUUCCCACUUUGAACCUCCCUAGAUGUGAUGCCAAACCCGUCAACUCCGACAAAUUGUCAACCAAAUAUCUCGUUUUCGCUCUAUCUGGUUUCCUAGCUGUUGUUUUCGUCACCCUGUCCAUGGUUCAUGUCUAUCAUAGGAAGAAUCACAAUCAGGAGCAUACAGCUUGGAAAUUUACUCCAUACCAUAAACUAGAUCUCGAUGAAUACAACAUAUUGUCCAGUUUGACAGAAAAUAAUCUGAUCGGAUGUGGUGGGUCAGGGAAAGUAUACCGAGUUGCUAAUAACCGUUCUGGUGAACUCUUAGCGGUUAAAAUGAUUUGUAAUAAUAGGAGAUUGGAUCAAAAGCUUCAGAAACAAUUCGAAACAGAAGUCAAGAUAUUGAGCACCAUACGCCAUGCCAAUAUAGUGAAGUUGUUGUGCUGCAUAUCAAAUGAAACCUCAAGUCUUCUUGUUUACGAGUACAUGCAGAAGCAGAGUUUGGAUAGAUGGCUUCAUGGGAAGAAGCAGAGAACAUCGUCCAUGACAAGUUCAGUUCAUAACUUUGUCUUGGAUUGGCCAACAAGGUUGCAGAUUGCUAUCGGAGCUGCAAAAGGCCUAUGCCACAUGCAUGAAAACUGCUCUGCCCCGAUCAUACAUCGAGAUGUGAAGUCCAGCAACAUCUUGCUAGAUGCCGAGUUCAACGCGAAAAUUGCAGAUUUUGGAUUGGCCAAGAUGUUGGUCAAGCAAGGAGAGCCAGACACCAUGUCAGGAAUUGCAGGCUCUUACGGAUAUAUUGCCCCUGGUAAGACCAUCAAGGCCCUCCUUUCCAAAUGUUUUCAUUUCCAUAAUUUAUCGAUAAGUUGUAUCAUACCAUUCUUGUAUACUUGGAUGAUAGAGUAUGCUUAUACAACAAAGGUGAACAAGAAGAUCGAUGUAUAUAGCUUUGGAGUAGUCUUGCUUGAGCUUGUGACGGGGAGAGAACCCAACAAUGGGGACGAGCACGUGUGCCUUGCAGAAUGGGCAUGGGAUCAGUUCAGAGAAGAGAAAACCAUUGAGGAAGUGAUGGAUGAGGAGAUCAAGGAAGAAUGUGAUAGAGCACAAGUGGCCACUCUCUUCAAACUAGGCAUUAGGUGCACUAACAAAUUACCAUCCAAUAGGCCCACAAUGAAAGGGGUUUUGAAAAUUCUUCAACAGUGCAGUCCUCAAGAGGGCCAUGGAAGAAAUAAAAAGGACCAUGAAGUUGCACCUCCACUUCGAAAUGACACUUACCCCACCACUUACAAGUUGUGAGGAUAAAGCCCUUAAAAACAUGAUAUGAUGUAAUAAAUUUGGAAGUCAUUAUUUAUUUAAUGAUGUUCCGAUUUCACUUUUAUCUAUCCUUAUUCCAUAUAUUAUACUUUAUGAGCAUUCUUGCCUGCAUCUUUUGCAUUGCACGUAACUUAGGUGCAUUAAGAGUUGCACAGAAGAUCUAGGUCAUGGGUUCCUUGCAAAUAUAUGACUUGUUCACAACCAGUUCAUGGGUCUAGGAAGCCCAUUAGGGGUUGUAAUAAUCCACUUCCUAAUUGGAAGAAUGGCUAGUCUUAGCUAUUGGGAUGAGUUUCCCAUGGUAAGUGCAUUAGUGUGUAUGAUUACAUAUUGGACAUGACCUAUGGUGAAUCAUGAAUUAAGGUUAUCAAGCAGUCAUGACCUCAUCAAACUACUUCAUUAUAUUGUCUCUCAACCUUGAGAGAAUAUCGAGCUCGUACUAAAGUUAGCAAUGACUUUGACAUACGAGUGAGAUCGUAAGUUGAUCAUAUAUUCCCUAUGGAUUGAGUCAUUGUUGAUGGAAAAUGGUAGCAAUAGGUAUUUUCAAUAAAAACACCAUGAUGUCUCUUGGGAUUAAGACAAUGUGCCCCUUUUGGUGAUCCUAAAGAGGUGUGUUUAUGGAAACUAUGGUCAUAGUAGUUCCUUAAGUAAAACUCGACAUAGGCUCUUUGAGAGCUAAGACAUGUCAAUUGAAUACACAAUAGAAGGAUUUAUAACUCAAGGAUGGUAGAGGUAGUCUUGAAAGACUAAUAACUUUUACUUUGUUAGACUAUGAAUAUCAGUUCAUGGGAAGACUAAACACAAUAAAUAGCAAGUCACAAACCUGAACAUUUGGUAUCUCAUUGUUAUUUUCAAUAAAAUAACAAUGAGAUGGUAAGUUGAUCAUAUAUACCCUAUGGAUUGGGUUAUUGUUGAUGGAAGAUGGUAGCAAUAGGUAUUUUCAAUAAGCACCAUAAUAUCUCUUGGGAUUAAGAUAGUGUGCCCCCUUGGGUAAUCUUAAAAAGUGUGUUCAUGGAAACUAUGGUCAUAGUAAUUCAUUAAGUAAAACUCAACAUAGGCUCUUUGAGAGCUAAGACAUGUCAAUUGAAUACACAAUGGAGGAUUUAUAACUCAAGGAUGAUAGAGGUAGCCUUGAAAGACUAAUAACUUUCACUUUGUUAGACUACGAACAUCAGUUCAUGGGGAGACUAAACACAAUAAAUAGCAAGUCACAAGCUCGAGCAUUUGGUAUCUCGUUGUUAUUUACAUAAGAUACGGGAGUUCAAUUGAUUCUCUGUAGUGGGAUGUUGAAUCAACUUUAGAAUUGGAUUUUGAGAGAGUCGGUAUUCUUAUGGGUUCCAAUGGUCCUUGCUCUAAGCUUAUAUACUUUGUUGGCAUGGGUUAUAAGAGUCGGAUUGACUCUAGGUUCACUUUUGUACAUAAAGGCAUUUUGAUAAUUACACAAGGUUACACAAAGGUAAGUGAACAAGGUUUUUAAAUUGGGUUAAUUGAUUAAUUAGUAGGCCUUGUUUAGUUAAUUAAUCAAUUAGGACUUUUUUUGGGCUAUAUUAAGUGACCUAAGCCCUUAGUGGGCUCAAGUCACUUAAACCUAAUAGAAAACCCUUUAAAUACCCCCUUAAGGGUUAGAGUUUAUAUAGUUUUUCUAAAGAGCCAUCUUCUAUCUCUAGAGAGAAAGAGAAAGAGUCAUAGCGUCCACCCUCCCUUCUAUCUCCACUAAAAGUGUGUCAAGAUCAAGGUUCAAGUCAUUGGGAGGAAGACUUUGGAUUUACGAGACUUCUGUGAUUUCGUUCUUCAUUUUCACCACGUGGAUUUGAUUUGAGAACAUACGAAUUUGAGGUAUGGUUUUCAUUAGCACUUUCUGAAUCCCUUUAAAGUUUAAAAAUGUUAUUUUUCCGUUGUGUAUAGGAUUAAUUUAGAAAAUGCUUAGAAUAGUUAUGCAUGUUCGUAACCUGAUCUGAGCUUAGGAAAUGGAGAGAUCCUAGUUUUUUCCCUCAAUGUUUGUGCUCCAAAGUGUUGAGAUAGUUUAGAGGGUGACAUGAUGAUUAACAUAAUACCUUAUAUGGAGAACCUAGUGAAUCCCUUCUCCAAGACAUUGAUAGGGAGAGUCUUUGCUAGUCACAUGGAUAGCAUAGGUUUCAGAUGAGUAUUUGGCAUGCUUUAAAGGCAUGAUACUUUGAGGGCUAAUAGGAGAAUGUUAGGAUAAAGCCCUUAAAAACAUGACAUGAUGUAAUAAAUUUGGAAUUCAUUAUUUAUUUAAUGAUGUUUUAGUUUCACUUUUAUCAAUCCUUAUUCCAUGUAUUAUACUUUAUGAGCAUUCUUGUCUGCAUUUUGUGCAUUGUACAUGACUUAAUUGCAUUAGGAGUUAUAUAGAAGAUCUAAGUCAUGGGUUUCUUGCAAAUAAAUGACUUGUUCACAACUGAUUCAUGGGUCUAGGCAACCCACUAGAGGUUAUAGUGCACCAUACCACCUUCUAAUUGGAGGGAUGACUAGUCUUAAUUAUCAGGAUGAGUUUCCCAUUGUGAGUGCAUUACUGUGUAUGGUUACACAUUAGACAAAACCUACAGUGAGUCAUGGCUUAAGGCUAUCAAGUAGUCAUGUCCUUACCAACCAACUUCAUUAUGUCGUCUCUCAACUUUAAGAUAAUAUUGAGUUUAUACUAAAGUUAGCAAUGGCUUUGACCUACAGGUGAAAUCAUAAGCUAAUCAUUUGGGUCAUUGUUGAUGGAAGUCGGUAGCAAUAGGUAUUCUCAAUAGAAAUACCAUGAUAUCUCAUGGGAUUUAGACAGUGUGUCCCCUUGAGUAAUCUUAAGAAAGUGUGUUCAUACAAACUAUGACCAUAGUAGUUCCUUAAGUGGAACUUGACAUAGACUCUUUGACAACUAAGACAUGUCAAUUAAAUAUAUAAUUGGACGAUCUGUAACUCAAAGAUAGUAGAGGUAAUCUUUAAGGAUUGAUAACUUUCACUUUAUUAGACUACAGACACUAAUUCAUGGGGAGACUAAACAUAAUGGAUAGCAGGUCAUGGACCCGAGUACGUAAUAUCUCGUUGUUAUUUACAUAGGAUAUUGGAGUUCAAUUGAUUCUCUAUGGUGGAAUGUUGAAUCAACUUUAGAAUUGGAUUUUGAGGAAGUCAGUACUCCUAUGGGUCCCAAUAGUCCACACUCUAAGCUCAUAUAACCUAUUGACACGGAUUAUGAGGGUCGGAUUGGCUUUAGGUUCAUUUUUGUGUAUAAGGGCAUUUUGAUAAUUACACAAGGUUGCAUAAGGGUAAGUGGACAAGGUCUCUAAAUUGAACUAAUUGAUUAAUUAAUAGGCCUUAUUGGGUUAAUUAAUCAAUUAGGACCCAUUUUGAGUUAGAUUAAGUGACCCAAGCCCAUGUGGGCUCAAGUCACUUAAGCAUACUUAGGAACCCUAUAUAUACCCCCUAAGGUUUAGGGUUCCCACAACUUUUGUCCUCCACCUGUUAGGAUAGAGCCCUUAAAAGUAUAACAUGAUGUAAUAAAUUUGGGAUUCUUUAUUUAUUUAAUGAUGUUCUAGUUUCACAUUAUUUAUUUAAUGUGAAGACAUUUGGAACCCAUCUCUCCUUCACAGAUUUAUCCAAAAGUUGCAUGCUCUGACUCAAGUUUCCAUGCAUACACAACCCUCUGAAGUGAUCAUCAACUCCAUUACCUUAGUAGUUUUUUCCAUGUCAAGCAUACAGUUAGUUUUGAGAGCGAGACCCAUUUUCACUAUGAACUCAAUGACUGUGCUUCGAUCAACUAGUUUGGCAUUUUCAUUUCUUUAUGGCAACCAAAUUUGGACUAGAUCUAACACUUGGCAGGCCAAAGGGCAUGAAUCAAAAACAGAGGAAAGCGACGGAAAAAAAAAAAAAAAACAAAGCACAAAUGGUUGAAACAAAACGAACUAAUAAAAGCCACAUUUUAUGUUUCAAUCAACCGACUUAGAUGUAGGUGAGUGAAACUAAAAAGAUUUUAAACAAGAACACAAGUAUUAUUCAGACAUUCUAUAGGAAAGCUACAACAGAGAUAAAUCAUGCUCAAACAUAACCAAAGGAAAUGAGGCAUGAAUCAACUAUAACCAAAUCACAGAAACCAAGAGAUUAACAAUAACAAGUGUGUGUCCUACGAUUAUCCAGACCCAAAACAUGGAAAAUUUUAGAAUCUAAUUGAUAAAUGAAAGAAAAAAAUGGAAAAAAUGGAGAUGAAGAAAAUUAAAUACACAAUUUAAAGGACUGAGAACCUGACCUGAACUCUUCUCUAAGAUUUAGCAAUUUAUGAAUGUAUCUUCAGGCCCCUGUAGACGAAUCCAUGCUUGGUGGUAGUAUGCUUAUUGAUGACAGUCUGGAGAUGUGGAAAUCAAAUGAUUCUGAUGAACUAAAUUUGAUGCGUGAUGAGAUAGAUGACGUGUUAUCUAAGGAUCACAAAGUUCAUCAAUAGAAACUCGUUUGAUGAUGCGUCAAUCUGAUGGAGAGAAUUCGUUGAUAAAAAAUGAUGAAAUGCCAAUUUGAAGAUAGUGACUGCGAUUCAUCUCCGGAGAUGAAUCUAAUGAGAACGUUCAGGAGUCAUAAAUGGAGAGUGUAGGGACCCCUCCCCUUGGGAAACACGUGGCACGCAGCUCAUAGUGACGCGUGGCACGUGUUAUCAGCCGGACCGUCAUUAUCCGGAUUCCCCUAAGGAUAUGCAUGGUGCAGAUAUCCUAUCCGGACCGCCUCAAGGAAAGGCAAACGACGUUUCAUCUUCUCCUAUCCAAGGAAGAGCAAACGACGUUGGCAGAGCGUACACAUCCGGAUAGUCUCCACAACACAUCCGGAUAGUCAACAUGAGCCAUCCGGAUAUAAAUCUUCUGGAUGGUCAAUUAAAGUAAAGCGAGUCUUACACGCAAUCACAACAAGCAGCCAUGGCCCACAUCCCAUCACCUGCAGAAUGAGAAGACAAGAGGAAGUGACAGCAAGUCACUUCCCACGAUCAUUCUGCAUAAUCGCUUCCCACGAUCUCUGACGGCCGCAUCACCUACCAUAGUCUCUGACAGCCAUUCAUAGGAUGAUAGUGCUCCUACUAACACCUAUUGUCAUCAUCACAACAGAAAAGAUCUCCUCACCAUUAAUGAGAGGAACAGUACCCCUGAAGCUGGAUAUAUAUACCUUCGCACGAAGAAGAAAGGGGAUCUCCUGGUAAUCUCUUGAUACCUAGAAAAAGGCCAACUGAUUUAUAUAUCUCUUUCUCACCAUGGCUAACAAAACCAUCGGAGGGUGCGUCCGGACACCCUGUCCGAAUGCCUUUUGCAGGUGCAACCACUGAAUCAAGAACCCCUUGUGUGUUGAGAAUCACGUAUCCAUCCAUAUAGCAGCAACGUGGACCAUCGGAUACGCGAGGUGACAACAGAGAGCUCUAAUGGCGGUGGUGAUUUGCAGCAAUGUCAAUCUCUGGUGGCAGUGACAGCAAGCUCUAAUGGUGGUAAACUACGCCAACAGAGACAAUCUCCAUGAAUUGCACAACAAACUUCAAUGGCGAUCUCCAAUGGUGGUGAUGAAUUCUCCUACAACAAUGAACUCUCAUUCUCCUGUAGAGAUGAACUCUCAGAUGUUGGUGAAUUAUUUUUAUAUAUUUUUUUAAUAAAUUUUAAAUGAAAUAAAAUAAAUAAAUUUUAAAUUUUUAUACAUUUUUUUAAACUCAUUUAACUUAUUUUAAUUUUUCAAUUAUAAAAUUAAAUAAUUUGAAAAUAUAUAAAUUUCUAACUAAUUUUAAUUAUAUUUUAUUUUCUUUUAUAAUUUUCAUAUAUAGUAUAACCAGUACCAAUGUUUUCAAAAUCAGACCGGCGCUUGAACCAGAAAAGUUACCAGUUCAUGAUUUACGGUUCAUUAGUUGAACUGGUGGUCAAACCGCGGUCGAAUCAAUGACAUCAUAAAUAAUAAUUUUUUUUCUUUUUUCUCACUAACUAAUCCCACAUCAGAAAUGGAUAAAAAAUAUGUAGGAAUUGUGGUAUAAAAGGCAAGCUAGAAUCAUUAACUUGCAAGACUAAAAGCUUAUUGGGCUUGAUGACAAACGGGUUGGAUGGGCUCCUCAUGGAAUGAUCCGGUUCUCUUAUGGUAUCAAAACUUUUUUUUUUGGCUUUAAAAUAAAUAAAUAAAUAAACUGUUCGGUUCGCUAAGAAUCGCCCGAUUGGGGCAGUUCACUAGUUCAACCGCUGGUUUUGUUACCGAUCGGACCAACUGGUCCAGUCCGAUUUUUAAAUCAUUAUCAAAUACAAUAAAAUAAUUUUCCUUAACAUUUCUUUUAUUUUUUUAAGUACUUCUCAAGAAUCAAACAUAAUCAUAAGACUAAUCAUAUUUUUUAUUAUAAGAUCAUUCGAAUACAAUGCCCCAAGUGAGAAUCUCAAAACGUUUGUCAAUGUUUUACUAAUAUUAAGAUUUUGAAAAUCUAUACAAUUUCUUUUUCUUUUUUUCUUUUUUUAAUAUUUGGAUGAUAGAGCAUGAGUAUACAAGAAAGGUCAAUGCAAAGAUCAAUGUCUACAAUCUUGAAAUUGCACUUCUAGAGUUGGGCCCUAAAAGAGAACCCAAUAGGGGGGAGGGGUAGCAUAUAAACCUUCCUCAAUGGGCAUGGCAACACCUUGGAGAAGGAAAGUUAUAAGUGAAAGCACUGGAUGAGGAGAUCAUGGCACAAUGCUACUUCAAAAAAAUGAGUACUAUGUUCCCAAUAAUCAAACUUUAUCAUGAAAAUGUUGAUAAUAGCGAGGAUUAUCUUAUUUACAAGUAUAGAGACAAAUAGGCAAAAGGUAAAUAAAUUAUUAAUAGAGCUUAAAAUAAUAAAUUAAGCAAAUAAACAUAUGGUAAGAUCGAAACUCAUUAUCCUUCUACUAAAUAAAAUUCUAAUACCAUAUUGGAUAACUAAAUUUUUUAAGAACUUAAACUUAAGAUUUGGAUCCUUAUGAUUGUAUAUCACAUUUUCUAAUAAUAUAUCAAAUACUUUUCUAGAUUUUGUGUUGACUUGUGAUUACUUCUCUAAAUCAAUUUUUCAGCAUCUUGUAUAUAUGUAUUUGUUAGGAUGAAUCUGUCACGCCCCAAGACCCACUCCAAGGGCGUGACGGUCAUUUCACACCUCAAACCCGAAGGCUUAAAGUAUAAUCUGACCCAAACAAUCAUAUUGUAACUGGAUGUUACCAAUUACCAAAUACCUGUUCAGAGUAGCGGAACAAAAUCUAAAAUCCUCAAAAUUCAAUUUCCAAAUAACUUCCAAAUAUCAAAUGAUCCAAAUGAACAUAACUAACAGUUAAACAAAAUCCAACAUAAAAUCCUAAGUCAAAUCCUAAUGAUGACCAUUCCUCAGCCUAGCCAUCACUCCUCACCCGAACUAAGAGUACCUGAAAAAUUUUCAACAAUUGGGAAUGAGCUCACAGCCCAAUAAGGAAUAUUAAUGCAAUUCAUGGAUCAAAUAUUUUCAUUUCAAAUAGGAGAUAUCAAUUUUUUUUUUUCUCAUCGAAUAUCAGAGUUUCAAAAAUACCAAUAUAUUCAAAAUUCAACCAACCAAUUUCAUAUCAAAUUCAAACACUUUCACAUCAGACUCAAUCAAAUCCAUUCAAUUUUUUCAUUACUCUGGUUAUCAAAUAUCAAAUGCCCAGUUAGGUGGGACUUUUCAAAUGGGUGGCUAGCCUCAAAUUGUUCCUGGUGGACGAAACCAAACACUACUAGUACUAGUAACCUCUAACCAAACCCCUAGAGGCUGGGGUCCAAAUCAAUUACAUUCCCACCAUGAAAUGUAAAGGUCAACUAUUAUAGCCCGUUGACAGGGCCGAAUAGUCAACUAUUAUAUCCCGUUGACAAGGGCCAAACAAACCAGAGUGAUGUUUUUGUUCAAGUAUUCAAAUUUACACAACAUAAUAUCUCCAUAUUUUGUGUCAUAAAUAAAACAAAAUAUUCCAACAUAAUAUUCAGUGCAAAACAAUUUGAUCCAUGCAUGGUAACAAAAUAUCAUUUUCUUUUCCACAAUUCAAAAUAACAUAUAAAAUAAUUUAAUUUUAUAAAUAUUGCAUUAACUUCCCUUACCUCAAAAGAAGUCCUUGAAAGCUUGGGAGAAGAAUAAUUCUGAAAAAAAUAUAAUCUACUCUUCACCUAAUAUAACAUAAGAGAAACAAUUAUUACUAUUUAUUUAUAAUUUAACUAAUUUAUUCCUUAUUUAAAUAAAACUAAUAAAUUCCCAAUUUGUUUCUAAUAACACACUACUAAUUUAAUUAAAUUACAAUUUUAUUUCAUUAUAAAAUUCUAUAUAUAUAUAUAUAUAUAUAUAUAUAUAUAUAUAUAUAUAUAUAUAUAUAUUGCUAAAUCUAUUAUUACUAUUAUCUUAAUUAUUAAUCUGAAACUAAAUAUCAUUAUUUUAUUAAUUACCUAAUUUGAGGCUAAAUCAUUAUUACAAAAAAUAUAUUAUUAUAUAUUUUGCUAAAUCUCUUACAUGUAUGGGGUACACACCAAACAAGUAAAACAAAGCAAAAAAAUUUUUUUUUUCCAUUGCCAUCAUCAUAAUAAUGAAUCAUUAUAUAUAUAUAUAUAAGUCUCCUUCCAUCCGGGCACACGCCCAAAUUUUUUUUUUUUUUAUUUUCCUUCCUUCCAAUGCUGUGCACACGCGUUCUCCUUUUUUUUUUUUUUUUAAUUAACCCUAACCUAAAAUUGAAAUAUUCCAAGGAAUUUUUUUUUUCUAAUAAAACUUAAGAUCUCCCAAAUUCCAAUACUAAAAUCAAAAUAUUAAAUUUUCACUAUUUGAUAUUAAAACGAAUUAAAAAAAAUAAUCUAACCCUAAUCUAGAUUUGGGGUUUUCCAAAAAAAAUAUAUCUAAUGUGUUUGAAAUUAAUCAAUGAAUCUAAAAUAUUAAACUAGGGGUUAGAAUCUUACCUAUAGAGAUUUUUUCUUCAACCCUGAAAUCUGACUCCAACCUUACGUUUUCUGAAAUUCUGCGAAUAGGAACUCUAUUCAGAAAAGAAGGGAAAAAAUAAAAUUUCUAAUUUAUACCUAGGGUAUUUAUUCGUAAAAUUACACUUUUACCCCUCUUCCACUUUAUUAAAUUAAUUAAUUAACUAAUUAAAUUAUUAAUAACAAUUUCCUAAAUUACCCUUAAAAGAAAAUGCCUGGGCGUUACAGAAUCAAUUAUCAAUGAAUGCAAAAAUGCAACUCCUCAUAGAGUCUCUUGCUUAUUUCCUCUACAACUUAAUUAGAAAAACUUAAAAGAACUCCAGAGUGAUUUCACAAAGAAAUAGGAUAAUUAUUUUAUCUUCAAACCUGCAAAAAAGAUAUGGAAACCGUAUCAUUGAAAUAAUUAAAACAGAAAACAAUUGGAAUCAAAGUGCUAUUGCCUUAUUUUAAAAACAAAAAAUAAAUAAAAUAAAUCUUAGGUUUUAUGCAAAACUAAAUAUUAGUUGCCUAAAGCUCCUUAUUUGGAAUACUAGAUGGGUGUCAAGCAUCAUUUCAACUCGGCACCUCCUUCGGUAAAUACCAAAAAUAAUAUUUGUUUUGGGAACAAGACUAGAGUUUUGAGCGGAUAUAAUAUAUUUUAAAAAAAUACACAAAAUAGAUUUCCAAGUAAAAUAAUUCUCAAGCUAGUAUAUUUCAGCUACAUGGGCAUCCAUAUGGUCGUAGAUUUUUUUUUUUUUAAUGUUGGUCUAUGUCAUAAAACUUUAAUUAGUAACUACGAUUUUGAUUUUUUAAAACAUAAAAUGAUAGUUAGAUAUUAUAGUUUUAAAUUUAUUUUUAAAAUCAUAAUCAUCAAUUACGAUUAUAAACUUAAAUUUAAAACCUUAGUUGGUAACUAAUGUUUUGACCGUUUUACAACAAAAUCAAAAUUAUAGUUCACAACUAUGAUCAUGUGAUAUAGAUACAAGUGUCAAUAAAACACUCCAAUUUGAAAAUUAUUUUGAGAGGGGAUCUACUUUGUAGAUUUUUAUUUGUUCAAAUAAAUUAUUUUUCCUCAAGGCUUAGAAAACUAACUUGUUUAGAACUAAAUUCAAUUAUACACUCUCCUAAUUUUUCUUUUUAUAAGAUCAAAUCCACGUUAUCAGUUUUCCACUAGAAUCCUCAUGAUUACUUGUAGAAUUGUUGAGAUGAAAUGGAAGUGUGGUAUGAGAUGCAUGCUUGUUUAAACUUCAGUUUCAAUCUUGGUCAAUGCUGUCCAUUCCCUUAGAUGUGCAGGAUGUGGAACCACUGCUGGAUCCUGUUGUGAGACUUGACCAUCAAUAUCCUUUUGGACUUGUGAAAGCAACCUUCCCCCGUUUUCUUGACGCAACCUGCUACUUCCACGUGAGCAUGCCAAACACGCUUAGGGCCUGUUUGUUGGUGUUUUCAAAUACAUUUUUGGAAACAGUUUUUACUGUUUUCAGAAAUAAAAUUAUGUUUAUUUAUUCUCAAAAAUAAAAAGAAUAAAAAAAAAAUAUUUAGUUCAGUUAAUAAAAAUAAUUUUUAAUAACAAAUAAAACAAAAAAACUUGUUUGGAAAAUAUUAUUGUUGGUUUUGUUUUUUAAAGUUGAGUAUUUUAUUUAACUAAUUGAUAUUGUAAAUAUAUAAAUAAUUUUUCUUCGUAAAAAUAAAAAUGUUCCAUUCUAAACAUUUUUUGCAUCGGUUUUAAUUUUUUUAAACAAAUUAUUACUUUGUAAACAUGUCUAAAUAUGUUUGAUUUCAAUAAUUGAUAAACCAUCUUAUCAAAAUAUCAUAAAUCGGUAAAUAUCAAUAAUUGGAUUUUAUGAAGAUAAAAUUUAUGAUAUCAAAUAAUAAUGCAUUAUACUUGGAAACCGAUGAUUUAUCUUUUCUACUAAUAAUAUAUUUAUGAUAAUUUUUUAUUUAAAAAUAUUUAUAAUUUUAUUUUAUAUUUAAGAAUUAUAUAAAAGAUAAAAAAAUUAAAGUAAAUCAAACUAAUUUAUUUAUAAAAAAUUAUUAAUUUUUAUAAAUUUACAUAUUAUAUAUAUAUAUAUAUAUAUAUAUACGACAGGAAUCCUUGUACUCUUUUCUCUCAUUCUCCUUAUGUUCUCCGUUUAUCUUCCAAGGCCCAAACUUUUAUUCACUAAGGUUGAACCAUUUCUCUCCUCAAAUAUUAACUCACUAAAGUCAAAAUUUAGAUCUAUGAUUGUUGUUAAGAUUCUUGGUUAGGAUUUCAUCUUUUGUGUUAUUGUUUAUGUUUUUGUUUGGUUUUUGAGAAAUCCUAGAAUUUAUGAAAGUUUCUGCUUUGAAAUACAUUAAAAAAAAUCAUAUCAGGAUAAAAUCCCAAAAUAUCCGAAAAAUAUUGAAAUGGAAAUGAAGAAAAAAUAAAUAUAAAUAAAACUUGUUGAUUAAGUUGAAUUUUUUUUAAACCGAAUUUUCAAUUUUCUAAUUUUUCUCAUUUUCCUUGGCAGUGUAAAAAAAAAAAAAAGAUAAGAGCACAUAGAGAACACGACAACAACACAAAAAACAUCAUUUUAAAACCAGGUUUUAGAAAACACAUAAAACACUUGAGAACAAAAAACACUCUUUUAUAAAACAUGAUUUUUGUGUUUUUUGUUCUAAAAAAAGAAAACAAUUUUUGGAAAUACCAACCAAACAAGCCCUUAAUGACUCAUUUUUCUUUUAUUUAUUUAUUUUAUUUUUUUGCUUAUUUGUUUAUUCUCUUGUCUGUUUUUAUUUUUAAAGAAAUAAAAAUAUUUUUCAAAAAAAUAAAAAAAAUAAAAUUAAAGAAUGUUCUCCAAACUAAAUGAAUAUUAUAGAACCCGACCAACAACAUACUAAACAAAAUGUAAAAAUCUAAAAAUAUGUUUGGUAGUAAUUGUUUUUAAUAUUUUUAAUACCUAAAAAUGAAAAAAUUUAGUGUUAAAAAAUGAAAAAUAUUUUAUAAAAUCACUGUAAAACUUAUUCUAAAUUAUUGAACUAAAUACGAAAAUAACAUAUCAUGCACGAAAAUAAGAUGAAGCAAAAAUAACUUGUAAUGUACACCUUGGGAAACACAUGAUAUUUUAGCAUCGUGUAGCAGAUUGCAAAAUCAAAUUUCGUGAGGAAUCAGGUGCCCAUAAAUCUCGUAUCUUCAUAAUGGCAUAUAGAGGAAAGUCAAGGUAAACGAAACCAUCAUAUUCUUCAACUUGCAGCCAACCAAAUAUGUUCAAGUCCAUUCAAUACAGUCCAUAAAAAUUUUAUUUUAUUUUUACAAAUUUUUUUUUCUUUCUAGAAUUCGAAUCUGAGCCUCACGACUAAAACCGAAUACGUACAAAGCAUCUAUUCUAAAAAUAAAAAAAUUAAAUUGAAUUAAAAAUUUUGGAUAUUAUAAAGCAGAAUACGUACAAAUUCUGUUGAAAGGUGAGUCAUAACAGUUAAAAAUUUAUAUAUAAUUUUUAUAUAUAUUUUAAUUAGUUUUCAAUUUUGGAUAUUAUCAAAUAAAAUUUUUAUGUAUAAUUUACUUUAGUCAGUAUUGUCCAACAUAAUUAAAUAAUACCAUGGUGGCUUAGGUUAAUUCCAAAAUGAUGGUAAUGGACUAAUGACAGAAAAAUUAUCAUACAAAAUACCUAGGCAACCAUAGGUGAAAAAAAAAGUAAUAUAAAUUCCAUAUAUUAUUAUUUAAUAUUAAUUUUCAGUCACCAUCAUAUGAUUUUUCAUAAAAUAAAAUAAAAAGGUAAAAAGUAAAUGUUCAUUAUGUUUGUUAGUAUAGUAUCAAAAGAAACUUAUUAAAUUUUUAGAAAUAUAAUUUAGAUUUAAAAGUAAUUGUAAAAAUUUGAAAAUAAGACUUAUAUUAUGAAAACAUUAAAAAAUAUUAUAAUUUAACCACAAAGAUAAUGAGUAUGACUAAGAUCGACGAUUAGGAAAAGAGAUUUUAUAAAAAAAAAAAUAUAUAUUUUGAAGUAUCUUACAUGGAUCAUUGAUUUUUAUUCAAAUUUUAAACAAAUUCAUACUAAUUUGGUUCUGGUUCUACUUGUUUCUGGUUCAAAAUGAGUUCAACGACACCUGGCCAACGGAGAUUGGUAAUUUGGCGAAUCUUGAACAAUUGGCCAUGGCCUAUAAUGACAAAUUCCGGCCUUCAGCCCUUCCAAAAGAGUUUGGCGCAUUGAAGAAGCUGAAAUAUCUGUGGAUGACGGAGGCGAAUUUGAUUGGCGAAAUACCGGAGAGCUUCAACAAUCUAUCGAGUCUGGAACUCUUGGACCUCUCAGUCAACAAAUUGGAAGGUACGAUCCCGGGAGGCAUGCUUACGUUGAAGAAUUUGAACUAUUUGCAUUUAUUCAUUAAUAGAUUGUCCGGCUACAUUCCUUCAUCCAUAGAAGCUCUCAACUUGAAACAAAUUGAUCUUUCCGACAACCAUUUGACGGGGUCCAUACCAGCGGGUUUCGGGAAGCUACAAAAUUUGACGGGUUUGAAUCUUUUCUGGAAUCAGUUGUCAGGAGAGAUACCAGCAAAUAUAAGCCUCAUUCCUACACUGGAAACCUUCAAAGUUUUUAGCAAUCAAUUGAGUGGAGUUUUGCCCCCAGCAUUUGGCCUUCAUUCGGAGCUCAAAUUCUUUGAGAUUUUUGAGAAUAAACUAAGUGGGGAAUUACCUCAACAUUUAUGCGCUAGGGGGGCUUUGCUUGGAGUGGUCGCUUCCAACAACAAUCUCAGCGGGGAAGUGCCCACGUCCCUCGGGAAUUGCACAAGUUUGCUCACCAUUCAGCUUUCCAACAAUCGUUUUUCAGGCGGGAUUCCUUCCGGCAUCUGGACAUCCCCGAACAUGGUAUCGGUGAUGUUAGAUGGAAAUUCAUUCUCAGGGACACUUCCAAGUAAAUUGGCAAGGAAUUUGUCUAGAGUGGAGAUCGCUAACAACAAGUUUUAUGGUCCAAUUCCUGCUGAAAUCUCUUCCUGGGUGAACAUCUCUGUGCUCAAUGCCAGCAACAAUAUGUUGUCUGGAAAAAUUCCAGUGGAAUUGACCAGUCUUUGGAACAUCACUGUUCUGUUGCUUGAUGGGAAUCAAUUCUCGGGUGAACUUCCAUCCCAGAUCAUCUCAUGGAAGUCUUUCAAUAAGUUAAAUCUCUCAAGAAACAAACUUUCUGGCCUAAUUCCCAAGGCAUUAGGUUCUUUAACCAGCCUUAGUUACCUCGACCUGUCAGAAAACCAGUUCUCAGGUCAAAUUCCUCCUGAACUUGGCCAUUUGAACCUUAUUAUCCUCCAUCUUUCGUCCAACCAACUCUCUGGGAUGGUCCCCAUUGAGUUUCAACAUGAAGCAUAUGAAGACAGUUUCUUGAACAAUCCCAAGUUGUGUGUCAAUGUUCCCACUCUGAACCUCCCUAGAUGUGAUGCCAAACCCGUCAACUCCGACAAAUUGUCAACCAAAUAUCUCGUUAUGAUCCUAAUUUUCGCUCUAGCUGGUGCUUUCGUCACCCUGUCCAGGGUUCAUAUCUAUCAUAGGAAGAAUCACAGUCAGGACCAUACAGCUUGGAAAUUUACUCCAUACCAUAAACUAGAUCUCGAUGAAUACAACAUAUUGUCCAGUUUGAUAGAAAAUAAUCUGAUCGGAUGUGGUGGGUCAGGGAAAGUAUACCGAAUUGCUAAUAACCGUUCUGGUGAACUCUUAGCGGUUAAAAUGAUUUCUAAUAACAAGAGAUUGGAUCAAAAGCUUCAGAAAAAAUUCAAAACAGAAGUCGAGAUAUUGAGCACCAUACGCCAUGCCAAUAUAGUGAAGUUGUUGUGCUGCAUAUCAAAUGAAACCUCAAGUCUUCUUGUUUACGAGUACAUGGAGAAGCAGAGUUUGGAUAGAUGGCUUCAUAGGAAGAAGCAGAGAACAUCGUCCAUGACAAGUUCAGUUCAUAACUUCGUCUUGGAUUGGCCAACAAGGUUGCAGAUUGCCAUUGGAGCUGCAAAAGGCCUAUGCCACAUGCAUGAAAACUGCUCUGCCCCGAUCAUACACCGAGAUGUGAAGUCCAACAACAUCUUGCUAGAUGCUGAGUUCAACGCGAAAAUUGCGGAUUUUGGAUUAGCCAAGAUGUUGGUCAAGCAAGGAGAGCCCGACACCAUGUCAGGAAUUGCAGGCUCUUACGGAUAUAUUGCCCCUGGUAAGACCAUCAAGGCCCUCCUUUCCACAUGUUUUCAUUUCCAUAAUUUAUCUAUAAUUUUUAUCAUACAAUUCUUGUAUACUUGGAUGAUAGAGUAUGCUUAUACAACAAAGGUGAACGAGAAGAUCGAUGUAUAUAGCUUUGGAGUAGUCCUGCUUGAGCUAGUGACGGGGAGAGAACCCAACAGCGGGGACGAGCACAUGUGCCUUGUAGAAUGGGCAUGGGAUCAGUUCAAAGAAGGGAAAACCAUUGAGGAAGUGAUGGAUGAGGAGAUCAAGGAACAAUGUGAAAGAGCACAAGUGACCACUCUCUUCAGUCUAGGCCUCAUGUGCACUACCACAUUACCAUCCACUAGGCCAACAAUGAAAGAGGUUUUGGAAAUUCUUCGACAAUGCAGUCCUUAGGAGGGCCAUGGUAGAAAGAAAAAGGACCAUGAAGUUGCACCUCCACUUUGAAAUGACACUUACCCCACCACUUACAAGUUAUGAGGAUAAAGCCCUUAAAAACAUGAUAUGAUGUAAUAAAUUUGAAAGUCAUUAUUUAUUUAAUGAUGUUUCGAUUUCACUUUUAUCUAUCCUUCUUUCAUGUAUUAUACUUUAUGAGCAUUCUUGCCUGCAUCUUUUGCAUUGCACUAGCUUAGGUGCAUUAAGAGUUGCACAGAAGAUCUAUGUCAUGGGUUCCUUGCAAAUAUAUGACUUGUUCACAAUUAGUUCAUGGGUCUAGGAAGCCCAUUAGAGGUUGUAAUAAACCACUUCCUAAUUGGAAGAAUGGCUAGUCUUAGCUAUUGGAAUGAGUUUCCAAUGGUAAGUGCAUUAGUGUGUAUGGUUACAUAUUGGACAUGACCUAUGGUGAAUCAUGACUUAAGGUUAUCAAGCAGUCAUGACCUUAUCAAACUGCUUCAUUAUGUUGUUUCUCAACCUUGAGAGAAUAUCGAGCUUGUACUAAAGUUAGCAAUGACUUUGACAUAUGGGUGAGAUCGUAAGUUGAUCAUAUAUUUCCUAUGGAUUGAGUCACUGUUGAUGGAAGAUGGUAGUGAUAGGUAUUUUCAAUAAAAACACCAUGAUGUCUCUUGGGAUUAAGACAACGUGCCCCUUUUAGUGAUCCUAAAGAGGUGUGUUCAUAGAAACUAUGGUCAUAAUAGUUCCUUAAGUAAAACUCAACAUAGGCUCUUUGAGAGCUAAGACAUGUCAAUUGAAUACACAAUAUGAGGAUUUGUAACUCAAUGAUGGUAGAGGUAGUCUUGAAAGACUAAUAACUUUCACUUUGUUAGACUACGAAUAUCAGUUCAUGGGAAGACUAAACACAAUAAAUAGCAAGUCACAAACUUGAACAUUUGGUAUCUCAUUAUUAUUUUCAAUAAAAUAACAAUGAGAUGGUAAGUUGAUCAUAUAUACCUUAUGGAUUAGGUCAUUGUUAAUGGAAGAUGGUAGCAAUAGGUAUUUUCAAUAAAAGUACCAUAAUAUCUCUUGGGAUUAAGACAGUGUGCCCCCUUGGAUGAUCCUAAAGAAGUGUGUUCAUGGAAACUAUGGUCAUAGUAAUUCCUUAAGUAAAACUCAACAUAAGCUCUUUGAGAGCUAAGACAUGUCAAUUGAAUACACAAUAGGAGGAUUUAUAACUCAAGGAUGAUAGAGGUAGCCUUGAAAGACUAAUAACUUUCACUUUGUUAGACUACAAAUAUCAGUUCAUGGGGAGACUAAACACAAUAAAUAGCAAGUCAUAAGCUCGAGCAUUUGGUAUCUAGUUGUUAUUUACAUAGGAUACCGAAGUUCAAUUGAUUCUCUGUAGUGGGAUGUUCAAUCAACUUUAGAAUUGGAUUUUGAGAGAGUCGGUAUUCCUACGGGUCCCAAUGGUCCUUGCUCUAAGCUUAUAUACUUUGUUGGCAUGGGUUAUAAGAGUCGAAUUGGCUCUAGGUUUACUUUUGUACAUAAGGGCAUUUUGAUAAUUACGCAAGGUUACACAAAGGUAAGUGAACAAGGUUUUUAGAUUGGGUUAAUUGAUUAAUUAGUAGGCCUUGUUUGAUUAAUUAAUCAAUUAAGACUUUUUUUGGGCUAUAUUAAGUGACCUAAGCCCUUAGUGGGCUCAAGUCACUUAAACCUAAUAGAAAACCCUAUAAAUACCCCCUUAAGGGUUAGAGUUUAUAUAGUUUUUCUAAAGAGCCAUCUUCUAUCUCCAGAGAGAGAAAGAAAGAGAAAGAGUCAUAGCAUCCACCUCCCUUCUAUCUCCACUAGAAGUGUGGCAAGAUCAAGGUUCAAGUCAUUGGGAGGAAGACUUUGGAUUUACAAGACUUCUGCGAUUUCGUUCUUCAUUUUCACCACGUGGAUUUGAUUCAAGAACAUCCGAAUUUAAGGUAUGGUUUUCAUUAGCACUUUCUGAAUCCCUUUAAAGUUUAAAAAUGUUAUUUUUCCUUUGUGCAUAGGAUUAAUUUAGAAAAUGCUUAGAAUAGUUAUGCAUGUUCCAAACCUGAUAUGAGCUUAGGAAAUGGAGAGAUCCUAGUUUUUUCCCUCAAUGUUUGUGCUCCAAAGUGUUGAGAUAGUUUAGAGGGUGACAUGAUGAUUGACAUAAUACCUUAUGUGGAUAACCUAGUGAAUCCCUUCUCCAAGACAUUGAUAGGGAGAGUCUUUGUUAGUCACAUGGAUAACAUAGGUUUCAGAUGAGUAUUUGGCAUGCUUUAAAGGCAUGAUGCUUUGAGGGCUAAUGGGAGAAUAUUAGGAUAUAGCCCUUAAAAGCAUGACAUGAUGUAAAAAAUUUGGAAUUCAUUAUUUAUUUAAUGAUGUUCUAGUUUCACUUUUAUCAAUCUUUAUUCCAUGUAUUAUACUUUAUGAGCAUUCUUGUCUGCAUUUUUUGCAUUGUACAUGACUUAAGUGCAUUAGGAGUUACAUAGAAGAUCUAAGUCAUGGGUUUCUUGCAAAUAAAUGACUUGUUCACAACUGAUUCAUGGGUCUAGGCAACUGAUUACUACUCAAAAAGUGUUAUUUGAUAGCUUGUAAUUAACUCUUUUAAACACUUUUGAGUAGUAGUUAUCACUUUUUAACCCAAUUAACAUAUUAAGGACCCUUACAAUCAAUUCUAAUCAAAUUGUGUUAAGUUUUGGUGUUUUGAUAGCUUUUUUAUCACCAAAGCAAUCCGAGAUUGAGGAGAGUUCUUUGGAAUCCAUGGCAAAGAUGUCCGGACAGGGCGUCCGGACACACCAUCGGAGGGCGGCGGAAUAUGGGUUGUGGCAGGCUGUCGGAAUGACGUAGCAAGGUUUGCUCACUUUAGUCAAUGUUUUCCAUCCGGACAACAUAUCCGGAUAGGAUAUGCUAUCGUCCGGGGUGUGAUGUGCACGAGUGUCGUGUGCUUCUCCCUAAAGGAGUCCGGAUAGCAUGGCGGCGCGUGUCCUCUUGGGGAAUCUGAAUGGAGUUGCACCGGAUAGCAAUGCGCGCUCCGUGUCAUCAGGGGAAGGGGUCCCUACACCUUGUACACGCAGAUGGUCCCCCUUGCAACGCGCGGAUAUCUCACUCCCAAAAUUCUGUCUGGUCAGACAUGUCUGGAUCCUCUGAUCGGAUAUUUCACAUCUGGAUAUCUCACAACCGGAUGGGAGAGGAGGACGUUUCAACUUCCCCGGUCAGACAUGUCCGGAUCCUCUGAUAGCGCCUACCCGGAGAGUUUUUCUCUCAGUAUACAGUGCCGCAGUGUUCUCCUGAAGCUUCCUGAUAUUUCCAACCGACAUCUUGAAAUAUUUUGCUUUAGAUAUUUGAUGUCUAAAUCCCCAAACUCUCCUUGUAACCCACCUAUCAUAGGAUUUCUUAGUCUUUAAGUAAGAAAAAUGGUGAAUAACCUCUGAUAUAUAUAGUUUGUAAUUUUCUUUAUAAGAAAUUAUGAUGUAAUCGGCGGAAGAAAGAAAUAUAUUUCACAGAGCACUUGCUCUGAUUUUCAUAUAUAUUUUUGUUUUCUCAUUCUUUUUCUUACUAGCCAAACAAGCUCUGAGGAAGUUUCCUCAGAGAAUGAGUGGCUAGACUUUUAGUUCCUUGGAGCUAAGGUUGCCGGGAAAGGUUUCAAGUGCAAGAAUUUAUAGCUUUGUGGUUUCGGCCAUUAAUGAAGAGAAAGUAUGAUCCUUUAAUGAUUUCUAUGUUUUUUAGUUAACUUAAAACACCUUCAAUUCACUUGAGCCAACACUUGGUAAGGCAAGUGAUCUCCGUCCAUGGGGAUGCACUAGUUUGCCUCUUGCGAGCUUUUGAGAAGUGACUUGAAAGUAGGAUUUUCUAUAAUUGCCAACACUUGGUAAGCUUUUGGACUCCAAGGAGACAUCCAUUAGUUAUCUUUUGCGAGCUUGAGAAAGGAAGUCCAAAGUUAAUGAUCACCUUGAAUGGCAAAUGCUAGAUGAGAGGCACGAGCCAUUGCAAGUUGCAUCAGUGAGAAGAAACUAGAGCUGAAAUCCAUUUAAAGGAUACAUCUGUACAACACCGGUUAGAGAAUUGACUAUAUGUAAAUUCUCUAAUGCGAGGAAAUGAACCAAAUGACCGAAGCUCUAUUUUUGCAUAAGGAACCUCCCUUGUGAACCUAAACCUUCAAGGAAUGUUUUUUUUCAUAAGUCAUUUACAUUACUUUCUUUUUAGUUAGCUUUAAACAAAAUCUCAUUUAAACAAAGUUUAUGUUUUAUUUCUUAAGCUAACCUUGAAAUGAAAAUAAGAUGAAGCAAAAAUAACUUGUAAUGUACACCUUGGGAAACACAUGAUAUUUUAGCAUCGUGUAGCAGAUUGCAAAAUCAAAUUUCGUGAGGAAUCAGGUGCCCAUAAAUCUGGUAUCUUCAUAAUGGCAUAUAGAGGAAAGUCAAGGUAAACGAAACCAUCAUAUUCUUCAACUUGCAGCCAACCAAAUAUGUUCAAGUCCAUUCAAUACAGUCCAUAAAAAAAAAAUUUUUUUUCUUUCUAGAAUUCGAAUCUGAGCCUCACGACUAAAACCGAAUACGUACAAAGCAUCUAUUCUAAAAAUAAAAAAAUUAAAUUGAAUUAAAAAUUUUGGAUAUUAUAAAGCAGAAUACGUACAAAUUCUGUUGAAAGGUGAGUCAUAACAGUUAAAAAUUUAUAUAUAAUUUUUAUAUAUAUUUUAAUUAGUUGUCAAUUUUGGAUAUUAUCAAAUAAAAUUUUUUAUGUAUAAUUUACUUUAGUCAGUAUUGUCCAACAUAAUUAAAUAAUACCAUGGUGGCUUAGGUUAAUUCUAAAAUGAUGGGAAAUAAAUCAAAAUGGUAAUGGACUAAUGACAGAAAAAUUAUCAUACAAAAUACCUAGGCAAACCAUAGGUGAAAAAAAAAUGUAAUAUAAAUUCCAUAUAUUAUUAUUUAAUAUCAAUUUUCAGUCACCAUCAUAUGAUUUUUCAUAAAAUAAAAUAAAAAGGUAAAAAGUAAAUGUUCAUUAUGUUUGUUAGUAUAGUAUCAAAAGAAACUUAUUAAAUUUUUAGAAAUAUAAUUUAGAUUUAAAAGUAAUUGUAAAAAUUUGAAAAUAAGACUCAUAUUAUGAAAACAUUAAAAAAUAUUAUAAUUUAACCACAAAGAUAAUGAGUAUGACUAAGAUUGACGAUUAUUUUGAAGUAUCUUACAUGGAUAGUUGAUUUUUAUUCAAAUUUUAAACAAAUUCAUACUAAAAACCCAUAACGCUUGCUAAAUCUAAUCUUGUAACCUGGUGUUUUGUUCUUAGAAUAUAUAUAUAUAUAUAUAUAUAUAUAUAUAUAUAUAUAUAUUUCCGCUGCUCCAAGUAAGCUGGAGAUGAAAGGGACCACCAAUCACGAUCAAUGGUUAGAUCAAAAUUAGCUUAUCUGUGUUACACACGACUCCUGGCUCCUUCGUAAUUAAUCCCAACACAUAGGCCAUUUUGUAAAAUUCAGUAAAUAAAUUCUGACAGCCAACCAGAUUUUGAAAAUGAACCGUCCCAACGCCACAAAAAUGCCGAAAGUAAACUUUUUAUUUGCCAAAAUUCCAUUCCCCGCUCUGUUUCUCCUCCUCGUCCUCUCCUUACCCUUUCAAGUAAUUUUCGAAAAUCUGGACGAUGAACUAUCAAUCCUACUAGACGUUAAACAACAACUGGGCAAUCCCUUGUCACUCCAAUCUUGGAAUUCCUCAUCCUCACCCUGUGAUUGGCCGGAAAUUACAUGCAUCGACAAUAUCGUCACUGAAAUUUCACUCAGCGACAAGACCAUCACAAAGAAAAUUCCGGCUAGAAUUUGUGACCUCAAGAACCUUAUCGUACUUGACGUCUCCAACAAUUACAUUCCAGGCAAGUUCUCGGAUAUUCUAAAUUGUUCUAAGCUGGAGCAUCUCCUCUUGAAGCAAAACUUCUUCGUGGGUCCAAUUCCAACUGACAUUGAUUGACUUUCACGUCUCCGGUACCUAGACCUCACAGCAAACAACUUCUCUGGAGAUAUUCCCACAGCAAUUGGGAGGCUACGGGAGCUGUUCUACUUGUUUCUGGUUCAAAAUGAGUUCAACGGCACCUGACCAAUGGAGAUUGGUAAUUUGGCGAAUCUUGAACAAUUGGCCAUGGCCUAUAAUGAAAAAUUCCAGCCUUCAGCCCUUCCAAAAGAGUUUGGCGCAUUGAAGAAGCUGAAAUAUUUGUGGAUGACGGAGGCGAAUUUGAUUGGCGAAAUACCGGAGAGCUUCAACAAUCUAUCGAAUCUGGAACUCUUGGACCUCUCAGUCAACAAAUUGGAAGGUACGAUCCCGGGAGGCAUGCUUACGUUGAAGAAUUUGAACUAUUUGCAUUUAUUCAUUAAUAGAUUGUCCGGCCACAUUCCUUCAUCCAUAGAAGCUCUCAACUUGAAACAAAUUGAUCUUUCCGACAACCAUUUGAUGGUCCAUACCAGCGGGUUUCGGGAAGCUACAAAAUUUGACGGGUUUGAAUCUUUUCUGGAAUCAGUUGUCAGGAGAGAUACCAGCAAAUAUAAGCCUCAUUCCUACACUAGAAACCUUCAAAGUUUUUAGCAAUCAAUUGAGUGGAGUUUUGCCCCCAGCAUUUGGCCUUCAUUCGGAGCUCAAAUUCUUUGAGAUUUUUUAGAAUAAACUAAGCGGGGAAUUACCUCAACAUUUAUACGCUAGGGGGGCUUUGCUUGGAGUGGUCGCUUCCAACAACAAUCUCAGCGGGGAAGUGCCCACGUCCCUCGGGAAUUGCACAAGUUUACUCACCAUUCAGUUUUCCAACAAUCGUUUUUCAGGUGGGAUUCCUUCCGGAAUCUGGACAUCCCCGAACAUGGUAUCGGUGAUGUUAGAUGGAAAUUCAUUCUCAGGGACACUUCCAAGUAAAUUGGCAAGGAAUUUGUCUAGAGUGGAGAUCGCUAACAACAAGUUUUAUGGUCCAAUUCCUGCUGAAAUCUCUUCCUGGAUGAACAUCUCUGUGCUCAAUGCCAACAACAAUAUGUUGUCUGGAAAAAUUCCAGUGGAAUUGACUAGUCUUUGGAACAUCACUGUUCUGUUGCUUGAUGAGAAUCAAUUCUCGGGUGAACUUCCAUCCCAGAUCAUCUCAUGGAAGUCGCUCAAUAAGUUAAAUCUCUCAAGAAACAAACUUUCUGGCCUAAUUCCCAAGGCAUUAGGUUCUUUAACUAGCCUUAGUUACCUCGACCUGUCAGAAAACCAGUUCUCAGGUCAAAUUCCUCCUAAACUUGGCCAUUUGAACCUUAUUAUCCUCCAUCUUUCGUCCAACCAACUCUCUGGGAUGGUCCCCAUUGAGUUUCAACAUGAAGCAUAUGAAGACAGUUUCUUGAACAAUCCCAAGUUGUGUGUCAAUGUUCCCACUUUGAACCUCCCUAGAUGUGAUGCCAAACCCGUCAACUCCGACAAAUUGUCAACCAAAUAUCUCGUUAUGAUCCUAAUUUUCGCUCUAGCUGGUGCUUUCGUCUCCUUGUCCAAGGUUCAUAUCUAUCAUAGGAAGAAUCACAGUCAGGACCAUACAGCUUGGAAAUUUACUCCAUACCAUAAACUAGAUCUCGAUGAAUACAACAUAUUGUCCAGUUUGACAGAAAAUAAUCUGAUCGUAUGUGGUGGGUCAGGGAAAGUAUACCGAGUUGCUAAUAACCGUUCUGGUGAACUCUUAGCGGUUAAAAUGAUUUGUAAUAACAGGAGAUUGGAUCAAAAGCUUCAGAAACAAUUCGAAACAGAAGUCGAGAUAUUGAGCACCAUGCGCCAUGCCAAUAUAGUGAAGUUGUUGUGCUGCAUAUCAAAUGAAACCUCUAGUCUUCUUGUUUACGAGUACAUGGAGAAGCAGAGUUUGGAUAGAUGGCUUCAUGGGAAGAAGCAGAGAACAUCGUCCAUGACAAGUUCAGUUCAUAACUUCGUCUUGGAUUGGCCAACAAGGUUGCAGAUUGCCAUUGGAGCUGCAAAAGGCCUAUGCCACAUGCAUGAAUACUGUUCUGUCCCAAUCAUACAUCGAGAUGUGAAGUCCAGCAACAUCUUGCUAGAUGCCGAGUUCAACGCGAAAAUUGCGGAUUUUGGAUUGGCUGAGACGUUGGUCAAGCAAGGAGAACCCAACACCAUGUCAAGAAUUGCAGGCUCUUACGGGUAUAUUGCCCCUGGUAUGACCAUCAAGGCCCUCCUUUCCACAUGUUUUCAUUUCCAUAAUUUAUCGAUAAUUUGUAUCAUACCAUUCUUGUAUACUUGGAUGAUAGAGUAUGCUUAUACAACAAAGGUGAACAAGAAGAUCGAUGUAUAUAGCUUUGGAGUAGUCUUGCUUGAGCUUGUGACAGGUAGAGAACCCAACAAUGGGGACGAGCACAUGUGCCUUGCGGAAUGAGCAUGGAAUCAGUUCAGAGAAGGGAAAACCAUUGAGGAAGUGGUAGACGAGGAGAUCAAGGAACAAUGUGAUAGAGCACAAGUGGCCACUCUCUUCAAACUAGGCAUUAAGUGCACUAACAAAUUACCAUCCAAUAGGCCCACAAUGAAAGAGGUUUUGAAAAUUCUUCAAUAGUGCAGUCCUCAGGAGGGCCAUGGAAGAAAUAAAAAGGACCAUGAAGUUGCACCUCCACUUUGAAAUGACACUUAUCCCACCACUUACAAGUUGUGAGGAUAAAGCCCUUAAAAACAUGAUAUGAUGUAAUAAAUUUGGAAGUCAUUAUUUAUUUAAUGAUGUUCCGAUUUCACUUUUAUCUAUCCUUAUUCCAUGUAUUAUACUUUAUGAGUAUUCUCGCCUGCAUCUUUUGCAUUGCACUAGCUUAGGUGCAUUAAGAGUUGCAUAGAAGAUCUAUGUCAUGGGUUCCUUGCAAAUAUAUUACUUGUUCACAACCAGUUCAUGGGUCUAGGAAGCCCAUUAAAUGGCUUCAUGGGAAGAAGCAGAGAACAUCGUCCAUGACAAGUUCAGUUCAUAACUUCGUCUUGGAUUGGCCAACAAGGUUGCAGAUUGCCAUUGGAGCUGCAAAAGGCCUAUGCCACAUGCAUGAAAACUGCUCUGCCCCGAUCAUACACCGAGAUGUGAAGUCCAGCAACAUCUUGCUAGAUGCCGAGUUCAACGCGAAAAUUGCGGAUUUUGGAUUGGCCAAGAUGUUGGUCAAGCAAGGAGAGCCCGACACCAUGUCAGGAAUUGCAGGCUCUUACGGAUAUAUUGCCCCUGGUAAGACCAUCAAGGCCCUCAUUUCCACAUGUUUUCAUUUCCAUAAUUUAUCUAUAAUUUUUAUCAUACAAUUCUUGUAUACUUGGAUGAUAGAGUAUGCUUAUACAACAAAGGUGAACGAGAAGAUCGAUGUAUAUAGCUUUGGAGUAGUCCUGCUUGAGCUAGUGACGGGGAGAAAACCCAACAGCGGGGACGAGCACAUGUGCCUUGUAGAAUGGGUAUGGGAUCAGUUCAGAGAAGGGAAAACCAUUGAGGAAGUGAUGGAUGAGGAGAUCAAGGAACAAUGUGAAAGAACACAAGUGACCACUCUCUUUAGUCUAGGCCUCAUGUGCACUACCACAUUACCAUCCACUAGGCCAACAAUGAAAGAGGUUUUGGAAAUUCUUCGACAGUGUAGUCCUCAGGAGGGCCUGGUAGAAAGAAAAAGGACCAUGAAGUUGCACCUCCACUUUGAAAUGACACUUACCCCACCACUUACAAGUUAUGACGAUAAAGCCCUUAAAAACAUGAUGUGAUGUAAUAAAUUUGGAAGUCAUUAUUUAUUUAAUGAUGUUCCGAUUUCACUUUUAUCUAUCCUUAUUCCAUGUAUUAUACUUUAUGAGCAUUCUUGUUUGCAUCUUUUGCAUUGCACUAGCUUAGGUGCAUUAAGAGUUGCACAGAAGAUCUAUGUCAUGGGUUCCUUGCAAAUAUAUGACUUGUUGACAACCAGUUCAUGGGUCUAGGAAGCCCAUUAGAGGUUGUAAUAAACCACUUCCUAAUUGGAAGAAUGGCUAGUCUUAGCUAUUGGGAUGAGUUUCCAAUGGUAAGUGCAUUAGUGUGUAUGCUUACAUAUUGGACAUGACCUAUGGUGAAUCAUGACUUAAGGUUAUCAAGCAGUCAUGACCUUAUCAAACUGCUUCAUUAUGUUGUCUCUCAACCUUGAGAGAAUAUCGAGCUUGUACUAAAGUCAGCAAUGACUUUGACAUACGGGUGAAAUCAUAAGUUGAUCAUAUAUUCCCUAUGGAUUGAGUCACUGUUGAUGGAAGAUGGUAGUGAUAGGUAUUUUCAAUAAAAACACCAUGAUGUCUCUUGGGAUUAAGACAACGUGCCCCUUUUAGUGAUCCUAAAGAGGUGUGUUCAUAGAAACUAUGGUCAUAAUAGUUCCUUAAGUAAAACUCGACAUAGGCUCUUUGAGAGCUAAGACAUGUCAAUUGAAUACACAAUAUGAGGAUUUAUAACUCAAAGAUGGUAGAGGUAGUCUUGAAAGACUAAUAACUUUCACUUUGUUAGACUACGAAUAUCAGUUCAUGGGAAGACUAAACACAAUAAAUAGCAAGUCACAAACCUGAACAUUUGGUAUCUCAUUGUUAUUUUCAAUAAAAUAACAAUGAGAUGGUAAGUUGAUCAUAUAUACCCUAUGGAUUAGGUCAUUGUUAAUGGAAGAUGGUAGCAAUAGGUAUUUUCAAUAAAAGUACCAUAAUAUCUCUUGGGAUUAAGAUAGUGUGCCCCCUUGGAUGAUCCUAAAGAAGUGUGUUCAUGGAAACUAUAGUCAUAGUAAUUCCUUAAGUAAAACUCAACAUAAGCUCUUUGAGAGCUAAGACAUGUCAAUUGAAUACACAAUAGGAGGAUUUAUAACUCAAGGAUGAUAGAGGUAGCCUUGAAAGACUAAUAACUUUCACUUUGUUAGACUACAAAUACCAGUUCAUGGGGAGACUAAACACAAUAAAUAGCAAGUCACAAGCUCGAGCAUUUGGUAUCUCGUUGUUAUUUACAUAGGAUACCGAAGUUCAAUUGAUUCUCUGUAGUGGGAUGUUGAAUCAACUUUAGAAUUGGAUUUUGAGAGAGUCAGUAUUCCUAUGGCUCCCAAUGGUCCUUGCUCUAAGCUUAUAUACUUUGUUGGCAUGGAUUAUAAGAGUCAGAUUGGCUCUAGAUUUACUUUUGUACAUAAGGGCAUUUUGAUAAUUACGCAAGGUUACAUAAAGGUAAGUGAACAAGGUUUUUAGAUUGGGUUAAUUGAUUAAUUAGUAGGCCUUGUUUGAUUAAUUAAUCAAUUAAGACUUUUUUGGGCUAUAUUAAGUGACCUAAGCCCUUAGUGGGCUCAAGUCACUUAAACCUAAUAGAAAACCCUAUAAAUACCCCCUUAAGGGUUAGAGUUUGUAUAGUUUUUCUAAAGAGCCAUCUUCUAUCUCCAGAGAGAGAAAGAAAGAGAAAGAGUCAUAGUGUCCACCUCCCUUCUAUCUCUACUAGAAGUGUGUCAAGAUCAAGGUUCAAGUCAUUGGGAGGAAGACUUUGGAUUUACGAGACUUCUGCGAUUUCGUUCUUCAUUUUCACCACGUGGAUUUGAUUCAAGAACAUCCGAAUUUAAGGUAUGGUUUUCAUUAGCACUUUCUGAAUCCCUUUAAAGUUUAAAAAUGUUAUUUUUCCUUUGUGCAUAGGAUUAAUUUAGAAAAUGCUUAGAAUAGUUAUGCAUGUUCCAAACCUGAUCUGAGCUUAGGAAAUGGAGAGAUCCUAGUUUUUUCCCUCAAUGUUUGUGCUCCAAAGUGUUGAGAUAGUUUAGAGGGUGACAUGAUGAUUGACAUAAUACCUUAUGUAGAUAACCUAGUGAAUCCCUUCUCCAAGACAUUAAUAGGGAGAGUCUUUGUUGGUCACAUGGAUAGCAUAGGUUUCAGAUGAGUAUUUGGCAUGCUUUAAAGGCAUGAUACUUUGAGGGCUAAUAGGAGAAUGUUAGGAUAAAGCCCUUAAAAGUAUGACAUGAUGUAAUAAAUUUGGAAUUCAUUAUUUAUUUAAUGAUGUUCUAGUUUCACUUUUAUCAAUCUUUAUUCCAUGUAUUAUACUUUAUGAGCAUUCUUGUCUGCAUUUUUUGCAUUGUACAUGACUUAAGUGCAUUAGGAGUUACAUAGAAGAUCUAAGUAAUGGGUUUCUAGCAAAUAAAUGACUUGUUCACAACUGAUUCAUGGGUCUAGGCAACUGAUUACUACUCAAAAAGUGUUAUUUGAUAGCUUGUAAUUAACUCUUUUAAACACUUUUGAGUAGUAGUUAUCACCUUUUAACCCAAUUAACAUAUUAAGGACCCUUACAAUCAAUUCUAAUAAAAUUGUGUUAAGUUUUGGUGUUUUGAUAGCUUUUUUAUCACCAAAGCAAUCCGAGAUUGAGGAGAGUUCUUUGGAAUCCAUGGCAAAGAUGUCUGGACAGGGCGUCUGGACACACCAUCGGAGGGCGGCGGAAUAUGGGUUGUGGCAAGCUGUCGGAAUGACGUAGCAAGGCUUGCUCACUUUAGUCAAUGUUUUCCAUCCGGACAACAUAUCCGGAUAGGAUAUGCUAUCGUCCGCGGUGUGAUGUGCACGAGUGUCGUGUGCUUCUCCCUGAGGGAGUCCGGAUAGCAUAGCGGCGCGUGUCCUCUUGGGGAAUCCGGAUGGAGUUGCACCGGAUAGCAAUGCGCGCUCCGUGUCAUCAGGGGGAGGGGUCCCUACACCUUGUACACGCAGACGAUCCCCCUUGCGACGCGCGGGUAUCUCACUCCCGAAAUUCUGUCUGGUCAGACAUGUCCGGAUCCUCUGAUCGGAUAUUUCACAUCUGGAUAUCUCACAGCCGGAUGGGAGAGGAGGACGUUUCAACUUCCCUGGUCAGACAUGUCCGGAUCCUCUGAUAGCGCCUACCCGAAGAGUUUUUCUCUCAGUAUAUAGUGUCGCGGUGUUCUCCUGAAGCUUCCUGAUAUUUUCGACCGACAUCUUGAGAUAUUUUGCUUUAGAUAUUUGAUGUCUAAAUCCCCAAACUCUCUUUGUAACCCACCUAUCAUAGGAUCUCUUAGUCUUUAAGUAAGAAAAAGGGUGAAUAACCUCUGAUAUAUAUAGUUUGUAAUUUUCUUUAUAAGAAAUUAUGAUGUAAUCGGCGGAAGAAAGAAAUAUAUUUCACAGAGCACUUGCUCUGAUUUUCAUAUAUAUUUUUGUUUUCUCAUUCUUUUUCUUACUAGCCAAACAAGCUCUGAGGAAGUUUCCUCAGAGAAUGAGUGGCUAGACUUUUAGUUCCUUGGAGCUAAGGUUGCCGGGAAAGGUUUCAAGUGCAAGAAUUUAUAGUUUUGUGGUUUCGGCCAUUAAUGAAGAGAAAGUAUGAUCCUUUAAUGAUUUCUAUGUUUUUUAGUUAACUUAAAACACCUUCAAUUCACUUGAGACAACACUUGGUAAGGCAAGUGAUCUCCGUCCAUGGAGAUGCACUAGUUUGCCUCUUGCGAGCUUUUGAGAAGUGACUUGAAGGUAGGAUUUUCUAGAAUUGUCAACACUUGGUAAGCUUUUGGACUCCAAGGAGACAUCCAUUAGUUAUCUUUUGUGAGCUUGAGAAGGGAAGUCCAAAGUUAAUGAUCACCUUGAAUGGCAAAUGCUAGAUGAGAGGCACGAGCCAUUGCAAGUUGCAUCAAUGAGAAGAAACUAGAGUUGAAAUCCAUUUAAAGGAUACAUCUGUACAACACCGGUUAGAGAAUUGACUAUAUGUAAAUUCUCUAAUGCGAGGAAAUGAACCAAAUGACCGAAGCUCUAUUUUUGCAUAAGAAACCUCCCCUGUGAACCUAAACCUCCAAGGAAUGUUUUUCUUCAUAAGUCAUUUCCAUUACUUUCUUUUUAGUUAGCUUUAAACAAAAUCUCAUUUAAACAAAGUUUAUGUUUUAUUUCUUAAGCUAAUCUUGAAAUGAAAAAGCACCAAUUUAACUUUGAAUUGGUAUCAGUUGUGAGUUGAAAACCCUUUCCAGUGAACGAUCCUAGAGCCACUAUGCUAUAUUAGCUAAAGUUAUCCUAAUGCAUAGUGAUAUAGGUUAUAAAUUUUGUUGAUCACUCCCUCAGUCAAGGAGCACCAACUGGACAUGAAUCAGCUAAGACACCAAUUGGGAAUGAAUCAGCAACCCACUAGAGGUUGUAGUGCACCAUACCACCUUCUAAUUGGAGGGAUGACUAGUCUUAAUUAUCAGGAUGAGUUUCCCAUGGUGAGUGCAUUACUAUGUAUGGUUACAUAUUAGACAAGACCUACGGUGUGUCAUGGCUUAAGGCUAUCAAGUAGUCAUGACCUUACCAACCAACUUCAUUGUGUCAUCUCUCAACCUUAAGAGAAUAUUGAGUUUAUACUAAAGUUAGCAAUGGCUUUGACCUACGGGUGAGAUCAUAAGCUAAUCAUAUAUUCCCUAUGGAUUGGGUCAUUGUUGAUGGAAGUCGGUAGCAAUAGGUAUUCUCAAAAGAGGUACCAUGAUAUCUCAUGGGAUUUAGACAGUGUGUCCCCUUGGGUGAUCCUAAGAAAGUGUGUUCAUACAAACUAUGACCAUAGUAGUUCCUUAAGUGGAACUUGACAUAGACUCUUUAACAGCUAAGACAUGUCAAUUAAAUAUAUAAUUGGACGAUCUGUAACUCAAAGAUAGUAGAGGUAAUCUUUAAGGAUUGAUAACUUUCACCUUAUUAAACUACAAACACUAAUUCAUGGGAAAACUAAACAUAAUGGAUAGCAGGUCACGGAUCCGAGCACGUAAUAUCUCAUUGUUAUUUACAUAGGAUAUUGGAGUUCAAUUGAUUCUCUAUGGUGGAAUGUUGAAUCAACUUUAGAAUUGGAUUUUGAGAAAGUCAGUACUCCUACAGGUCCCAAUAGUCCACACUCUAAGCUCAUAUAACCUAUUGACACAUAUUAUGAGGGUCGGAUUGGCUUUAGGUUCAUUUUUGUGUAUAAGGGCAUUUUGGUAAUUACACAAGGUUACACAAGGAUAAGUUAACAAGGUCUCUGGAUUGGACUAAUUGAUUAAUUAAUAGGCCUUAUUGGGUUAAUUAAUCAAUUAGGACUCAUUUUGAGUUAGAUUAAAUGACCCAAGCCCAUGUGGGCUCAAGUCACUUAAGCCCACUUAGGAACCCUAUAAAUACCCCCUAGGAGUUAGGGUUUCCACAACUUUUGUCCUCCACCUGUUAGGAUAGAGCCCUUAAAAGUAUAACAUGAUGUAAUAAAUUUGGAAUUCAUUAUUUAUUUAAGAUGUUCUAGUUUCACAUUUUUUAUUUAAUGUGAAGACGUUUGGAACCCAUCCCUCCUUCACAGAUUUAUCCAAAAGUUGCAUGCUCUGACUCAAGUUUCCAUGCAUACACAACCCUCUGAAGUGAUCAUCAACUCCAUUACCUUAGUAGUUUUUUCCAUGUCAAGCAUACAGUUAGUUUUGAGAGCGAGACCCACUUUCACUAUGAACUCAAUGACCGUGCUUCGAUCAACUAGUUUGGCAUUUUCAUUUCUUUAUGGCAGCCAAAUUUGGACUAUAUCUAACACUUGGCAGCCAAAGGGCAUGAAUCAAAAACAGAGGAAAGCGACAGAAAAAAAAAAAAAAAAAAAACAAAGCACAAAUGGUUGAAACAAAACGAACUAAUAAAAGCCACAUUUUAUGUUUCAAUCAACCGGCUUAGAUGUAGGUGAGUGAAACUGAAAAGAUUUUAAACAAGAACACGAGUAUUAUUCAGACAUUCUAUAGGAAAGCUACAACAGAGAUAAUUCAUGCUCAAACAUAACCAAAGGAAAUGAGGCAUGAAUCAACUAUAACCAAAUCACAAAAACCAAGAGAUUAACAAUAACAAGUGUGUGUCCUACGGUUAUCCAGACCCAAAACAUGGAAAAUUUUAGAAUCUAAUUGAUAAAUGAAAGAAAAAAAAUGGAAAAAAUGGAAGAAAAUUAAAUACACAAUUUAAAGGACUGAGAACCUGACCUGAACUCUCCUGUGAGAUUUAGCAAUUUAUGAACGUAUCUUCAGGCCCCUGUAGAUGAAUCCAUGCUUGGUGGUAGUAUGCUUAUUGAUGAUAGUCUGGAGAUGUGGAAAUCAAAUGAUUCUGAUGAACUAAAUUUGAUGUGUGAUGAGAUAGAUGACGUGUUAUCUAAGGAUCACAAAGUUCAUCAAUAGAAACUCGUUUGAUGAUGCGUCAAUCUGAUGGAGAGAAUCCGUUGAUAAAAAAUGAUGAAAUGCCAAUUUGAAGAUAGUGACUGCGAUUCAUCUCCCGAUAUGAAUCUAAUGAGAACGUUCAGGAGUUAGAAAUGGAGAGCUCUAAUGGCAGUGGUGAUUUGCAGCAACGUCAAUCUCUGGUGGCAGUGAUAGCAAGCUCUAAUGGUGGUAAACUAUGCCGACAAAGACAAUCUCCAUGAAUUGCACAACAAACUUCAAUGGCGAUCUCCAGUGGUGGUGAUGAAUUCUCCUACAACAAUGAACUCUCAUUCUCCUGAAGAGAUGAACUCUCAAAUGUCGGUGAAUUAUUUUUAUAUAUUUUUUUAAUAAAUUUUAAAUGAAAUAAAAUAAAUAAAUUUUAAAUUUUUAUAUAUUUUUUUAAACUCAUUUAACUUAUUUUAAUUUUUCAAUUAUAAAAUUAAAUAAUUUGAAAAUAUAUAAAUUUCUAACUAAUUUUAAUUAUAUUUUAUUUUCUUUUAUAAUUUUCAUAUAUAGUAUAACCAAUACCAAUGUUUUCAAAAUCAGACCGAUGUUUGAACCGGAAAAGUUACCAGUUCACGGUUCAUUAGUCGAACUGGUAGUCAAACCGCGGUCGAAUCAAUGACAUCAUAAAUAAUAAUUUUUUUCUUUUUUCUCACUAACUAAUCCCACAUUGGAAAUGGAUCAAAAAUAUGUAGGAAUUGUGGUAUAAAAGGCAAGUUAGAAUCAUUAACUUGCAAGACUAAAAGCUUAUUGGGCUUGAUGACAAACGGGUUGGAUAGGCUCCUCAUGAAGUGAUCCGGUUCUCUUAUGGUAUCAAAACUUUUUUUAUGGCUUUAAACUAAAUAAAUAAAUAAACUAUUCGGAUCGCUAAGAAUCGCCCGGUUGGGGCGGUUCACUAGUUCAACCGUUGGUUUGAUGCCCAAACGGUUUUUUGGGUGGACCAGACUGGUUUUGUUACCGAUCGGACCAACUGGUCCGGUCCGAUUUUUAAAUCAUUAUCAAAUACAAUAAAAUAAUUUUCCUUAACAUUUCUUUUAUUUUUUUAGUACUUCUCAAGAAUCAAACAUAAUCAUAAGACUAAUCAUAUUUUUUAUUAUAAGAUCAUUCGAAUACAAUGCCCCAAGUGAGAAUCCCAAAACGUUUUUCAAUGUUUUACUAAUAUUAAGAUUUUGAAAAUCUAUACAAUUUCUUUUUUUUUUUUUUUAAUAUUUGGAUGAUAGAGCAUGAGUAUACAAGAAAGGUCAAUGCAAAGAUCAAUGCCUACAAUCUUGAAAUUGCACUUCUAGAGUUGGGCCCUAAAAGAAAACCCAAUAGGGGGAAGGGGCAGCAUUUAAACCUUGUUCAAUGGGCAUGGCAACACCUUGGAGAAGGAAAGUCAUAUGUGAAAGCACCGGAUGAGGAGAUCAUGGCACAAUGCUACUUCAAAAAAAUGAGUACUACGUUCCCAAUAAUCAAACUUUAUCAUGAAAAUGUUGAUGAUAGUGAGGAUUCUCUUAUUUACAAGUAUAGAGACAAAUAGGCAAAAGGUAAAUAAAUUAUUAAUAGAGCUUAAAAUAAUAAAUUGAGCAAAUAAACAUAUGGUAAGAUCGAAACUCAUUAUCCUCCUACUAAAUAAAAUUCUAAUACCAUAUUGGAUAACUAAAUUUUUUAAGAACUUAAACUUAAGAUUUGGAUCCUUAUGAUUGUAUAUCACACUUUCUAAUAAUAUAUCAAAUACUUUUCUAGAUUUUGUGUUGACUUGUGAUUACUUCUCUAAAUCAAUUUUUCAGCAUCUUGUAUAUAUGUAUUUGUUAGGAUGAAUCAAUUAUCAAUGAAUGCAAAAAUGCAACUCCUCAUAGAGUCUCUUGCUUAUUUCCUCUACAACUUAAUUAGAUAAACUUAAAAGAACUCCAGAGUGAUUUCACAAAGAAAUAGGAUAAUUAUUUUAUUUUCAAACCUGCAAAAAAGAUAUGGAAACCGUAUCAUUGAAAUAAUUAGAACAGAAAAUAAUUGGAAUCAAAGUGCUAUUGCCUUAUUUUAAAAACAAAAAAUAAAUAAAAUAAAUCUUAGGCGCCUUUAUGCAAAACUAAAUAUUAGUUGCCUAAAGCUCCUUAUUUGGAAUACUAGAUGGGCGUCAAGCAUCAUUUCAACUCGGCACCUCCUUCGGUAAAUACCAAAAAUAAUAUUUGUUUUGGGAACAAGACUAGAGUUUUGAGCGGAUAUAAUAUAUUUUAAAAAAAUGCACAAAAUAGAUUUUCAAGUAAAAUAAUUCUCAAGUUUCAGCUACAUGGGCAUCCAUAUGGUCGGAGAUUAUUAUUUUUUUAAUGUUGUUCUAUGUCAUAAAACUUUAAUUAGUAACUACGAUUUUAUUUUUUAAAACAUAAAAUGAUAGUUAGCUAUUAUAGUUUUAAAUUUAUUUUUAAAAUCAUAGUCAUCAAUUACGAUUAUAAGCUUAAAUUUAAAACCUUAGUUGGUAACUAAUGUUUUAACCGUUUUACAACAAAAUCAAAAUUAUAGUUCACAACUAUGAUCAUGUGAUAUAGAUACAAGUGUCAAUAAAACACUCCAAUUUGAAAAUUAUUUUGAGAGGGGAUCUACUUUGUAGAUUUUUAUUUGUUAAAAUAAAUUAUUUUUCCUCAAGCCUUAGAAAACUAACUUGUUUAGAACUAAAUUCAAUUAUACACUCUCCUAAUUUUUCUUUUUAUAAGAUCAAAUCCACGUUAUCAGUUUUCCACUAGAAUCCUCAUGAUUACUCGUAGGAUUCUGGAGAUGAAAUGGAAGUGUGGUAUGAGAUGCAUGCUUGUUUAAACUUCAGUUUCAAUCUUGGUCAAUAAUGUCCAUUCCCUUAGAUAUGCAGGAUGUGGAACCACUGCUGGAUCCUUUGUGAGACUUGACCAUCAGUAUCCUUCUCUCCAUUUGUGGGGUACUGCCCACUUGAUCACUGCUGUGGAAAUUUGACCAACACACCCAAAUUCCCAACAACCCAAAACCACAGAUUUCUUCAUCCUUCCAUCCAUCUUUCUUGAAGUAAAAUAGACAUCCAUGUGGUCUUUGUUUUUCAUUGGUUUCACUUUCUCCCAAGAAUACUAAUCUUGUCUUUAUUGACUGAUUAGUUUAAUUAGAGAUCAUCCAAGAAAAAGAAUAUCACAUUUUAUAUUAAAAAAAAAAAGUAUUGAAUAUAUUAGCAAGAUAUCAUCCUCGAAAAGUUGGAAAUGUAAUCUUGUACAAGGAAAGGAAACAAGGGGGAGUCUUAAAUAAAUUGUUUCCAAAAGAGACCAAAUGACCCAUGUCUUUAGGGGUGUAUCCUUCAUGUAUAUAAAUAAGCAUUGAAAGCGAGGGAAUAUGGAAGUUUAGAGACAAGACUUUGUUUUCUAUGAAUAAAUUAAAUGUGGUUUCAUGGCUUCCAGCCCUUUUCAAAGUAUUCAGUGGAGAUUGGCCCGAUUCCAAUGGAUUGAUCACUUUUUCCAUAAUGCAUAGUUUGAUUAGGUCACCAACCAUUCGCUAAGCCGUCAUACCUUUUUUCUACACCAACUCAAAAACCCCACUUGUCCAAUAUGUUUUUAUUUUUUAAAACAGCCAUUAACACAACAUUUUUAAACACAUCCAUUCUCAUGUCUCUCUACCUAACGUUAAUAUCCCAUUUUUAAGUGAUUGAUGUAACCAUUUUCAAACACUUCCAUUUUCAUAUCUCUCACAUAUCUCCAUCUGAAUUUUGAAGUGAUUCUACUUUGAAAAAAAAUACUUUUAAAGAAAAUAUUUCAAUUAAAAACACAUUAAACAAAAAAUACUAUUAAACACACUUUUAAUUUAUAUUAUUUUUUAUCAGUAACACUUUUACUAUAAAAAAAUACUUUUAGUGGUAAUCACUUAAUAUUUGAAUAUACAAAUAAAAUUUACCUUUUAUAUAAUGUAUUAGAAAAAAAAAGGUUUUUAAAAGAAACAUCCAUCAAUAUAUUAUAUAACAAAUUAUUGUCUUUAAAACCUAAUUUUUAUUAUAAAAAAAAUGCUUCUAAAAAGGUAUUAUAUCUCACUCAAAAUUACUACCAAAUCAAUUCUAAUAAUAGUUUGAAAAUGGGUUGAACUUUUAUAUUUAUCAAGAAAAAAUUGUAGAAGUAACCACUAUGUUUGAAAAUUAUAUGUCAAAAAUAUUUUUAUUAAAGAGAAAGAUAAUUAUAACAAAGCUUAUUGUCAUUAUUUCUCGAUAACACAAUGAAAUCGUAUGGAGCUUAUAAUCAAAAGUUCUUUUCAAAUGACUAACAAAGGGUUUUAUUCUUGAGUUGUUUUAAUUUACUACUAUUUUUAUCAUUUACCUAUGUUAUUAAUGGUGAUUAAAUGAUAAAAAUAUAUAUAUUUAAUGCAUAUUAAUUUCUUUUCACAUCCAAUUUUCAAGUGGAUAUGCUAUAAAAAUGUUGUAAAAUAAUUUUUUUAAAAUAACAUUUUCAUGUGAUUUUUUAUUCAUAAUUAGUUAUAGAAAAAAAUUAAAAUGCUUAGUUAUGAUUAAAACGAUUCCAUUUCAUAUUUGACAUCAACACAUGUUAUUUUAUCAUCUAAUAUUGUUACAUUAAAAAACACUCAAUUUAACAUGAAUAUUAUUAAAUAUAUAUAUAUAUUUAAAAUUAUUUUAAUCUUUCUAUUUAAAAAAAAAAAUUGAUGCAUUAUCGAUAUUUCCAUGAAAUCCACACGUGUCCCAUGAUUAUAGACUAAUUCGUUUGUAGUGUGGACGCAAUGACAAGUCAGAAGUCUCCCAUUUCUUUUCUAGUCAAUGGGCAUGUUCCACAUUUAUUUAUGAUAUUUCGGAUUACACGAAGACUUCCAAAAGCAAUCGAUGGCCCAUUUUUCUUCUGAUAAGCUUCAUGGAAUCUUUUAGACGAAGGAGGAUGCUACUUCCACAUUCUUUAACCGAGCGUGUCAACCAAGCUCUCUCGAAUUUUUCUAUAUUCUUAAUUUCUAAAAAAAAUUCAAUAUGGGAUAUCUAUUUUAAAAUUAUCUUUUUGAUAGAUAUUUUAUAAAUUUUAAAAUGUUUUUUCAAUUAUUAUACAUCUCAAAUUAUUUCUAUACCAUUUUUUUAUUUGGUCUUAUCUAGUUUAAACAAUGAUAAGAUAAUUUCAUAUAUGAUUUUUUAAGUAUUAUUGUUUGUAACCUAAAUCCAUUUGUGUGUAUUAUUUUACCUUAAUUUCGUUUGUUUGCAUGUUCAACCUAUGACCUAAAUUUCAUUACAUAUAUUCAACCAUUUAGAAUUUUUGUUUGAUAUGUAAUGUUUUACCUUAAUAUGUUCUCAAAUUACAUAUAUUAUGGGGAUAUAUAUAGAUAGAUUAUGGUUUGUUCCAUUUCCGUCACUUCAUGAGUUUCCCCUAAUCCACUUACUCCACUCCCAAUAGUGAUAAACUAUAUCUUGAAAGUGAAGUUGGCUUCACUUAUCCCUGAAUAAAAGACCUAUCCUCAAGAGUCAAGAUACUCCAAUUUGAAUUUGAACUCAAACCUAAGGAUAGAUCUUCGACCACCACCAUCUAUUGUCUCCUAAUAGGGGAGAUAUUAUUAGCCUUUUUUUUUCUUUUUCUUUUUUUCUUUUACCCCACUUUAACCAAAAGAUAAGAUAAGCUUAUUACAAGAUUAUAGAAAGAACGUACUUGUCUUUAUUUAUGAUAUUUUUUUUAAAAUAAUUCAACUUUAUUAAAUCUAAGUUAGAUAUAAAUUCCAAUUAUUCUACUUUUGACCAAAUCAUAGCGGUGACCAACACUAACUAUUUAAAAAAUUAAAAUAAGUAAAAAAAAACACUUUUUUUAACUUUAAGGUGGUAGAGCUUCAAAACAAUGAACUAAAAAGAUAAAACUAAGUGCAAGUUAAAAUAGAGAAUAAGGAACUCAAACAUUUUAUAAGAUAUACUUGACAUAAGUGAAAAUAAUUUAAAAGAAAAAAUAGUUCUUGCUUUGUGUGAAACAAAGUACUAUUAUUUUUAUGUUUAUUUCAUGUUAUCCAUAAAACAAUACAAAUGAUUUCAAUAGUUUGAGUGUUCUCCAAUUUUUAAAAUUCAUUCUCACUAUUUCAAGCUAUAUUUACUAAAGUUAUAUGUUGGAUUUCUAAAAAUGAGGGAAUAUAUAAGUUAAUGGAUGAAGGUUUGAUUUUAACAAUAAGGAUUGUGUUAUGGUGCUCAUACAAUUCGAACCAAAAUACACGCAACAACUCUAGAAGUAAUGAUGUAAUGUUACUUAUGUUGGAUUUUAUGAAAAUAUCAAUAAAAAUACUUAUAUUCGUGUAAAGUUUAUGUGGUACCAAUCAUAUGAUAUCAUAUAAACAUUUUAUGUUUUAUUACUGGUUUCAUUCAUCUAUAUUUAUCUUAUCUAUUUAUGUUUUAACCCUAUAUAUUUAUAUUUUCAUUCAAUAUAAAUUUUAUCAUAUAGUUUCAAUAACAAAAACAAAUGUACAUUUAAUACCGAAACUGCUUCUAACAUUAAAGUAAAUAUGAUUUCACGAAUUUCAUAUUUUCUAUCAUCUUUACCAAAAUUGAAUAGGGUUGAUUACUUUUUUCCCAUUCCAUGAUUUGAUCGCGUGAAGAUGAUUCCACCACCAAUCAUUUACUAAAAUGUGACACCCAUUUUCUACACCAACUCAAGCACUCCACUUUUGUUAAUAGCUUUUAGCCGAUAUAAAAAAGUGAACAAAACCGCUUUCAUAUUUUACCUACCAGGGCUAAGAAAUAUAAAUAGAGAUAGAAAUAAUUACUAUUUGUUAAAUAUAUAUUUUAUGUUUUAAAUAUAUAUAUAUAUAUAUAUAUAUAUAUAUAUAUAUAUAUAUAUAUAUAUAUAUAUAUAUAUAUAUAUAUAUAUUCUUUUUAAAAAUAAAAAUAAUCAUGAUAUUAAUUUGUUAAAAUUUACUCUAACAUCAUCUAAUACAAAUAAAUCAUGUACGAAAAUGCAAGAAUUAUGAUCAAGAGUUUCAUCCAACCAAUUAUAAAAAUUAUGUUUUACCUUUAAAAUUGGUUUUUAACACAAAGCUCUUCUAAUUCAGAACUUUAUUCUUUUACUCUUAUUUUUAUCAUUUAAAUAUAUGAUUAAUCAUGAUUAGAUAUUAAAAAAACAACUUUCAUAUUUAAUAUAUUCCCUUAUCAUCGAUUAAGUUUGAUUUUUUUUUUUUUUUGUUGUGUGUAUAUCUUUAUACUUUUUCUUCUUACAAAUUUUUUUUCACAUUUUAAUAUUUUUAUCAUUUACCAAAGCUUCAUUUAAAAUUUUCGUGUUUUUGAUAAUUUUUUAUUUGUAUAAAAAUUUACAUGAAUAUAAAUAUUUUUAUUGAUAUUUUGAUAAAAUCCAACAGCAGGGACAUUUCAUCAUUGCUUCUUGAGGUGGUGCGUGUAUAGUGCAUAUAGCAUGGGAAUAAGGAUAAGUCUCCUUUUUUACUAUUCAAUUCAAUGCCCUUUCACAUUCAUUUAUUAAUUGUUUGGACUUGUGAAAGCAACCUUCCCCCGUUUUCUUGACGCAACCUGCUACUUCCACGUGAGCAUGCCAAACACGCUUAGGGCCUGUUUGUUGAUGUUUUCAAAUACAUUUUUGGAAACAGUUUUUAGUGUUUUCAGAAAUAAAAUUAUGUUUGUUUAUUCUCAAAAAUAAAAAGAAUUAAAAAAAAACAUAUUUAUUUCAAUUAAUAAAAAUAAUUUUUAAUAACAAAUAAAACAAAAAAACUUGUUUGGAAAAUAUUAUUGUUGGUUUUGUUUUUUAAAGUUGAGUAUUUUAUUUAACUAAUUGAUAUUGUAAAUAUAUAAAUAAUUUUUCUUCAUAAAAAUAAAAAUGUUUCAUUUUGAACAUUUUUUGCAUUGGUUUUAAUUUUUUAAAACAAAUUAUUACUUUGUAAACAUGUCUAAAUAUGUUUGAUUUUAAUAAUUGAUAAACACCAUCUUAUCAAAAUAUCAUAAAUCGGUAAAUAUCAAUAAUUGGAUUUUAUGAAAUAAAAUUUAUGAUAUCAAAUAAUAAUGCAUUAUACUUGGAAACUGAUGAUCUAUCUUUUUUACUAAUAAUAUAUUUAUGAUAAUUUUUAUUUAAAAAUAUUUAUAAUUAUAUUUUAUAUUUAAGAAUUAUAUAAAAGAUAAAAAAAAUUAAAGUAAAUCAAACUAAUUUAUUUAUGAAAAUUUAUUAAUUUUUACUAUUUUACAUAUUAUAUAUAUAUAUAAGACAAGAAUCCUUGUUCUCUUUUCUCUCUUCUCCUCAUGGUUUCUCUUCCAAGACCCAAACUUUUAUUCACGGUUGAACUAUUUUUCUCCUCAAAGAACAACUCAUGAAAGUCAAAAUCUAGAUCUAUGAUUGUUGUAAAGAUUAUUGGUUAGGAUUUUGCCUCUUGUGUUAUUGUUUAUGUUUUUGUUUGGUUUUUGGGAAAUCCUAGAAUUUAUGGAAGUUUAGGCUUUGAAAUGCAUUAAAAAAAUCAUAUUAGGAUAAAAUCCCAAAAUAUCCAAAAAAUAUUGAAAUGGAAAUAAAAAAAAUAAAAAUAAAAAAAUUGAAUUUUUGUUAAACCGAAUUUUCAAUUUUCUAAUUUUUCCCAUUUUCCUUGGCAGUGUAAAAAAAAAAAUGAUAAGAACACCCAAGAAUACUAAUUGAAAACACAGACAUUUUUUUUUUUUUUUACUUCUUAGAAUAGUGGCAACAACACAAAAAAAAAAUCAUUUUAAAACCAGAUUUUAGAAAACACAUAAAACACUUGAGAACAAAAAAACACUCUCUUAUCAAACAUGAUUUUUGUGUUUUUGUUCUAAAAAUGGAAAACAGUUUUUGGAAACACCAACCAAACAAGUCCUUAAUGACUCAUUUUUCUUUUCUUUUUUUUGCUUAUUUGUGUAUUCUGUUUUCUAUUUUUAUUUUUAAAGAAAAUAAAAAUCAAGUUUAAAAACAUGUUUAGAUAUUAUUCUUAAUUUUUAUUUUUGAAAAAUUGAGUUCAAAAAAGGUCAAAAAUGAAAAUAAUAAUUUGGUGCUUUUAAAAAAAUUUUAUGGCGAUGUUUUUCAAUCUAACAUAAAAAUAGAAAAAUUAUCUUUAGAAUUAAUUAUAAAAUUAUAAUAAAAAAUUUUGUAUAUUAUUUUAAAAUAAAAAUAUAAUCAAAUACAAAAUAAUAAAAUAAAACAAGGAACAAAUAUGAUAUAAUAUCAUAUAGUAGCAUAUAAUAUAUAAUAUAUAAUAUCAAUAAAUAACAACUAAUAAAAUUAUUAUAUAUGUUAUAUUUUAUGCUUGCUAAAUCAAUUUAAUGUUUUAAAGUGACUUCAUAACUUGAUUUAAAUUAUUAAAUAAAUUAAAAUUUUGAUAAAAUAACUUAAUAUCAUAAUUUAAAAUUAAAAUAAUUUUAAGUGUUAAGUCAAAAUAAUUAAUUUAUUUUUAAUGUCAAAUCAUUUUUAUUAGAUAUUUACUUUGUUCAGUAAAAUUGAGUUAAUCUUUUGAAAUUAUCAAAUUUACAUUUUUAUUUUUCUUAAUUUAAAGCAAUAAAUUUAUUUGUUACACGAUUUGUAUUAAUCGUAUUCCAAAUAUAUAAAAUAAUUACAAUAAUUACUAAAUAUUUAGCUCAAAGAAAAUGUGUCGUGAAUAUAAAAUCAUGCAUAUUAUAUAAAUUACUAUUACAUGUGUGAGUAAAUAAGAUAGAAAUGAUUUAACAUUCAAAAUAAAUUUAUUAUUUUAAUUUAAUAUUUAAGAAUUAGUUUUAAUAUUAAAUAUAUUUAAUUUAUUUAAUAACUCAAAUUAAGUUAUUAUUAAUUAUUUAAUAUAUAAGAAUAAAAAGAUAUAAAAUAAAAGCAAGGAAAUAUAAAAUAUUUCAAAAUUAUUAAUUAUUUUUUCAUGAGUGGAUAUAAAAAUAACUAGGGGAGUAUGAUUUUAAUUUUAUAUUCUUAUACUGCUGCUGGAAUAAUAUGUUUGCAUUAUUUUUCGAAGGUGAAAAUAUAAAAUUACAAACAUUCAAAUAACAUAUAGAGAUUGUUUUGUUACCAUUUUAAUAGGAAUAACUAUAAAUGCAUAAGAGCAAUUCUCAUUGGAUAUAGUUUCUAUAUACUUCAUUAAAACACGGAAAAUAAUUUAAAUUUAUUCUAAAAAAGUAGUUCAAUUUUGAAAAACAAGCCCUCAAAACCUUGUUUCCAGCACAAAACUUGCCAAUGAGUCACGUGGUAUAAACUUCCUUUGAUUGAACUUUUGAAGAAAAAAAUCACGCAGUGUUUUGUUUUUGAAAAGUGUAAAGAAAAAUAUAUUUGUUUUUAUAUCUACAUAUUAACAAAAAGGAAACUUUCAAUCCAUGUUAUAAAUAAUAAAAUAUGAAUUAAACAUUUUUGCUCUUCUUUCUUUCCUCAUGAGCACACCAUAGUAGUCUAUCUGGUUCUUAGAAAAUAUUAAGAAUAGAAAAAAAAAAUAUUAAGAAAUAAUUUUUUUUUAUAUUUUAUUAACAUGAAAAAUAUUAAAAUCAAAUCAAUGUAAUUAAAAAUAGUUUAAAUUUUAUGCAUUUUAAAUUAUUUUAUCUUUAUAUAAGAGAAAAAUAAAUAAAUGGGUUUAAAGAAACAUAUAAAUAUAAUUUAUUAAUAAUAUUAAUUUUUUUUUUCAUUUUCCUUCAUCUAAAAAACUGAAGAUUUUUUUAAAAAAUAAAAAAAUUACUACCUAAAUUGACUUGCCUUUUAAGUAAUAAUUAUUAGGAAUAUAAAAUAGUAUUAAUAGGAUAAAAUAAAGCGUCAUGUAAGCUAAUAUUUUGUAUUUUAUAAUUACAUAGAGUAAUCAUAAAGUCACAUAUGACAAAACCAAAUAAAUAAAUAAAUGAGAGCUUGCAUCACCAACUGGGUUAUUAAAGUAAUUAAGCCAAGAAAAUUCUUAUGCAGAGUCUGAUGAUUCAACAAGCUACCUUCCAGACAAUGGUGAUGACUUUGAAGGAAUCCUUCCUCCAAUAAGAAGAUCUAAGUAAUCAUCAGCCUUUUGUCUUCCAUCAAGAAUAUUUUACAAGCUUUGCAGUUUCUGUUCCAAAAGCAGCAAGCAUGUGUCUACACAGCAGCCUGCCAGAAGUCUUCUCAGCCAAAAGAGGGUUUUUCGGGGGAUUUCGGUAUAAAAGUGAAUCUUACUAUUCACUAUUCACUAUUCAAGCACGGGUCUACUAUUCAUGGUUACUAUUCAAGUUUCCUUUUUUGCCUAUUUAAGGAGGCUCGAGCCUCAUUUGUAAGCACGUUCAAUUUAGGCUCCCAUGCUCUCCAUUCUCUCUUCUUUCUCUCUCAUCAUGUAAACUCUUCAAGCUUUCAAGCUUUCUUCAAGCUUUCCUACCCCUGUCUAUUGUAAGAUAUUUCUCCUUGUGUAUAAUAUAAGUAUGUUUUGAUUACCUCCUAUAUGGAUGGUUUUUAAUUAUGUUUUGUUUUUCAUUUUAUUUUAUGUUCUUGUACUGCCUAUAUGGUCGGUUUUAAUUAAGCUUUGUUUUUAAGUUUAUGUCUUUUAUUUUGUACCGCCUACAUGGUCGGUUUUAAGCUUAUUAUGAACUAACAAGUUUUUGGUUCCUUCUCUUUAAAUUUCUUUAUUGGAUAUCUUUUGUAUUUUCUAACCCUCUUCUUUGUUUUGAAUCAUGGCAUAAUUCCGAUUUUCUGGAAAUCUUGAGGGGUCUUAGCUGCUGCAAGCAUGGCUUGUAACUGUUGCUUUUUAAGGAGAAACUGAGACAUAUCAUCACUGGCUGAGACUUGUGUGGGAUUUUGGAGGAAAUACUGCUUAACUGUAUCAAUAGAUGCGUCAUUUUUUAAGGCAUCCCACCAUUUAGUUUUAAAGGUCCUUCCAAGAGAUGGAAAGGCUGCUGAUUCAUCUGUAAUGAUAAUAUAGUCCCACUGGACUAUCCAAGCAAGGCCAAAUUUGCUGAAGAAGAAUAGUAAAGGGGGAAAAGCUGAAAGUUCUCUAGGGAUAUCAUUAUCUGAAUCAGUCCUUGAUUCAGAGUCUGAGUUUAACAUUACCUUACAAAGCAUAUUUUUUAGGUCAUCUGAGACACUUAAGUUGUUAAUCUUUUGCUUAACUCUACAAUUUUUUUUAUAAUGGCCAACUUUGCCACAUUUAAAACAGAUAAUUGGCUUGAUGUCUAAAGGAGUUUCUUACUUUUUCUGGGUAUCUCUGUUGACCCUUCUUUGGACGUGCCUUGACUGCUUAGUAUCAUUCAUCCUAUAGUUGUCAUAGGUACCUCUCUUACUGUGGUAAAACUUAUCUUUGCUAGGCUUCCUGCUUGGCUUUUGCUUAGAGGGAGGCAUAGUUUCUUUUUGGCUGAAACCAAACUGGCUAUAGAAUGAUCCAAAUUCAUUCUUGUAGAUUUUUUGUUCAUUCUUCAUUUGUUGCUUAAGCUUGAAGUCAUUGCACAACUUAAUCCCUUUAGCUGUGACAAUGCUUAUAAUCUCACCAUAGGUUAGCUUAUCAUAAGGGAUUUGACCAUUAUACUGUUCCCUUAUCUUGAUCCUAAUUCUCUCAGAGAAAAGCUUGGGUAAUCCUGAGAUGAACUUUUCUUUCCAAAAAGACUGGUUACAAUCUGAUCUUAGCAUGACUUUGGUUAGGAAGACUUCCUUAUACCACCUAAAAUCAUGAAGCUUGGGACACUUAAGGUUGGUUAAGAGAUCUGCAGUUUUAUCCUUAAUUUUUGCAGGAUCUCCAAUGAAGUGCUUGGAUAUUGAGUAGAUUAGAGUAGCCACUGCAUCCUCAAUAUCUUGGCCAUCUUCGUCUUUAACCACUUCAUUACUCUCAUUAAUCCUAUAGGCUUUAAGGAUACUAUUUCUAUCAUCAAAAGUGAGAUAAUUAUCCCACCAACCCUUAAGCUGUCCUAUAAACCCAGCAACAAUGGUCUGAGCUACAGCAUGAUCUGGCAGUCUAUUGUUUAAUUUAUAGGUUGUACUAACCAUGGUCAUUUCUUGAAGCUUAGUGAGUAUGUUAUACUCGGUCAUACCGUCUAUGUUCCAUUCAUAGAUAGUACCACUGGUGUAUGAGGCUUGAGUAUACUGAUUUCUUUCCUCAAACUGCAUGUCAGGAAAAGUAGGCCUAGGAUAGUAAUUCCUAGUCUUAAAGGUUUCCAAGUUGUUAAUAAUUUGAUUAUGGGGUUCCUCAAACAUCUUAAUUAGUUCAUCAGCUUCUUCUUCUGAACUAAUAUCACCUUUAACCAUAUUGAUUCUCUUAUCAGGCUGAACAGUCAAAGGGGCAACAAGAUUAUCCUUAAUCUUUUGAUUAAUCCUAUCAACAAAAGCCUGGUUGAUUUGGGGAUUUUCUUGGAAUUCCUUAGAAAAUUCAAAGGACUCAGUGCUCUUCGUAUUAUUAACACGCUUAUAAGGAUAAUCUGGAUAUUCCUCUUGUUUGAAGAGUUCAAACCAAAUCCAAAACUUAAUAUUUUUCUUUUCUUGUCUUAAGUAGGCAUAGAAUUCUUCUUGGUAAAUGGUUCUAAUGACCUUAGGGACCGUGCUAAAGAACCAAUCAUUUCUUUGCUUAUUGACUUCAGAAUAGAAGUCUUUUCUUAAGAGAUCCUUGUUGAUCUCAAAGUCCUCAUCACUUAGGCUUAUUGUGUUAAUCAUCUGGGAAUAGGUAGGAGACAUAACAGGGGACUCAUCCUGUUGGGAUUCUUGAGUAGACUCAUUUUCCUCAGAGUAAAAUGGUCUAGCCACGUUGGUGUAACUUCUGACACCUGUUAGCUUAAUGUUCUUAGGAUUUCCUGAGCUGGAUCCUUCUUCUUCCCUAGUGGUUCUAACUGGGAUGGAAGAGCUUGAAGCUCUAGAGGGUUCAUAAACAGAAACUCUAGGGCUGUUAGAAUGUUUGAAAGAUUUGGAGAAAACGAGUUCUCCUCCUCCAUCUGGAUAUUGAACAAUUUGUUCAAUACUUUCAGAACGUUGUGCAAUGGCUGGAACAUCAUUAGCAAAAUGUCAAUUUUCAGGAAAAUCAACAUCUUUCCACAAGAUCUUCUUGGGGAUGAUGAAAUCUGACUUAUCUAACAUAUCUGAGUGAAAGUAAGUGGUCUCACCUUUAGGACUGGUGCAAAGAGCCCCAGAUCCAACGCUUGUGUUCAUGCUCUUAUAGGCAAACCUGGUUAUGAUUGAAACAGGACUGUUUCCUGGUUUGAUCUUAAAGCCAUGGGUCUUAAUAUGCAGGACAACGGAAUCUAAGAUGUUUGCAUCUCUUAUUCUAACUGUGAAGUUAGGAUAGCACUGGAAAUAAACUGGGUCAUCAUUCAGUCCAGCUUGGACUGCGCCUAUAAUAGAAUCUCGAUAUUCGAGAUGCCUAUUAUCCCUUAAACACAUGACAAUAGAGGUGUUUAAACCUAAUCUUGUCAAAGGCUUAGCUGCUACUUGAAUCAUACCAAAGUGUAUGAAAUUAUAGUCAUCUUUCUUAUGCUUUUCAACGGAUCUGUUAUCUAGAAGUCUUAUGACUUGGUCGUCUUGUUCUAAACUGACUGACAUUUCAGAGGUCUUGAUGGUAUAACUAUAAAUGCAUAAGAGCAAUUGGAUAUAGUUUCUAUAUACUUCAUUAAAACACUGAAAAUAAUUUAAAAUUUAUUCUAAAAAAGUAGUUCAAUUUUGAAAAACAAGCCCUCAAAACCUUGUUUCCAGCACAAAAUUUGUCAAUGAGUCACGUGGUAUAAACUUGCUUUGAUUGAACUUUUGAAGAAAAAAAUCACGCAGUGUUUUGUUUUUGAAAAGUGUAAAGAAAAAUAUAUUUGUUUUUAUAUCUACAUAUUAACAAAAAGGAAACUUUCAAUCCAUGUUAUAAAUAAUAAAAUAUGAAUUAAACAUUUUUGCUCUUCUUUCUUUCCUCAUGAGCACACCAUAGUAGUCUAUCUAGUUCCUAGAAAAUAUUAAGAAUAGAAAAAAAAUAUUAAAAAAAUAAUUUUUUUGAUAUUUUAUUUAACAUGAAAAAUAUUAAAAUCAAACCAAUAUAAUUAAAAAUAGUUUAAAUUUUAUGUAUUUUAAAUUAUUUUAUCUUUAUAUAAUAGAAAAAUAAAUAAAUGGGUUUAAAGAAACAUAUAAAUAUAAUUUAUUAAUAAUAUUAAUUUUUUUUCCUUCAUCUAAAAAAAAUGAAGAUUUUUUUUUAAAAAGAAAAGAAAUUAUUAUCUAAAUUGACUUGCAUUUUAAGUAAUAAUUAUUAGGAAUAUAAAAUAGUAUUGAUAGGAUAAAAUAGAGUGUCAUGUAAGCUAAUAAUUUUGUAUUUUAUAAUUACAUAAAGUCACAUAUGACAAAACCAAAUAAAUAAAUAAAUGAGAGCUUGCAUCACCAACCGGGUUAUUAAAGUAAUUAAGCCAUUUGACAUCAUAUAUGAACCCAUAUGAGAUUUUUUUUUUUUUUUGAAAAAAAAGAAAGGAAAAAGAAAUUCCUCUUGAAAGGGGGUGUUUUUUAAAAAAAAAAUUUAAAAAUAAGCUUUUUAAAACAAGACUAUUUGGCAAGAAGUUUUAAAAAAGAAAACAAAAAGUUUGUUUGGAUGAAAGAAUUUAUAUUGUUUUUAUGUUUUACUUUUAUUUUAUAAAAAAUUUACAAAUUCAAUUUAUAAUAAUAUGAAAUCAAAUUUAAGUCUUAUUAAAAAAAAAUUAAAUCUACAAUUAUGUAUAACUUAGAUAAACAUUUUUUAAGUUGUUUUGUUGAAUAAGUUAAUAUAUGAAUGAUAUAAUUUAUCAUAUUUAAUAAUAAUAUUAAAUGCAUCCAUAACAAAUAUGAAUUUUAUAAGUAUGCAUUCAUUAUUAAAAUAUAUCAAAUAUAUAUCAUAGUCCAAUAUAUUUAUAAAUAGGCCAGCUUGCUUAAGUGGUGUGCAAGGUUUAUUACAAAUCCGUGUGAGUAGCGGUAGCACAAAACACCGAGUUCAUUGGUCAUGGACUCGGGGCUCCUUCGUAAUUAAUUCCAACAAGCAAGUCAGUUUGUAAAAUUCAGUAGAAUAAAUUCUGUCAGCGCCCCAGAUUUUGAAAUUGAACCGUUGGUUUCCACCACAUUCCCAGCAUUCUUCCUCCCAACUCUUUCCCGACCAUCUUCCUACCUCCUCACAGAGAAGCCGGUGACGAACUCAACGUCACAAAAUGCCGAAACUACCCUUUUUAUUUGCCACAAUUCCAUUUCCAGGCCAUCUUCCUCCCUCCUCACAGAGAAGCCGGUAACGAACUCAACGUCACAAAAUGCUGAAACUACCCUUAUUAUUUGCCACAACUCCAUUCCCCACCCUGUUCUUCCUCCUCGUCCUCUCCAUAUUUCAGGUAAUUUCCCAAAAUUUGGACGAUGAACGAUCAAUCCUACUAGACGUUAAACAACAACUGGGCAAUCCACCGUCACUCCAAUCGUGGAAUUCCUCAUCCUCGCCCUGUGAUUGGCGGGAAAUUACAUGCACCGACAAUACCGUCACUGCAAUUUCACUCCACAAUAAGACCAUCAGAGAGAAAAUUCCAGCCACAAUUUGUGACCUCAAGAACCUCAUCGUACUUGACCUUUCCAACAAUUACAUUCCCGGCGAGUUCUCGGAUAUUCUCAAUUGUUCCAAGCUUGAGUAUCUGCUCUUGUUGCAAAACUCCUUCGUGGGUCCAAUUCCAGCUGAUAUUGAUCGACUUUCACGUCUCCGGUACCUAGACCUCACAACAAACAACUUCUCUGGAGAUAUUCCCGCAGCAAUUGGGAGGCUACGGGAGCUGUUCUACUUGCUUCUGGUUCAAAAUGAGUUCAACGGCACCUGGCCAACGGAGAUUGGUAAUUUGGCGAAUCUUGAACAAUUGGCCAUGGCCUAUAAUGACAAAUUCCGGCCUUCAGCCCUUCCAAAAGAGUUUGGCGCAUUGAAGAAGUUGAAAUAUCUGUGGAUGACGCAGGCGAAUUUGAUUGGCGAAAUACCGGAGAGCUUCAACCAUCUGUCGAGUCUGGAACACUUGGAUCUCUCACUCAACAAAUUAGAAGGUACGAUCCCUGGAGUCAUGCUUACGUUGAAGAAUUUGACCAAUUUGUAUUUAUUCAAUAAUAGAUUGUCCGGCCGCAUUCCUUCAUCCAUAGAAGCUCUCAACUUGAAAGAAAUUGAUCUUUCCAAGAACCAUUUGACGGGGUCGAUACCAGCGGGUUUCGGGAAGCUACAAAAUUUGACCGGUCUGAAUCUUUUCUAGAAUCAGUUGUCAGGAGAGAUACCAGUAAAUAUAAGCCUCAUUCCUACACUGGAAACUUUCAAAGUUUUUAGCAAUCAAUUGAGUGGAGUUUUGCCUCCAGCAUUUGGCCUUCAUUCGGAGCUCAAACGCUUUGAGGUUUCCAAGAAUAAACUAAGCGGGGAAUUACCUCAACAUUUAUGCGCUAGGGGGGCUUUGCUUGGAGUGGUUGCUUCCAACAACAAUCUCAGCGGGGAAGUGCCCAAGUCCCUCGGGAAUUGCACAAGUUUGCUCACCAUUCAGCUUUCCAACAAUCGCUUUUCAGGUGAGAUUCCUUCCGACAUCUGGACAUCCCCGGACAUGAUAUGGGUGAUGUUAGCUGGAAAUUCAUUCUCGGGGACACUUCCAAGUAAAUUGGCAAGGAAUUUGUCCAGAGUGGAGAUCAGUAACAACAAGUUUUCUGGUCCAAUUCCUGCUGAAAUCUCUUCUUGGAUGAACAUAGCUGUGCUCAAUGCCCGCAACAAUAUGUUGUCAGGAAAAAUUCCAGUGGAAUUGACCAGUCUUCGGAACAUCUCUGUUAUGUUGCUUGAUGGGAAUCAAUUCUCGGGUGAGCUUCCAUCCGAGAUCAUCUCAUGGAAGUCGCUCAAUAAUUUGAAUCUCUCAAGAAACAAACUUUCUGGCCCAAUUCCCAAGGCAUUAGGUUCUUUACCUAACCUUAAUUACCUUGACCUGUCAGAAAACCAGUUCUCAGGUCAAAUUCCUCCUGAACUUGGUCAUUUGACGCUUAAUAUCCUCGAUCUAUCGUUCAACCAACUCUCUGGGAUGGUCCCCAUUGAGUUUCAAUAUGGAGGAUAUGAACACAGUUUCUUGAACGAUCCCAAGCUGUGUGUCAAUGUUGGCACUCUGAAACUCCCUAGAUGUGAUGCCAAAGUCGUUGACUCCGACAAAUUGUCAACCAAAUAUCUCAUUAUGAUCCUAAUUUUUGUUGUAUCUGGUUUCCUAGCUGUUGUUUUGUUCACCCUGCUCAUGGUUCAAGAUGAUAAUAGGAAGAAUCACAGUCGAGACCAUACACCUUGGAAGGUUACCCAAUUCCAAACACUAUAUUUCAAUGAACAGUACAUAUUGACCAGUUUGACAGAAAAUAAUUUGAUCGGACGCAGUGGUCAGGGGAAAUAUACCGAAUUGCUAAUAACUGUUCUGGUGAACUCCUAGCGGUUAAAAAGAUUUGUAAUAACAGGAGAUUGGAUCACAAGCUUCAGAAACAAUUCAUAGCAGAAGUCGAGAUAUUGGGCACCAUACGCCAUUCCAAUAUAGUGAAGUUGUUGUGCUGCAUAUCGAAUGAAAGCUCAAGCCUUCUUGUUUAUGAGUACAUGGAGAAGCAGAGUUUGGAUAGAUGGCUUCAUGGGAAGAAGCAGAGAACAACGUCCAUGACAAGUUCAGUCCAUAACUUUGUCUUGGAUUGGCCAACAAGGUUGCAGAUUGCUAUCGGAGCUGCAAAAGGCCUAUGCCACAUGCAUGAAAACUGCUCUGCCCCGAUCAUACAUCGAGAUGUGAAGUCCAGCAACAUCUUGCUAGAUGCCGAGUUCAAAGCAAAAAUUGCGGAUUUUGGAUUGGCCAAGAUGUUGGUCAAGCAAGGAGAGCCCGACACCAUGUCAGGAAUUGCAGGCUCUUACGGAUAUAUUGCCCCUGGUAAGACCAUCAAGGCCCUCCUUUCCACAUGUUUUCAUUUCCAUAAUUUAUCAAUAAUUUUUAUCAUACAAUUCUUGUAUACUUGGAUGAUAGAGUAUGCUUAUACAACAAAGGUGAACGAAAAGAUCGAUGUAUAUAGCUUUGGAGUAGUCCUGCUUGAGCUAGUGACGGGGAGAGAACCCAACAACGGGGACGAGCUCAUGUGCCUUGUAGAAUGGGCAUGGGAUCAGUUCAGAGAAGGGAAAACCAUUGAGGAAGUGAUGGAUGAGGAUAUCAAGGAACAAUGUGAAAGAGCACAAGUGACCACUCUCUUCAGUCUAGGCCUCAUGUGCACCACCAGAUCACCAGCCACUAGGCCCACAAUGAAGGAAGUUUUGGAAAUUCUUCGACAAUGCAGUCCUCAGGAGGGCCAUGGAAGAAAGAAAAAGGACCAUGAAGUUGCACCCUUACUUCAAAAUGGCACUUGCCCCGCUACUUACAAGCAUAACGAGAAGGGAUCAGACAAUGAGGAUGACGAUAAAUUAGUUUGAAAUUUACAGCUUGUAAAUAAGUGUAAGAAAGCUUGUAAAUUAAAGGUGGUAGUGAUCUUAGGAAGUGUGUUUAGCCUUUUUAUAAUACUUGAAAAAUAAAAAUUUGCAAGUGUUAAAAGGUUAAAAACACUGUUGGAGGUACCUAACAUCUGCAUAUCUUUAAUACACCACCUCCCAAAUGAGGUAAUUGGAAACGCACAAAAUCACCUCAUCCCAAAACUAGGACCAUAAAAGAAGACGACCUCUCGGUCCUGCGGGAUGACCUGACUAAUUGACCUAUGCCUAGAAAAACGAAUCCAACUACCCGUCUCCUCAUGUGCCCAAAAGUCAACCAUGCCUCUGAUAUGCUGCAAAAAACCAAUACUUCAUGAUCCUUCACAAGGAAAAGUGGCUAUAAAAGGGGAGCCUUUUCCUCCUCUAAUGACUCUCUCUCUCAGCCUCUAAAAGAAAGCUGUAGAAAAUGUAGAAAAUGCAUUUCUAUACCCGGAAAAUAGUGGAAUGAAAUCUCCAAUAUUUUCCUUGAAGAAUUUUGGAUUCUUCAUUGGCAUAAUGGAGGACCGAGAGUGAAGUUUAAUCAGUCCAAAGGGAUUUGGAUGUCAAUUCUAUCUUUGUUCAACAUCCAAUAUCUUCCACUAUAAGCAAAAACAACAGCAAAAACAUCAACAACAAAAUUUUCUAGGGGAGUUUUCCUUUAGUUUUUUCUUCUCCUUUUAUAAAUCUUCCUUUAAUCACUUUUGUUUUGCGUAAUAUUCAAGAAAAUGUCAACUUUGUAGCUUUAGGAAAAUGAGCAACUAACCUCUCGAUUAUCUCUUUGUUUUGGGUUUUUCUAGUACCACUUGUGAUUGGUUGUUCCUUAGAAUUGAAAACAAGAAAAUAUGGAUCGAAAUAGCAGCUCACAAGCCUUUGUUUCAUGCUAAGCAAUUCUUGAAUAUUAUGGAGUUCUAGGGAAACAUGUCCACUUGCAAUCUGCAGCUUCAGGUUUUAUGAUUUAGGCCUCAAGCACCAUGGUUUAGCCAUCUCAAUCAGUUGUUGAAGGGGACAAUGUCUAACCAAUUUCAAAGGGUACAACCUCACAAAUCCUCGAUCUCAAUAUCGCCUCAGGUAAAUAGAUAAACCUAGAAACCUAACCUAACAAAGGUACCUAUUCUUUAACCAAAUAGUUGAUCAAAAGCUACAAAUCUUUGAAGAAUGCAAUAUCCAAAAGCUAAAAAACUUUGCAGAAGUGUUUGUACUAUAUAAUCUCCACCUUGACUAUCCAGACAAUCUCCACCUCGACUAUCCAGGUGAUCUCCACCUUGAUUAUCCAGACAAUUUUCAUCUCGGGCAGUCGGAGGUACCUCAUUCUCAAAUACCAACAAAGUAACCCAAUUUGUACUUGUCAACCAAUACACAUAUCCUCACAAUUGAUUGUUUAACCCUUAUCAAAUCAACCACCCAAGAUAUGUUGGGCCUUGUUCAACUGGCUCAAGAGUUUGCCCAACCUCCCACCUGCUCAGCAUGCAUAUGUUAGAAAUGUCUAACUCCUUCUUUCAGAUAAAAUUGGUUGACAGUUUUAUGCUUGGUUGAAGCCACUCAUAUAGAAUUUGGGAGCCAUAACAAUUACCAACAAUGUAUGAAGGAGGCAAACUUUGAGGCACCUCAAAUAUUCAAGAGUUAGAUACAACUUAAGAGGUUAUUUAUCUUACCUAACCUCAACAGGAAGUCAUCAAAAAGCACAAGUACAAUCUUGAUGUCAACUCACAUACAUAUCAGCCAAAUGGAAGAAAGUCUUGUCACCUAAGCAAGCGAUCAACUAAAGUUCAGAUAAGUCUUCUCUAACAUAUUUAUCUUAUAAUCUUUGGUUAAUUUCAUUUGUUUCAUUUUACAAGGACUAAUUGUGAAAAACAAACACCUUUCAAGUUAGGAAAACCUUCCAACUAAAAAUCUAAGGUUGAAUUAGUCUCAAAACAAAAACUCUUAUUAAUAGUCUAGCUAAAAACAAACGGUCAAGGUGAGUGACCAAACAAAAAACCUCGACCUAAAACCCACUUCUGGCAUUAGUCCUCUCAAUUCUAGAUGUACUUUGUUGAACCAUCCCUGUGGUCAUACAUGGAAAUUACCUUGAUGCAAAACUGACCUCUCACUCUUCUAGAGAUGGAUCACCUGUGUGCUUUGUGGACCUUCAAGUAAAGGUCGCACUUGUACACAAGCUCUAUCUCUAGGUAUGAGUUAACUUUAUGCCAAACCAACCUCCCUCUAUGAGCAUGUGUUAUCCUUGUGCCAAAACCUAAGUGGUCAAUUCCAACAAUUCCAGUGUAUAAAAGAACUUAACCUGAAUAUUUUUCUACUAUCCACUCUAAAAGCAUUACAUGCAAACUAAAUGAUUGAACUUGCCUAUUGACUUGUGGCAUAAGAAUUAUUUCAGGGCAAAACAAGUUACGAAAUAAGUCCACCUCAUGAUUAGAUCACUUAAACAACAGAUCGAGAAACUCAAGCUAGCAAAUAAUGAUAACCUCUUAAUCAAGAGUAACAAGUUGGGGAACCUAGCUAGAAAGGUUGGCCCUAGCAGAAAGGCAUCCAAGACCCUUACCUCACAUAAGGGGAAGUGGGUGGGAAGAAAAAAACUAGGUCUCGAAUAAUGAAGUAUGACAUCAGAAUUUACAACAAACAACUUGGGAUUUGUGUGUUAUCUAUCUAUGUUACUUCCAAUUUGUGAUUGGAUACAAUAUGAAGGAAUCUCGAAAAAUAGCAUCACAAGACACAACCUUAUUAUUAGUUGGCCCCAAACUGAAAAUCAUUCAAAUGUGAAAGCUUUGAGUUGAACAAUGUUGGGACGUAAAUGCAAAAAAUUAUCUACGGAGGUUCAUUAGUUAAAAUUGCAAGUCAACUCAGCCUAAGAGGCAUCAAAGCAGUAGAACUGAGAAUGUGCAUCACCUACAACUUCCUAUUUAUUUCAAAAAAAACUACAUAUCCGUUAUGUGGCCUUAAAGUUCAACCUGCAUAAGAAACCCAAUCGAGCAUCUUUACCAUUGUUAGCAACUCAUGAUACUAGCUAACAAUUGUGAAUGACUACUCUUCUGAGUUUUCCCUAUUAACUUACAACGACCUACUAUCAUAUGGUUCUACUAAUUGUCUGGAUAGUCAAUACAUAGCUCCGCUAACUCUAUGAACUAUUCCUAAAAUAUUACAGCAACAACCCCCAACCAAGGAAAAAUGCAAACUACCUCGUUAAUGUAAGGUAAACACCUAAGGAAUCCUUGAUAAAAUUUGUUUAGUUAUUCAUAUCAGAAAUAGUGCAAGUAGAAAGCAAUGAUCAAAGAACUAUGACAAAGGCCUUUAGAAAAGCCUUGUCUACAAGAAGUCCACUACUUGGGUCAUUAGUAAGGGAUAACCUUCCCCACAUACCAGAUCAAGCUAGAUGAACAACUUGAAUUAAACCUUACAGAAAAAGCUACGAUAUCACAAUUCGCACAAUCAACACCUACCUACUUGACAAGGCUGAGGGAAAAAAUCAAGUGGCAAUCAAAUCAAUGUUAGUCACAACACAACUAGAAGAAAAGUUGGUUUGAUAUAGGAAGUUCAACCAAUAUAUUCUUUGACAACUUCUUUCAGCAAAUGAAUAAGUCAUGACUUUGACUCGAAUUGUAAGCUCUUAUGGAAAAUCUUCCAAUGCCUAGAUUAACUUGACCUUGGAGCAAAAGUAGAACUAAAGUCUCUUUCCUGAUGAAAAAGUCUCAGUCUCCUUACAACAUCAUUCUCAAGCAACAUUUUGUGGAUGCAGUAUCUCCAUCUUACAAUAAGAUGCUUGAGUUGGGAAAGAGAUCUAACAAUGAUAUUAUGCUUAAAUUCCAAAUCCAUCUCAACCUGAGAUAGCUCCGCAAAAAGGUUAACCAAACAGGAUGACAUACUCAUCCCCUAAUCUGGUUCAAAUGAGAAGAGUGCAUCAAAAACAACAAAGUAUCACCAAAAAAAUAACACAAAAUGAGGAACGAGUGGUAACUACAUUGACCUUAAUAAAGUUUGUCCUAAAAUUAGUUCUCCCCCGCCAAAGAUGGGCCAACUUUUGGACUCAAUAUCAUAACAUGAGGAAAAAAAGGUUCAAGAACCCUCAACCAUCUUGUGAGCUUACUCAACUAAAAGCAAAGGAGCAUUAAUCGUAAUGUUGAUCCAUCAAGAAUGAUAAACAAAAACUACAACCAAAAGGUAGAGACUCUUACAGGUGCUAAAACAGGUAUUCAAAAUAACCUCAUAAAAGGUGUGUUUGUGACCCCAACUUGAUGGUAGCAAAGUGCCCAAACCAUGAAACCAAGCACACCUAAAAAGGUACUAUGUCUAAACUAUAUAGCUAGUUUUAACAAUUUUGGAAUGUUUUAAUUACCUCAAUAAACUUCGCACCUUAUCUCGAUCCUCACGUAUGUGCUUGCUAAAGUGAAAUUUGCAAGAUUGAGAAAGACUGGGCAAUAAUCCUCUAGGAAGAGUUGUUCAUACAACUGAGAUCUAAGCCCUAUUACCAAAAGACAACCAAAGCCAAGCAAUUGGUUGAACCUCAUCUGGUCUAUAUUAAUUAGAAUUAUGAUCAAUUUUGUUAGCCAAGAACUAAAACAAUUAUCAUUUGGGACCAUUCACCUCUCUAAGAAGUCAAGGUCAUAAUUUGUCACUUCCUCUGGCCAAAUAAGUGGGUCUAUAAGCCUGCAACACUACACAUAUUUCCCCAAUCUUCCCUACCAUGUAUCAAACUAAAUUUCACUAAGCAACAAUUAGUACACAUUUUUUAUCACACAAAACCCACACAACAACAAAAAGUUGAAUAAGCCCAAUAAUUGGCACAACGCACAUAAAGUGUGGUCAUCAACACCCCACAAACAACAGAAAGAAAGAGAAAAAAAACUAACAUUGACACAAUUCAUCAAAGUUGCAAUCAUCAAAAUUAGCAAAACAAUGUAGCAAAAGAAAAAAACCCCACAUAAGCACCAUUCAUCAAAGUAUUCUCCUAAUGAAGUGUAAAAAAAUGGUCAUCCUCAUCAUAAUGGUCUAAAGUAUGGAAAAUACCGCCAUCAUCAAGGAGACUUUAGCAAAUGAGUUAUAACAAGUACAAGAGGGUCAUACUCUUUGCUCUUACUAGCAAGCCUAGUCUUGUUUAUAUUAAAGCUCUUGAUGCAAAGGCAUAUCAACCCCACACCUAUAAAUGAGGUAGAAAGAUUUGUAUCACCAUUUGAUUGUUCGCCUUGACCUGAUCAUCCAAUAUGCAUGGAAGCUGAUCAUUGGGAUCCUCAACACUUGUGAAUAAAACAAAAAUGAGUAAGACGUGUCAACCUCAUCAACAAACAUCAUAUCCUUGGCAAAAGUGGGAAUCAAACACAAAGAUUUUUUCUUUCUCGCCAUUCCUAGGGAAGAUCAAGACCUAAACCCACUCAUAGACACUCUUAUAUCAAAUACUAAGAGGAAUCAUGUGAUCCUUCGAAGACCCAACCUCAUCACAUGCAGAAUUGGGUCAUCACCAACUAAGCCCUGAUCAAUGCUUAACACUUAAGUGAAACAAAAGACAACUAAAUACAAACGAAAAGAAAGCUAGCGACAAGCAAAGAAACCACUUAAAAUGUCAAAACUAGACAAGCCAACGUCCUCAACUUGAGCUACAUCUAGUUGGAACUAUUUGAUUGAACUUAUGGCAUGACUUGAACUCAAAGCAAAGGUUUCCACACGAACAUUCGAUUGAGCUACUUACUCCAAUAUGACACCUCAAACAAGACUUUGUAAUACAAAACCAUAUCUCACAAUUGCAACACCAGCUAAAACAACAACAAAAUAAGCAUCAACAACAAAUGGAAAAUAUCCCGGCACGCCAAAAUGACCUCAUAGAUCAACUACAAAACAGCCUAGCCAAUUCACGGCCACUAGGCUAACCAAAUUGACGUUGGGAGGAAAGUGCAACGAGUUGCAUGCAUGAAGCCCCAUCAACCUGGGUUAAACCAAAAAAAACUAGCCAUCAUUAGCACACUAUCCGAGAUCGUUACAAAGUCCUACCCUCUUCUAGUCAUAGAAGAUGUCAGGACUUGGGAGGGACUAGAGGUACCAAAAAUUAACAUAUCUUUAAUACACCACCUCCCAAACAAGGUACAUGAAAAGACACAAAAUCAUCUCAUCCUAAAACCAAGACCAUAAAAGAAGAUGACCUCUCAGACUUGUAGGAUGACAUGACUACAAUCUUGAAGUUGUACUUCUAUAGUUGGGCCCUAAAAGAGAACCCGGUAGGGAGGAAGGGCAGCAUAUAAACCUUGUCCAAUGGGCAUGGUAGCACCUUUGAGGAAGAAAGUCGUUUGUGAAAGCAUUGGAUGAGAAGAUCAUGGCACAAUGCUACUUCAAAAAAAUGAGCACUAUAUUCCUAAUAAUCAAACUUAAUCAUGAAAACUUUGAAAAUAGUGAGAAUUCUCUUACCUACAAGUAUAAAGACAAAUAGACGGAAGGUAAAUAAAUCAUUAAUAGAACUUAAAAUAAUAAAUUGAGCAAAUAAACAUAUGGUAAAAUUGGAACUCAUGAUCCUCCUACUAAAUAAUACCAUAUUGGAUAACUAAAUUUUUUAAGAACUUAAACAUAAGAUUUGGAUCUUUAUGAUCGUGUAUCAUGCUUUCUAAUAAUAUAUUAAAUACUUUUCUAGAUUUUGUGUUGACUUGUGAUUACUUCUCUAAAUCAAUUUUUCAGCAUCCUAUAUAUAUGUAUUUGUUAGGAUGGAUCAAUUUUUCAGAAUCAAUUAUCAAAGAAUGCAAAAAUAUAACUCCUCAUAGAGUCUCUUGUUUUUCCUCUACGACUUAAAAGAAGUCCUUAGUGCUUUCACAAGGAAAUAGGAUAAUUUUUUUUAUCUUCAAACCUGCACAAAGAUAUGGAAACCAUAUCAUUGAAAUAAUUAAAACGGAAAACAACUGGAAUCAAAGUGCUAUUGCCUUAUUUUUUUUAAAAAAAAAAAUCUUGGGCUUUAUGCAAAACUAAACAUUAGUUGCCUAAAUCUCCUUAAUUGGAAUACUAGAUGGGUGUAUCAAUUCAACUUGACACCUUCUUCCAUAAAUACCAAAAAUGAUAUUUGUUUUGGGAACAAGACUAGAGUUUUGAGCAGAUAUAAUACAUUUAUGAAAAAAAGAUAAUAAAAUGGAUUUUCAACUAAAAUAAUUCCCAAGCUAGUACAUUUCAACUAUGUGCGUAUCCGUAUGGCGUGAGAAUGUUUUUUUUUUUUAUAUGUUCUUUUAUAUCACAACUAUAAUUAGUAACUAGGAUUUUGAUUUUUUUAACAUAAAAUCAUAGAUAGAUAUUAUAAUUUUAAAUUUAUUUUUAAAAUCACAGUCAUCAACUAUAGUUUUAAGUUUAAAUUUAAAAUCAUAGUUAGUAACUAUUAUUUUAACCAUUUUCCAAAAAAAAUCAAAAUUAUAAUUAAUAACUACGAUUUUAUGAUAUGAAACACUCCAAUUUGAAAAUUAUUUUGAGAGGGGAUCUACUUUGUAGAUUUUUAUUUUAAAAAAAAUAAAUUAUUUUUCCUCAAACCUCAAAAAACAAACUUGUUUAGAACUAAAUUCAAUUAUACACUUCUCUAAUUUUUCUUUACCCUAAUAGAAGAUCAAUUCCAUUUUAUCACUUUUCCACCAGAAUCCUCAUGACUACUUGUAGAAUUCUUGAGAUGAAAUGAAAGAGUGGUAUGAGAUGCUUGUUUAAACUUUAGUUUCAAUCUCGAUCAAUGUUGUCCAUUCCCUUAGCUGUGCAUUAUUCCAAUGCCAGUUUUCCUCCAUAAACUCCAGGUACAAGAUUAGAUUCCGUGUGGAAUGGAUCCUGUUGUGAGACUUGACCAUCAAUAUCCUUCUCUCCAUUUGUGGGGUACUGCCCACUUGAUCACUGCUGUGGAAAUCUGACUAACACACCCAAAUUCUCAACAACCCAAAACCACAGAUUCCUGCAUCCUUCCAUCCAUCUUUCUUUAAGUAAGAUAGACAUCCAUUUGGUCUUUGUUUUUCAUUUAUUUCACUUUCUCCCAAGAAUACUAAUCUUGUCUUUAUUGACUGAUUAGUUUCAUUAGAGAUCAUCCAAGCAAAAGAAUAUCACAUUUUAUAUUAAAAAAAAAAAAAGUAUUGAAUAUAUUAGAAAGAUAUCAUCCUCGAAAAGUUGGAAAUGUAAUCUUGUGCAAGGAAAGGAAACAAGGGAGAGUCUUAAAUAAAUUGUUUCCAAAAGAGACCUAAUGACCAAUGUCUUUAGGGGUGUAUCCUUCAUGUAUAUAAAUAAGAAUUGAAAGCGAGGGAAUAUGGAAGUUUAGGGACAAGAUUUUGUUUUCUAUGAAUAAAUUAAAUGUGGCUUCAUGACUUCCAACCCUUACUUCGUCUUUCUCCACAUUAAAUAGCCCUUUUGAAAGUAUCAGUGGAGAUUGGCCCGAUUCCAAUGGAAUCGAUCACCUUUUCCAUAAUGCAUAGUUUGAUUAUGUUAGGAUGAUUAGGUCACCAACCAUUUGCUAAGCGUCAUAUCUUUUUUCUACACCAACUCAAAAACCCCACUUGGCCAAUAUGUUUUUAUUUUUUAAAACCAAUAUAAAUAAGGCAUUAACACAUCCAUUCUCAUGUUCCUCUACCUAACGUUAACCAUUUUCAUAUCUCUAGCAUAUCUCCACCCAUAAUAUCUAAAUUUUGAAGUGAUUCUAGUAAAAAUACUUUUUAAAAAAAUACUUUAAUCAAAAACACAUCAAACAAAAAUACUAUCAAACGCACUUUUAAUUUAUAUUAUUUUUUAUCAGUAACACUUUUAUUAUAAAAAAAAAAAUACUUUUAGUGGUAAUCAUUUAAUAUUUGAAUAUACAAAUAAAAAAACCUUUUUUAUAAUAUAUUAGAAAAAAAAUGGUUUUUAAAAGAAACAUCCAUCAAUAUAUUAUAUCACAAAUUAUUGUCUUUAAAACCUAAUUUUUAUUAUUAAAAAAAUGCCAAAAUUACUACCAAAUCAAUUCUAAGAAUAGUUUGAAAAUGGGUUGAACUUUUAUAUUUAUCAAGAAAAAAUUGUAGAAGUAACCACUAUCUUUGAAAAUUAUAUGUCAAAAAUAUUUUUAUUAAAGAGAAAGAUAAUUAUAAUAAAGCUAGUUGUCAUUACUUUUCAAUAACACAAAGAAAUCAUAUGGAGCUUAUAAUCAAAAGUUCUUUUCAAAUGACUAACAAAGGUUUUUAUUCCUUGAGUUGUUUUUACUACUAUUUUUAUCAUUUACCUAUGUUAUUAAUGGUGAUUAAAUGAUAAAAAAAAUAUUUAAUGCAUAUUAAUUUCUUUUCACAUCCAAUUUUCAAGUGGAUGUGCUAUAAAAAUGUUGUAAAAUAAUUUUUUUUAAAUAACAUUUUCAUGUGUGAUUUUUUAUUCAUAAUUAGUUACAGAAAAAACUUAAAAUGCUUAGGUAUUAUUAAAACGACUCCAUUUCAUAUUUGACACCAACACAUGUUAUUUUAUCAUCUAAUAUUGUUAUAUUAAAAAACACUCAAUUUAACAUGAAUAUUAUUAUUAUUAUAUAUUUAAAAUUAUUUUAAUCUUUCUAUUUAAAAAAAAAAAAAAAUUGUAUGCAUUAUCCAUAUUCCCAUGAAAUCCAAACGUGUCCCAUGAUUGUAGACUAAUUCGUCUAUAGUGUGGACGCAAUGACAAGUCAGAAGUCUCCCAUUUCUUUUCUAGUCAAUGGGCAUGUUCCACAUUUAUUUAUGAUAUUUCGGAUUACACGAAGACUUCCAAAAGCAAUUGGUUUGAUAAGCUUCAUGGAAUCUGAAGAUAAAGGAGGAUGCUACUUCCACAUUCUUUAACCGAGCGUAUCAACCACGCUCUCUCUAAUUUUUCCAUAUUCUUAAUUUCUAAAAAAAAAAAAAUUCAAUAUGGUAUAUCUAUUUUAAAAUUAUCUUUUUGAUAGAUAUUUUAUAAAUUAUUAUAAAUUUUAAAAUAUUUUUUCAACUAUUAUCCAUCUCAAAUUAUUUCUAUAAACUACCUUUUUUUUUUAUUUUAUAUUAUCUAAUUUAAACAGUAACAAGAUGAUUUCACAUAUGUUUUUUUAAGUAUUAUUAUGUGUGUCAUUUUAUCUUAAUUUCAUUCGUUUGCAUGUUGGACUUACAACAUAAAUUUCAUUACAUAUAUUCAACCAUUUAGAAUUUUUGUUUGAUAUGUAAUACUCUACCCGAAUAUGUUCUCAAAUUAUGUAUGUUAUGGGGAUAUAUAUAGAUAUAUUAUGGUCUAUUCCAUUUCCAUCACUUCAUGAGUUUCCCCUAAUCCACUUACUCCACUCUCAAUAAUGAUGAACUAUAUCUUGAAAGUGAAGUUGGCUUCACUCAUCCCCCAUAAAAGACCUAUCCUCAGGAGUCAAGACACUCGAAUUUGAACUUGAAGAGGAUAGAUCCCUGACCACCACCAUCUAUUGUCUCCUAAUAGGGGAGAUAUUAUUAGCCUUUUUUUAUUCUUUUACCCCACCUUAACCAAAAAAUAAGAUAAUCUUAUUACAAGAUUAUAAAAGGAACUUACUUUUCUUUAUUUAUGAUAUUUUUCUUUAAAUAAUUCAACUUUAUUAAAGCUAAGUUAGAUGUAAAUUCUGAUUAUUCUACUUUUGACCAAAUCAUAGCGGUGACCAACACUAGCUAUUAAAAAAUUAAAAUAAGUGAAAAAAAAACACUUUUUUUUUUUUACUUUUAUUUUUUAGCAUUCAAUUGUUAGAGCUUCAAAACAAUGAACUAAAAAGAUAAAACUAAGUGCAAGUUAAAAUAGAGAAUAAGGAACUCAAACAUUUUAUAAGACAUACUUGACUAACAUAAGUGAAAAUAAUUUUUUUUAAAAUAUAGUUCUUGCUUUGUGUGAAACAAAGUAGUAUUAUUUUUAUAUUUAUUUCAUGUUAUCCAUAAAACAAUACAAAUAACUUCAAUAGUUUGAGUGCUCUCCAAUUUUUAAAAUUCACUCUCACAAUUUCAAGCUAUAUUUGCUAAAGCUAUACGUUGGAUUUCUAAAAAUGAGGGAAUAUAUAAGUUAAUGGAUGAAGGUUUGAUUUUAACAAUAAGGAUCGUGUUAUUGUGCUCAUACAAUUCGAACCAAAAUAUACGCAACAACUCUUAAAAGUAAUGAUGUAAUGUUACUUAUGUUGGAUUUUAUGAAAAUAUCAAUAAAAAUACUUAUAUUCGUGUAAAUUUUUUGUGGUAUCUUAUAAACAUUUUAUGUUUUAUUGCUUUAUAUAUAAAUCUAAUUUCAUUUCAUUCAUCUAUAUUUAUCUUAUCUAUUUAUGCUUUAACCCCAUAUAUUUUUAUUUUCAUUCAAUAUAAAUUUUAUUAUAUAUUUUCAAUGAUAAAAACAGAUGUACAUUUAAUACCCAAACUUUUUCUAACAUUAAAGUAAAUAUAAUUUCACGAAUUUCAUAUUUUCUAUCAUCUUUACCAAAAUAAAUCGAAUGGGGUUGAUCACUUUUUUCCCAUUCCAUGAUUUGAUUGCGUGAAGAUGAUUCCAUCACCAACCAUUUACUAAGAUGUGACACCCAUUUUCUACACCAACUCAAACACUCCCCUUUUGUUAAUAGCUUUUAGCCGAUAGAAAGAAGUGAACAAAACCGUUUUCACAUUUCACCUACCAAGGCUAAGAAAUAUAAAUAGAAAUAGAAAUAAUUACUAUUUGUUAAAUAUAUAUUUUAUGUUUUAAAUAUAUAUUUUUAUUAAAAAUAAAAAUAAUCAUGAUAUUAAUUUGUUAAAAUUUACUCUUACAUCAUCUAAUAUAAAUGAAUCAUGUACGAAAAUGCAAGAAUUAUGAUCAAGAGUUCCAUCCAGCCAAUUAUAAAAAUGAUGUUUUACCUUUAACACAGGCUCUUCUAAUUCAAAUCUUUAUUCAUUUUCUCUUAUUGUUAUUAUUUAAAUAUAUGAUUAAUCAUGAUUAGAUAUUACAAAAACUUUCAUAUUUAAUAUAUUCUUUUAUCAUCGAUUAAGUUUGAACUUUUUUUUUGUUUGUGUAUAUCUUUAUACUUUUUCUUCUUACAAUUUUUUUUUUCACAUUUUAAUAUUUUUAUCAUAUACCAAAGCUUCAUUUAAAAUUUUCGUGUUUUUGAUCAUUUUUUAUUUGUAUAAAAAUUUACAUGAAUAUAAAUAUUUUUAUUGAUAUUCUGAUAAAAUCCAACAGCAGGGACAUUUCAUCAUUGCUUCUUGAGGUGGUGCGUGUAUAGUGCAUAUAGCAUGGGAAUAAGGACACGUCUCCUUUCUGACUAUUCAAUUCAAUGCCCUUUCACAUUCAUUUAUUAAUUGUUUGGACUAUAUGAAGACUUGUGAAAGCAACCUUCCCCCGUUUUCUUGACGCAAGCUGCUACUUCCACGUGAGCAUGCCAAACACGCUUAGGGCCUGUUUGUUGGUGUUUUCAAAUACAUUUUUGGAAACAGUUUUUAGUGUUUUCAGAAAUAAAAUUAUAUUUGAAAACUAAAUUCUAAAAAAUAAUUUUUAUUCUCGAAAAUAAAAAGAAUAAAAAAACAUGUUUAGUUCAAUUAAUAAAAAUAAUUUUUAAUAACAAAUAAAACAAAAAAACUUGUUUGGAAAAUAUUAUUGUUGGUUUUGUUUUUUAAAGUCGAGUAUUUUAUUUAACUAAUUGAUGUUGUAAAUAUAUAAAUAAUUUUUCUUCAUAAAAAUAAAAAUGUUCCAUUUUGAACAUUUUUUACAUCAAUUUUAAUUUUUUUAAACAAAUUAUUACUUUGUAAACAUGUCUAAAUAUGUUUGAUUUCAAUAAUUGAUAAACCAUUUUAUCAAAAUAUCAUAAAUCGAUAAAUAUCAAUAAUUAGAUUUUAUGAAGAUAAAAUUUAUGAUAUCAAAUAAUAAUGCAUUAUACUUGGAAAUUGAUGAUCUAUCUUUUCUACUAAUAAUAUAUUUAUGAUAAUUUUUUAUUUAAAAAUAUUUAUAAUUUUAUUUUAAAUUAAAUUUUAUUUUAUAUUUAAGAAUUAUAUAAAAGAUAAUUUUUUUUAAAGUAAAUCAAACUAAUUUAUUUAUAAAAAUUUAUUAAUUUUUACUUGGAAUCCUUGUUCUCUUUUCUCUCCUUCUCCUCAUAUUCUCUUUGUUUCUCUUCCAAGACUCAAACUUUUAUUCAGUGAAAUUGAAUUAUUUCUCUCCUCAAAUAUCAACUCAAUAAAGUCAAAAGUCAAAAUCUAGAUCUAUGAUUGUUGUAAAGAUUCUUGGUUACGAUUUCAUCUUUUAUGUUAUUGUUUAUGUUUUUGUUUGGUUUUUGAGAAAUCCUAGAAUUUAUGGAAGUUUCAGCUUUGAAAUGCAUUAAAAAAAACAUAUUAGGAUAAAAUCCCAAAAUAUCCGAAAAAUAUUGAAAUGGAAAUAAAGAAAAAAUAAAUAAAAAUAAAAAUUGUCGAUUAAGUUGAAUUUUUGUUAAACCGAAUUUUCAAUUUUCUAAUUUUUCCCAUUUUCCUUGGCAGUAUAAAAAAAAAAAAGAUAUAACAAUUUUUCUUUUUCUUUUUUAACUUCACAACACAAAAAACAUCAUUUUAAAACCAAGUUUUAGAAAAUUGAGAACAAAAAAACACUCUCUUAUCAAACAUGAUUUUUGUGUUUUUUGUUCUAAAAAAAAAACAGUUUUUGAAAACACUAACCAAACAAAUCCUUAAUGACUCAUUUUUCUUUUUUCUUUUUUACUUAUUUGUUUAUUCUGUUUUCUGUUUUUAUUUAUAAAGAAAAUAAAAAUCAAGUUUAAAACACAUGUUUAGAUAUUAUUCUUAAUUUUCAUUCUUGAAAAAUUGAGUUCAAAAAAGGUCAAAAAUGAAAAUAAUAAUUUGGUGCUUUUAAUUUUUUUUUUUAUGGCAAUGUUUUUCAAUCUAACAUAAAAAUAGAAAUAUUAUCUUUAGAAUUAAUUAUAAAAUUAUAGUCAAUAAUUUUGUACAUUAUUUUAAAAUAAAAAUAUAAUCAAAUACAAAAUAAUAAAAUAAAACAAGGAACAAAUAUGAUAUAAUAACAUAUAGUAGCAUAUAAUAUAUAAUGUAUAAUAUCAAUAAAUAACAACUAAUAAAAUUAUUAUAUAUGUUAUAUUGUAUGCGCAUGAGGUUUUUGGUAAAUCAAUUUAAUGUUUUAAAGUGACUUCAUAACUUGAUUUAAAUUAUUAAAUAAAUUAAAAUUUUGAUAAAAUAAUUUAAUAUCAGAAUUUAAAAUAAAAAUAAUUUUAAGUGUUAAGUCAAAAUAGUUAAUUUAUUCUUAAUGUCAAAUCAUUUUUAUUAGAUUUUUACUUUGUUUGGUAAAAUUGAGUUAAUAUUUUGAAAUUAUCAAAUUUACAUAUUUAUUUUUCUUAAUUUUAAGUAAUAAAUUUAUUUGUUACACGUUUCCAAAUAUAUAAAAUAAUUACAAUAAUUACUAAAUAUUUAGCUUAAAGAAAAUGAGUCAUGGAUAUAAGUCAUGCAUAUUAUAUAAAUUAGUAUUACAUGUGUGAGUAAAUAAGAUAGAAAUGAUUUAACAUUCAAAAUAAAUUUAUUAUUUUAAUUUAAUAUUUAAGAAUUAGUUUUAAUAUUUAAUAACUCAAAUUAAGUUAUUAAUCCAUUAUAUUGAUUAAUUUAUCAAACACCUUUUAAAAAUCUUUUUUUUUAGUGCCCAAAAAUAAAAUCAAUAAAAUUAUAUUAGUUUUUUGUUCGUCUCACGAUUUAUUUUAUAUGUUGAUCUUACAUUCCAAUUAUUGAUACUUUAAUAACAUACAUUUUGUAUCACCGUGAAAUCAUCUAAACUUAACCUUGCACUGUUGGUACUGAACAACUCCGUGUGUUACAUGCUGGAUGGCCUAGAAUUUUCCUUCUUCCUGUGGUUAGUUGCAAUAGAUUUUCCGGCACUGCAACGUUGGACACGACAGUUGAAGGAGCGCGGACUUAAAAGUAAAAGUGACGUGGAAAAUGAGAGAAAAGAUAUAAAAAGAAUAUGCUGAGGUCACAUUGCCAUUGUCAAUCGAAUCAUAAUUGUGGAAAUGAAUUCUCUAGUGGACCAACCAGCAGCGUGUUGAGUGGCACCCCGGCGCCCACGCCCCAUUGGUCAGCUUGCUUUUGUGGUGUGCAAGGUUUAUUCCAAACCUUUUGAUCAGUGGUUAUACAAGUAGCACAAAUCCGUGUGAGUAGCACAAAACACUGAGUUCAUUGGUCGUGGCUCCUUCGCAAUUAAUUCCAACAAGCAGGUCAGUUUGUAAAAUUCAGUAUAAUAAAUUCUGUCAGCGCCCCAGAUUUUGAAAUUGAACCGUUGGUUUCCACCACAUUCCCAGCAUUCUUCCUCCCAACUUUUGCCCGGCCAUCUUCCUACCUCCUCACAGAGAAUCCGGUAACGAACUCAACGUCACAAAAUGCCGAAACUACCCUUUUUAUUUGCCACAAUUCCAUUUCCCGACCAUCUUCCUCCCUUCUCACAUAGAAGUCGGUAACAAACUCAACGUCACAAAAUGCCGAAACUACCCUUAUUAUUUGCCACAACUCCAUUCCCCACCCUGUUCUUCCUCCUCAUCCUCUCCAUAUUUCAGGUAAUUUCUCAAAAUUUGGACGAUGAACGAUCAAUCCUACUAGACGUUAAACAACAAUUGGGCAAUCCACCGUCACUCCAAUCGUGGAAUUCCUCAUCCUUGCCUUGUGAUUGGCCGGAAAUUACAUGCACCGACAAUACCGUCACUGCAAUUUCACUCCACAAUAAGACCAUCAGAGAGAAAAUUCCAGCCACAAUUUGUGACCUCAAGAACCUCAUCGUACUUGACCUCUCCAACAAUUACAUUGUCGGUGAGUUCCCGGAUAUUCUCAAUUGUUCCAAGCUUGAGUAUCUGCUCUUGUUGCAAAACUCCUUCGUAGGUCCAAUUCCAGCUGAUAUUGAUCGACUUUCACAUCUCCGGUACCUAGACCUCACCGCAAACAACUUCUCUGGAGAUAUUCCCGCAGCAAUUGGGAGGCUACGGGAACUGUUCUACUUGUUUCUGGUUCAAAAUGAGUUCAACGGCACCUGGCCAACGGAGAUAGGUAAUUUGGCGAAUCUUGAACAUUUGGCCAUGGCCUAUAAUGACAAAUUCCGGCCUUCAGCCCUUCCAAAAGAGUUUGGCGCAUUGAAAAAGCUGAAAUAUCUGUGGAUGACGCAGGCGAAUUUGAUUGGCG